rnacentral:lncRNA from 1 species
CUGGUGGCUUCUCUCCCUUAGGUGGUUUGCCAACUGGGGUUGGUGGCUUGUAUGAGUCUUCAGCAUUCUCUGCAGGAGGGUGACCAGGGUUGUGACCAUAAUGUGGUGGCUUCUCUCCCUUAGGUGGUUUGCCAACUGGGGUUGGUGGCUUGUGUUCUGGGAGUGGCUUCUCCCCCUUGGGAGGUUUUUCCAAUGGGGUUGGUUUGUGUUCAGGAGGUGGCUUCUCCACUGGAGGCUUGUGUUCAGGAGGUGGCUUCUCCACCGGAGGCUUGUGUUCAGGAGGUGGCUUCUCCACCGGAGGCUUAUGCUCUGGUGGUGGCUUCUCCACCGGAGGCUUAUGCUCUGGUGGUGGCUUCUCGAAUGGGGGAUGCUUAGGGUAAUCAGCAAGUGAGGGGGCGGUGAGAACCACCAGGCCAAGCAAGACCACUAGCAAGUAUGUAGGAGACAUCUUUGGGUUUAGACUCAGAUGGUGCAAAACUAGGAGAAUUGUCUUUUAUAGCGGAUCGCACCCAAUAAUGAAAUGACACGUGUCUUUAUGACCCAUGUGUAAUGGGGUCGAUUUGGGUCCUACAGUGUUGAAAACUUCGACAUCCACUUUUGGCCUUUUGCUUUCUCUACAGCCGCCUUGCUUUUUCCCUCUUUCCUUUUGUUUUCCUCCUGCCCCAUUCUAUCAACUAAACACAAUUAUGUAGUUGUUUAAUUCUUAAAUGAGAUAUUAUCCGUCAAUCGUAUCAUAUUUUAUCAACAGAGAACGGAGUGCAAUGUGGCAAUCCAAAGAAAGAAGAUCCAUAAUGCAGCUGUAAUUUUAUCGUUUACUUUUAUCUCUUGGACCACUGCAUUUUUGUUAAGAGGUGCAAUAAUACACGUCUUUAUCUGCCAUUCAAUGUUUACAGUAAAGAGAGGGCACAAAACUCUUCACUGCUCUGCAUGUGUCCCAAAAAUGCAAUUGGACAAAUUAUGAUUUGCAUGCUAAAAAGAGGCAAAUGAGGUUAAUUCGCACCAUAAUUAUUUUGUUUUCUGGACCCCGGGGCCCUUUGGUUGGUUUGGGGGUCAGAAAAUGAACAUCAUAGGGGGUUUUUCCCUUAUGUGCAUUUGUAUCUGAUGGCUUUAACUCGCCUUGUUACUACAAAGAAAUUGUCACAUAUAGGAACUUAUUCCAGGCUGAGUAUCUCCGCAUAGACCCUAUAAAAGAAGACAAGUCAUAAUGAACAUCUAACCUUUGUUCAAUUUGAUUCAAUGCCCCAUUGUGUCCACCUCACAAAUCUGAAUUAUUAUAUCCAUUGAAUACAUAAAUUAAUGAAGAAAAUAUGAAACCCAAGAUACAUCUCUGCACAACCUCAACCCUGGUUGCUAUGUUUCCCUUCUAUUCACAUGAGGAUAUUGAUUACGGAAUAGGGAAACCUAGCAAGGGUUUACUCGGCUCUGGUUUGAUGCUAAUUGCCAAACUUGCAACAAGCCCUGAGUUUGAAGCUCACAGAAGAUGUUAUACAGGCAGGGAAAAACCUUCAGAGUUCGCUGCCAAAGAUAAUUAUUAAGGAGAUAUCACCAAGAGAAUUCCAAGGAGUCUGAAUCAAAGACAAAUUGGUCGUUCGUGGAGGUUCUUACUUUCUUUUGGGUAUAACUCACUGAGGGCACUGUCUUUUUUAUUUUCAUUUCACAUUUAGAGUUCUGUUCUGGAAACAUAUAAAAGGAGCAUCAGUUUGUUCUUGGGUAACCCAUAGUCGUGAGUGGGUCCAUUUGCAUGCUACUUAGUUGAAAAGUUGGACCAUUUGCUCCGACGCCUACCUCCUGGAUUCCAUGCUCGGAUAAAACAAGAAUAAAAAAAUAUUUAUAAUUUACAAAUGGGGGAAAGAAAAAAAUGUCAACAACAAACUAGGAAAAAAGAGUAGUAAAAUUCAUGUCACAUGCUAGUGAGAGAAGGGGUUGUUACACUCACUCGAAGUUCUUUUCAAAAUAUCGCAUGGUAUUUUAUUUUAUGUGUGAGCGCAGUUGUGAAUGGAACGUGCAAAAGUCCAAAUUGGUGACCUUUAAUAAAUAUUUAAAACAAAAAACGAAAAAAAGGAGGGAAAAGGGAUCAGAAAAGAUAAAACAAUGUGUACAAAAGCUCAAUUAGUUUGCAAAUUACUGUUUGGAUUUUGAUAGUAUUUUAUUUGAUGUAAAAGAGAAUUUAAGAUAUUUCCGAAACAAAAGCAUUAGUUUGCUCCAUGUCAAUUUCGGCAUUUCUCAUAUGUUUCACACAUACACAGAAGAGCAUCGUUUUUUAAAGCAUGCAUUUAUGUUGGAUUAAUUUGGAUUUUGUGGGAACUGGGGCAAGGAUCACAUGGAAGAGAGGUUGACUUUUUUCAGUACUUCAAUGGUUGAGACAGGUGAAGGCCUGAUUGAUACUGAAGCCUGAAAUUGCGACUCCGUCAUUUGUCAAAACAUAUGACAGCUUCCAUGCUCUCGUUUGGUUGCAUUGUUCUGUGGUCAUGCAUACAUGCCACUUAGUGAUCAGUCUGUAACUGUCAAUCAUUGGGCUUUGACUGAACAACAUCAGCCAUGUAUAAAUACUUGCAAAUCAAACGGUCUUCUUCCUCCCAUAAGGAAUUUCGGUUUAAUUAUGAAGCAUGCAUUUGGCUGACCAUCAUAAACCACUUCUUUAAAUUGAUGAAUGAUAGUUUUUCAUUCAUUCUUUCAUUCGUUCAUAUACAGAGUAUAUAUAGAGGGUAAUCAUCAUUCUAAGAAUGGGAAAGAAUGAUACAAGGAAAUAAUGAUAUAAAGAAAUAACAACUAAUAUUCUAAUAUCUCAACUUUCCUAAUAUCUAAACAUUCCUAAUAUCUCAACACUAAAUGAUAUAAAGAAAGAAUGAUAUAAGGAAAGCAUUCCUAAUAUCUCAACACUCCUCCUCAAGUUGGUGCAUAGAUGUCAAACAUGUCCAACUUGUCUAAAAAUUUUGAGAACAGUUGACUUGAGACAUCUUUGGUGAGGAUAUCGGUCAAUUGAUCUUCUGAUCGAAUCUUAGGCAAUUCCACAAUCUUAUCAUCCAACUUUUCCUUAAUGAAAAAUCUAUCCAUCUCGACAUGCUUUGUACGAUCAUGUUGUACUAGAUUAUGAGCAAUGUCACAUGCUGCUUUAUUGUCACAAAACAAUCGGAUUGGUUGCCUAGAUAGGUAACCUAAAUCCUAUAAGAGGAGUCUUAGCCAUAAUGCCUCACAAAGUCCUAAAGUCAUACCUCUAAAUUCCGCUUCUGCACUUGAACGAGCGACGACAUUUUGCUUCUUACUUUUCCAUGUCACAAGAUUACCACCUACAAAGGUAAAGUAACCAGAUGUAGAUCGCCUAUCAUCCACUGCACCGACCCAAACAGCAUUAUACUUCUAUACUCUGAUGAUCAACAUUUUUAGCGAACAAAAUUCCCUUCCUAGGAGCAUUCUUCAAAUACCUCAAAAUACGCAUGACUACAUUCAUAUGUUGCUCUCCAGGAUUAUGCAUGUAUUGACUCACUACACUCAAUGUAUAAGCAAGAUCUAGUCUUGUAUGAGCUAAGUACAUUAAUCUCCCCACAAGUCUCUGGUAUCUUCCCUUAUCGAUUGAUACUUGAUUAGGCUCAACACACAAUUUCAGACCUUCUUCUAUUGGUGUAUUAAUAGGUUGACAUCCCGACAUUCCAGUUUCCUGUAGAAGAUCUAAGGCAUACUUUCUUUGAGACAGAAAAAUUCCUUCACUUGAUCGAGAAACUUCAAUCCCAAGAAAGUAUUUCAGACGACCAAGAUCUUUCAUUUCAAAUUCUCUAGAUAGAUACUUUUGCAAAGCUUUUCUUUCUUCAGGAUCAUUUCCUGUAACUACAUGUCAUCCACAUAUAUCAUAAGUGUCGUAAUCUUACCAUGUUGCUUUUUCAAGAACAAAGUGUGAUUUGAAUUACUUUGAUGAUAGCCAAAAGCUCUCAUUGAUUUUGUGAACCUUCCAAACCAUGCUCUCGGGGAUUGCUUCAACCCAUACAAUGACUUCUUCAAUUCGCACACCUUCUGACAUUGCUUUUCUGACACCAUGCAUCCUGGUGGAAGAUCCAUAUAUACUUCUUCAGAUAAAUCGCCAUGCAGAAAGACAUUUUUUACAUCGAACUAUUGUAAUGGCCAAUCUAGGUUUGCAGCUAAAGACAAUAAUACUCGAACUGUGUUGAUCUUAGCUACAGGUGCAAAUGUCUCUGUGUAGUCAAUUCCAUAAGUUUGAAUGUACCCACUAGUCUUGCUUUAAAUCGUUCAAUACUACCAUCUGCCUUGUACUUCACAGUAUAGAUCCAACGACACCCAACUAGCUUCUUUCCUGGUGGACAUUCUACGAGUUCCCAUGUUUCAUUUUUCUGCAAUGAUUUCAUCUCUUCAUUCAUGGUUGCUUUCCACUUUGGAUCAGCUAAAGCUUCCUGCACACUAUUAGGAAUAGCUACAGUAGAUAAUUGAUUUACAAAUGACUUAUUUGAUUCAGACAAACCAUGGUGUGGACCCGCAUUUUUCACGUGCGCCUCUACUCGAUCGGCGAGACUCGCUUUCUAUUUGUGAAAAAUUAAUUUUAGAAAAGUUGGAGUCGCCACCUAUUUUAUUUUUAUUUUGAAGGGAAAAUAAAACAAGAAAGAAAAACCCUAAAAAGUGACUCCAUAGUUUUGGAAAAAGCAUGUCUUUGGGAAACCUGAGUCUAGGUCCGGGGAUCAUGUUACUUAUUGGGAAGGUACCUCUAGGAGGUAGCACCCCUCUAAGCCUUAUGAAGGUCUCUACUAACUAAAUUAAGGGAAGUGUGGCAAUAAAUCGAUUGAUCAUAGAUACCUAAGUAGACUAGGUGAUUUUAAAGUGUGGCAUGUCAAACACAAUCAAAUUGCAAUAAAGGAGAGUUAGGGCGCGUACCUGAACCGCUUCUCAAGCGCUAUCAUAAAACAUCAAUGGUUAAUUUAAAUAAUAUAUCAUCCAGCAUGUAUUUUAUUAGAAAUAAUCAAACAAUGAAACAUGUAUAUCAGAACACUCAAGCAUUAUUAGACAUAAGCAUUAUUUCACUAUUCACAGAAUUCAGAAAGUAGGUGAUAGAGGACAUACCUGGAUAGCAUAGAUAAUUUGUAAUGUGCUUCCUCAAGUUGUAAGGGGUUAGAUAACAAAUAAUAAAAUAUAGAAAUCCUAGCAUGCUCGUUAUCUAAUUAGCAUAGCAAAAGUGAUCACAGUAUACAGAAUCAUCAAUUAUCACAUACAUCUUGUAUAUAAUUCCUAAAAAAAAUAGAUAGACAUGAUUUCAACAAGUGUCAAAUGUGGCAACAAAAAUAAAUUUUGAAAAGAUUUUCUUAUGUAGGGGUUUCACCAAUUCCCCAAAUUAAUAUACACGAAUUUAGCUUAGAAUUAUCCCAUUUAUUUGGGACUACAAGCUUUGAUUCGUGUUUUUGUUCAAAACCAAAAAUUUUUGUUGAAAAUCAAGAAGGAUGCGAACCGAACAAGAUAUGGUUGCAUAUUAUUUUUAAAUAAAUAAAUAAAUAAAUAAAGGAGAUUUUGAUCCUGAGGACUUUAAUGAGUUUUUUUUUUUAAAAUAGAUUUUUAAAAUGAUUUUUUUGAGAAAAGUAUUUUAUUUUAAAAUAAAAGGGAUUAAUUUGGGAAAAAAAUAAAAUAUAAGAAAUAAAAUACCAAACAAAACAAAAAUGAAACCUCAAAGUAAAAUUUUUUUAGUAAUUAACAAAAAUGAUAAUGGUGAUGGUAGAGGGCAAUCUUCAUGAUUUUCCAAUGGCCUCAGAAAGAAAAUCAAAUUAAAUGAAGGAUCACUAACAGGCAAGACAUUCUAAAUUAGACAAACUAACAAAGUAUCAAUUCAUGAACUAACCGCUAGGAUUUUGAAAGCAUAUAAGCUAAGAUAAGGGUGAUCAGGAACUAAUAUUAAUGAUUUUGAAAUAAAAACUAAAAAAAAGGAUCAAUUCGGGUAAGGAACUAAAAUUAUAAAAGUACCUAAACUAAUUAUGACGAGUUUGACUAAAUUAAACUAAAAACAUGAACUUUCAAACAUAGAAUUAAUUUUACUAAUGAACCAAAGCAAACUAAAAAUAUGUACUUUCAAGCAUAGAAUUAAUUUUAUUGAUGAACUAAACUAUAACAAAUAUCUAAACUAAAUAUAAUGAAUCAAAUUAAAUUAAAGCAACUUAAAAACGCAAACUUUCAAACAUAGAAUCAAUUUUAUCAAUGAAUUAAAACUAUAAAUGUAUUUGAACUAAAUAGAUGAAUCAAACUAAAUCAGAGCAAAAUUAAAAAAAAAAAAGAACUUUCUAACAUGAAAUCAAUUUUAUCAACAAAUAAAUGAAUGAAUAACAAGUAAUUAAAAGAAUAGCUACUACAUGAAUAACUGAAUGAAUAAAAUUCAAAUGUUUUCAAUCUGAAGCAAUCAAUCAAAAUUAAAUAGGGAUCAAAUCAAAAUAAUCGAAAUCGGAAAAACAAUAUGCAAUCUUUCUAAAGGUUUAACCAGACAAUUGAAUUAAAAUUAUGAAUAGAAUAAAUUAAUAAACCAAAUCGAAACCUAAAUUGUACCUAAAAAGAUUAAUUAAUUAAACUAAGAAAUCAAAAUCAAUAACAAAACUAAACUAAGGAGUAAAUUAAGACAAGACUAAUUAAAUUAAACUCACAAACACGUUUUAACUAUCAUAUGGAUUAAAACAAAAUUAGCAUGGACUUAUGAAUUACGAACAAAAAUAAUCAAAACUAUUUUAAAAAACUCACCUCUAUUAUAAGAAAAAAUCUGCCUUUGAUGCGUUGAGGUGGCUCCCCUCUCUGUGUGGAUCUCUCUGCUCCCCAGAAAAAAAAUGUCUCUUCCUCCGUUCUCUUUUGUUUCAGCAAAAUAAUAUAUCCCCUGCUGUGGAUCUCUCUACUCCCAGAAAAUAAUAUAUUCUCUCCGUGUCCUAAAGUGGACCUAGGGUGCCUAAGUGGACCUAGGGUGCCUAAAUGGGCCUAGGGUGCCUAAAUGGGCCAAGUGUAUCUAAAUAGGCUUAGGGUGCCUAAGUGGGCCUAAGUCUAAGUGAGCCUAAGUCUAAAUCAAGACUACCAAGGAUCAUAAUAAGGGGUUAGGCAAUCCCUUAACCAAAGUCUCCAAGGUGGCUAAAAAAAAGUAAGUAGUAUGAGUAGCUAUGGGUCACCAAGGAACUACUGUGGAGCAUUGAAAACGAAUUUAAAGACAUGUGCCAAAGGGACAAAAUUGAGGGUCUACAGAUGGUUAGACACAUAGUUGCUCAUGGGAUAUUUGACUUUGGUAAACAAUUCAGAUUCAUAUGUGGGUUUAGGAAUACCUUUAUUAUGACGGUGUGGUAAUCGUUUCAUGAAUGGAUCAGGUUGCAAAUUAAGAACACCCUCAGCAAACAACGAUUGGUUUGGUAUUUCAGUGAAGACAUCUUCGAACCCAAAUUGUUGACCACUCAUAUCCAACUCACCCGCUUCCUGGUUCACUAGUUCAGAUUGUCCAAAUUCAUCAUUCUCAUAGAUAUGAUAAUCAUAAUCGAGAGUCUGAAUUUCCUUAUGGUACUCCCCCUGAAGUUCAGACUUAGAUGAAAAAUACAUCGAAUAUUCAUGAAACAGCNNNNNNNNNNNNNNNNNNNNNNNNNNNNNNNNNNNNNNNNNNNNNNNNNNNNNNNNNNNNNNNNNNNNNNNNNNNNNNNNNNNNNNNNNNNNNNNNNNNNNNNNNNNNNNNNNNNNNNNNNNNNNNNNNNNNNNNNNNNNNNNNNNNNNNNNNNNNNNNNNNNNNNNNNNNNNNNNNNNNNNNNNNNNNNNNNNNNNNNNNNNNNNNNNNNNNNNNNNNNNNNNNNNNNNNNNNNNNNNNNNNNNNNNNNNNNNNNNNNNNNNNNNNNNNNNNNNNNNNNNNNNNNNNNNNNNNNNNNNNNNNNNNNNNNNNNNNNNNNNNNNNNNNNNNNNNNNNNNNNNNNNNNNNNNNNNNNNNNNNNNNNNNNNNNNNNNNNNNNNNNNNNNNNNNNNNNNNNNNNNNNNNNNNNNNNNNNNNNNNNNNNNNNNNNNNNNNNNNNNNNNNNNNNNNNNNNNNNNNNNNNNNNNNNNNNNNNNNNNNNNNNNNNNNNNNNNNNNNNNNNNNNNNNNNNNNNNNNNNNNNNNNNNNNNNNNNNNNNNNNNNNNNNNNNNNNNNNNNNNNNNNNNNNNNNNNNNNNNNNNNNNNNNNNNNNNNNNNNNNNNNNNNNNNNNNNNNNNNNNNNNNNNNNNNNNNNNNNNNNNNNNNNNNNNNNNNNNNNNNNNNNNNNNNNNNNNNNNNNNNNNNNNNNNNNNNNNNNNNNNNNNNNNNNNNNNNNNNNNNNNNNNNNNNNNNNNNNNNNNNNNNNNNNNNNNNNNNNNNNNNNNNNNNNNNNNNNNNNNNNNNNNNNNNNNNNNNNNNNNNNNNNNNNNNNNNNNNNNNNNNNNNNNNNNNNNNNNNNNNNNNNNNNNNNNNNNNNNNNNNNNNNNNNNNNNNNNNNNNNNNNNNNNNNNNNNNNNNNNNNNNNNNNNNNNNNNNNNNNNNNNNNNNNNNNNNNNNNNNNNNNNNNNNNNNNNNNNNNNNNNNNNNNNNNNNNNNNNNNNNNNNNNNNNNNNNNNNNNNNNNNNNNNNNNNNNNNNNNNNNNNNNNNNNNNNNNNNNNNNNNNNNNNNNNNNNNNNNNNNNNNNNNNNNNNNNNNNNNNNNNNNNNNNNNNNNNNNNNNNNNNNNNNNNNNNNNNNNNNNNNNNNNNNNNNNNNNNNNNNNNNNNNNNNNNNNNNNNNNNNNNNNNNNNNNNNNNNNNNNNNNNNNNNNNNNNNNNNNNNNNNNNNNNNNNNNNNNNNNNNNNNNNNNNNNNNNNNNNNNNNNNNNNNNNNNNNNNNNNNNNNNNNNNNNNNNNNNNNNNNNNNNNNNNNNNNNNNNNNNNNNNNNNNNNNNNNNNNNNNNNNNNNNNNNNNNNNNNNNNNNNNNNNNNNNNNNNNNNNNNNNNNNNNNNNNNNNNNNNNNNNNNNNNNNNNNNNNNNNNNNNNNNNNNNNNNNNNNNNNNNNNNNNNNNNNNNNNNNNNNNNNNNNNNNNNNNNNNNNNNNNNNNNNNNNNNNNNNNNNNNNNNNNNNNNNNNNNNNNNNNNNNNNNNNNNNNNNNAACCAAAGGAAGCAUGUUCCAGACGUCGAUGCCACAACCAAAUUUCAGACUUUUUCUUCUCCUCCUUAGAUCCAUCUGCCAUCAAGGCUUGUUGCAACUUAUUUGAAUCCUUUGAUUGCAAGUCCAAGUAUAGAGUUUCCCCCGCUUAAUACGACAACCAAUCGUCUGUCUUGUUUGAAUGUCCUUAAUCACACAAAAUUCAGGCCAAAAAAUGACAAUACAAGAUAAGGCUGCAGUGAUUUGAGAAACUAACAAAAGAUUGUAAUCUAAAGAUGGAACAACUAAAACAGAAUCCAAAUUCAAAGUAUCAGUAAGAGUUAAGGAUCCUUCCCCAAUGACUGGGGUUGUGUUACCAUUGGCUGUGGAAACAAUUUUUUGUGAGGAAGGUCUAAGGGGUGAAACCUGUCUAGAAUCAAAAGUCAUAUGAUCUGUAGCACCAGAAUCAAUUAUCCAUGCACUAUUAAUAACAGGUGUAAAAGUAUUUAAAAACUUACCACAAUGAUCUGUAGCGGCUACUAAUGCAGAGACUUUCUCAACAACAUUAGUCUUUGUUUUUAUUUCGGUAACAGUUGCAAUCAAGGUUUUCUUGGAAUUCUUCUUCCGUUGAUCACGAUUAUUAUCAUUAAUAACAAAGUGUUGAUAGCCUAAACAUGAUCUAAAGGUCCAUGGUGCAAACCCUCGGUUCCUCAUUGUUUUCCUGGUCAUACCAAGAGUUGUUGCUUUGAAAUUGUGGGAUAUCCAGACUGGUGGGAUCAGUUUUAUUGCAGUGAGUGCAUUUGAAUGUUGACUUAUCAAUAUUAGGGCUUGUCUUCGGAUGGUUGAUUGCUGUUGGACUACCAUAGCGACAAAAUAUCCAGGAUUUCAAUUCCAGGGCUCUGAUACCAUCUUCAAAUUGAUGAAUGAUAGUUUUUCAUUCAUUCUUUCAUGUACAGAGUAUAUAUAGAGGGUAAUCACCAUUCUAAGAAUGGGAAAGAAUGAUACGAGGAAAUAAUGAUAUAAGGAAAUAAUAACUAAUAUCCUAAUAUCUCAACUUUCCUAAUAUCUCAAUAUUCCUAAUAUCUCAACUUUCCUAAUAUCUAAACAUUCAUAAUAUCUCAACACUAAAUGAUACAAGGAAAGAAUGAUAUAAGGAAAACAUUCCUAAUAUCUCAACACCACUUCAUGAUAUAUAUAGUUUCUUACCCUUAAUCAAUGGUUUCUAAGUGAAUUUAUAUAGAAAGAAAUCCAAACUGUAGACAGCAGUAUUGGUAACACUCAAUAUUCUGUAUAUAAUAGAAUAAAUAGCGUCACAGUGAUCGUCGCCUACAAGCAAGGUACAAAUACCACAAAGAGUGACCCACAUAGACAUUCCCCAACAAGAUGUAGUAGUGACUGACACAUAGCCACAAUUAACACGUAGAAAAGGAUAAGACCGGUGCACAGUAGCUCUUAUUUUACAUACUACUUAUGCCAACCAAAGUCACUCAGUUGGGAUGGGAGGGAGAUGGAGGUUUGUGCGGUGGCUUGUGGGGCGGAGUUGAUGGCUUCUUUCCAGGAGCUUCUGGCUUUUUCAUCGGAGCUGAAGGAGGCUCAAUCUUAUGAGGCGGCUUGUACGAGUCUUCUUUGCUCUCGAAAGGAGGGUGGCCAGGGUUGUGACCAUAAUGUGGUGGUUUCUCUCCCUUGGGAGGUUUACCAAUUGGGGUUGGUGGCUUGUGUUCUGGGAGUGGUUUCUCUCCCUUGGGAGGUUUAGUGGGUGACUUGUGUUCUGGAGGUGGCUUCUCCACCGAAGGCUUGUGCUCCGGUGGUGGCUUUUUGGUUGGAGGGGGCUUGGGGUAAUCAGCAAGAGAUGGGGUGGUGAGAACCACCAGUCCAAGGAACAACACUAGCAAGUAUGUGGGAGACAUUUUUGAGUUUGGGCUGAUCAGAUGAUGCAAAACUAAAGCAUUACGUGACCUUUUAUAGCAAGUAGCUCCCAAUACCUACUUGACACGUGUUACUGUGACCCAUAAAUAUUAUGGGGUCUAUUUGUGCCCUACCGGGUUGAAAACUUGGACAAUUGGGCAAGGACCCGCCUGACUAUGGAGGACUACUGAGGUGUGAUCACAGCUUUAGGAUUUUUCUUCCUCUGCAGCCGUCUUGCCGUUGGCAUGAUUUUCUUAAUCUCAAAUAAAGGCAUAGUUAUAGAGUUGUUUAAUCUCUAAAUGGGAUUUUAUAUAUCUUCAGAUAGCCAUUAAUACAUUUGAUGAAGAAAGAAAGACAAGUGCAUACAACAUGUAUACGACUAGCUUUCAUGGAGUUCAUUUAUGAUCAGUUUUCCUGUACAUGUAAACCAAGAUCAUAUAUGUUUUUGUUCCACAACAAUUUUGGAAUCUUGUUUAUCCGUUUUUAUCAUUAUAAUGUCACAUAGGCUGCCAACUUGGGCGCUAAAUUAAAGAUCCAGUUGGGCAAGUUCGUUUCAGAAUUUCAAUGGUGGAUUCAGGAAUUGUUUUAUAAGAUAUGCAAAAUAGUAGAGGGAUGAAUAGUGUUUCAUUAAGAAAAGAGCCCUGUAAAAAUAUUGUUUAAAGGUGCCAUAGAAACUAUAAUCAAUAAAUAACUUUUUUUCCCCAUGGGUGGUGUUUCUUGUGGGGAUCAGUGACUGGUUUGAGUCAACGCCGUGUCUCUUUAGUCCAGAAAUCAACUAUUUUAUGCAUUGAAUACAUCAACAAAGAAAAUAUGAAAGCCAAAUGACACCUCCCCCGCAAAAACUAAACCCUGGUUGCUAACUUUCUAUGUUUCAGUUCCAUUCACACAAGAAUAUUAGUUCAAGUUUGAGAAAAAUGGCGACUUACCUAGUGAUAACUCGGUCUUGGUUUGCGAUUUGACUUUAACGUCAUGGGUUGAAGCCUCCUACAAUCAUCGUGUAUGCUAGUUCAAAGCUCGUGGAAGAAGUUAUACAGGGAGGGAGAAACCUCCACAGCAAGCUCCAAAAGAGAAUUAUCACAUUGAAAGCUCCAGUUGAACACUGGGUGAAAGCCAUAACAAGAUUGGUUUUCUAUCGCUCUUUUAAGUAAUGGAAGAUUAUUAUCUCUGCUUGUCACUACAACCGUGCAUGCUGCUAGAUCUUUCUAGACACUUCAAACAGUGAAACCAAGUAUGAUUCUUUUUCUCUUGAGUGGGUCCACUUGCAUGCCAAUGAACGAGUUGAAAAGUUGGACAAUUGGCCACAGCGCGCACUUACCUUCUGGAACCGAAGGUCAGUGAAGUGGGGUUCCUUUUGGCCCCUUGUGUUUCUGUUCCAACCUACUCCAGGAACCGAAGUUCAGUGAAGUGGGGCUACUUUUGGCCUCUUGUGUUUCUGUUCCAACCAAACAAAAAUGGGAGGGAAAAAUAGCAUUAUGCUUGUGCUAAAGAUCAACGCAUGAUAGCUGAAUAAGGGAGAAAAAGGCAUUGCUAUCUCAAUUUCAUAAACUUGAUAAGUAGUGACAUUAAUAGUCUUCCUCAUAGAUGGAUACAUGGUUUUAUUUUAUUUAUUUAUUUUUAUUUUUUUGUUUUAUGUCAAUGCUAAUGAAUGAAGUGCAUUAGCUUGUUUUGUGACUAGAACUACAAAUGUCCAAAUUGGAGCUUCUCCAAUAUAUUUCUCAGUGAGUUAUUGAUUAGAACUCUUGGAUUGAGUUCCAAGAUUUGAAUCAGACCCCUCUAGCAGCUUCAGGGGUACGUAGCAACCUAUAGCAUAUUAAUGAAGACUUAGGAUUUAGACUUAGGAAUACAAAUUAAUAUGUACCUCAUGCUCUGACUAGCUUCCCUGCGUAUGCACAAAAUGGAGAUGACUCCCAAAAAAAUAGCAGAAUCGCCUUAGUAUGUUUUUGUGGUUAAGAUGAUUCUCCACUUUAUAUAUCCACAUUGGUUCAUUAUGCAAAUUAAUCAACUAAGCUAUUUUUAUUUUUUCUUAAAUGUGAAAUAGGAGCUCCAAAUUAACCUAACCAUUGGCCUGAUUGAAUUGAUUUCACUUGCAUAAUGUUAUAGUAGAAGUCCGUAAUUUGAAUUUUAUUUUUGCAAAAGGUAACGUAAAUGAAGCAUUGUAAUUAAAUUUAUUUGUAAUUACAAACUAAUUUUAUUUUAUUAAGAAUUAAUUUAAUUACUCAUUUAAAAUAAAAAUCAGUUAUACUUUUACCAAGAUGAUAAUAUUCAUAUUUUUCUAGUUAACAUAUAUAAAAUAGUACACUUUUUCAUAUAAAAAAAUAAUUUAUGAUUUAUUAUAAUGUUACUAUUCACAUUUUACUAAAUUGAUGGUACAUGAUAGUGAGAGAAGGGGGUGUCACACUCAGCUAAAGUUCUUUUCAAAAUAUUGCAUGGUGUUUAAUUUUAUGUGUCGGCGCGCGUGUGAAUGGAACCUGCAAAAGUCCAAAUUGGCGUUUCUCCAUUUUCCACAUAGGAUGGUGACGUUAAUAGACAAAGAUACAAUAUCUGUAGACAUUGCUUAAAAAUCGAUGUGAAGUAUUAGAAAUUACAGGGCACUGUACUGGGGGAGCGGCUGCCCCGCCAAAGGAGGAAGAAUGUAGCAAUUUCUUCUGUUAGCCAGGCCUUAGGAUUUAUGCAUGGGAUGCCUAAUAACAAACAGAGAAAAUAUACUUUUGGGGAAGGUAUCCAACAACAGACACCAUCAUUCAGAUGGUGGGAAGGUAUCCAACAGAUGCCAUCAUUCAGAUGGUAACAUAUAUAUACAUUUAUUAGUGAGUUUUUUUAAUACCUAUAAAAAAAAAUAUACACUUUGAUAUUGUGGCUGAAUCCAUUACAUACUCAACUAACCUUGCUCAUUAGGGAUUUGACUUAACAAGGGCAACGUUGCAGUACAAGCUCAAAACUUUAUGCAGGUGACAUUACAUUUGGUAAAGAAGAGGAAAAUAACGAAAGCCAUCCAUAAAAGCAAAAUUCCACAUGGGAUGAAAUUCACAAGCUUCAUUUACGAUAGAGUCGCAUCCAGGCAAUUAAUUCCACAUUAGACCGCCUGUUGACAUGUGUACCAAUCUUUUUUCAAAAAAUAUUUAUAAAUAAUUGAUACUCACAAAAAUAAUUUAAUAUUUAUAAAGGAUAAAAAAAUAUUUUCAAAUCUAUAACAAUUUAUAAAAUAUUAAUAAAAAAUUAUCUCUUAAACUUAGUAUAGUUUUAUCAGAUUAAACUUUUAUUUUGAACAAAUAAUUUUAAUCUAAGUUUUAAAUUCUAAAAUUAUUUCCUUAAAAUAAAAUUUUAAAAUUCAACACUUCAAUUGAAAUUGUCUUUUUAAAAAAUAUCUUCUUAUUUUAAUCCUUAUAAACUAUAGUUGAUUGAAAAUACUAUUGAAGUUCUCUCUUAAAAAAAAGUCUUAUUUUAAUCUUCAUAAAUUGCCCUUGAUUUGAAAAUAAAUUUUCAGUUAUCAUAUUUUAAAUAAUAUCUAUAUUUAAAAUACUCUAUUUAAAAAAAAAUGAACUAAUUUUAAUUAUAUUAUAUUUUAUUUUUUUAUAUAUUUUUAAUGAUAAACCAAACAUAGAAAAUCAUUUUUCUAAAUAUUUUAAAAUUUCUAAGCAACCAAACAUAAUCUUCAAAAUAAAAGGAAAAUAAGGAGGGACAUUUGAGAAAUGGCGAUUAAAAAAAAGUGUACAAAAGCUCAAUUAAUUUUCUUCUAGUCUUUUAUAUAAAAAAGUAAAGGAAUUGAAAAGUAUUGAUAUGUAAAUUAAUAUUUGGAUUUUAAUAGUAUUUUAUUUGUCUUUCUCUAUCUCAUGUAAAAGAGAAUUUAAGAUAUUUCCUAAAGCAAAGCAUUAGUUAUCUGCAAUCAGUGGUGAUCAUGCCCCAUGUCAAUUUCGGACCCAUAUCUUAAAACUGUAUAAUUUGCAUUCAAACAUUACUGAUUUCUCAGAUGUUUCAUACUCCACAGAAGAGCAUUGUUUGUGAAAGCAUGCAUUUAUGUUGGAUUUUGGAUGAUGUGGGAACUGGGGCAAGGAUCAUAUGGAAGAGUGGUCGAUUUUGUUCUGUACUUUAACAUUUGAAAUAGGAGAAGCUCGGGCAUUUGUGGGGCUUAAUUGAUUUUGAAGCCUGAAAUUGCGUUUCUGUCAUUUUGUAAAAAAUAUGGCAGAUUCCAUGCUCUCAUAUGUUUGGUCUGUGGCCAUGUAUAGAUGCCCCUUAGUGACCAGUUUGUAACUGUCAAUCAUAGUGUUUUGACUCUGGCUCAACAACAUCAGCCAUUGACGGAUUUUCAUACUUGCAAAUCAAAUAGUCUUCUUCCUCCCUUAGGAAUUUCGGUUUAAAUGUUAUUAAGCAUACAUUUGGCUGACAAUUAUUAACCACUUCAUGAUAUGGUUUCUUACCCUUAAUCAAUGGUUUCUAAGUGAAUAUAUGCAGAAGGAAAUCUGAACUGUAGACAGCAGUAUUGAUAACUCUCAAUAUUCUUUAUAUAAGAGAAUAAACAACGUCAUAGUGAUCGUCGCCUACAAGAAAGGUACAUUUCCCAACAAGAUGUAGUUGUGACUGGUACAUGGACGCAAUUAACUCGUACAAAAGAAUAAGACCAGUGCACGGCAGCUCUUAUUUUACAUGCUAAUUAUGCUAACCAAAGUCACUCAGUUGGGAUGGGAGGGAGAUGGAGGUUUGUGCGGUGGCUUGUGGGGCGGAGUUGGUGGCUUCUUUUCAGGAGCUUGUGGCUUUUUCGGAGCUGAAGGAGGCUCAAUCUUAUGAGGCGGCUUGUACGAGUCUUCUUUACUCUCGACAGGAGGGUGGCCAGGGUUGUGACCAUAAUGUGGUGGCUUCUCUCCCUUAGGUGGCUUGCCAACUGGGGUUGGUGGCUUGUGUUCAGGAAGUGGUUUCUCUCCCUUGGGAGGUUUACCAAUUGGGGUUGGUGGCUUGUGUUCUGGGAGUGGUUUCUCUCCCUUGGGAGGUUUAGUGGGUGACUUGUGUUCUGGAGGUGGCUUCUCCACCGGAGGCUUGUGCUCCGGUGGUGGCUUCUCCACCGGAGGCUUGUGCUCCGGUGGUGGCUUCUUGAUUGGAGGGGGCUUGGGGUAAUCAGCAAGAGAUGGGAUGGUGAGAACCACCACUCCAAGGAACAACACUAGCAAGUAUGUGGGAGACAUUUCUGAGUUUGAGCUGAUCAGAUGAUGCAAAACUAGAAGAAUUACGGGACCUUUUAUAGCAAGUAUCUCCCAAUACCCACAUGACACGUGUUACUAUGACCAUAAAUAUUAUAGGGUCCAUUUGUGCCCUACCGGGUUGAAAACUUGGACGCUUGGCCGAGGACACACCUGACUAUGGAGGACUAUUGACGUGUGAUCACAGCUUUUGGAUUUUUCUUCCUGUGCAGCUGUCUAGCGGUUGGCAUUAUUUUCUUAAUCUUAAAUAAAGGCAUAGUUAUAGAGUUGUUUAAUCUCUAAAUGGGAUUUUAUAUAUCUUCAGAUAGCCAUUAAUAUAUUUGAUGAAGAAAGACAAGUGCAUACAACAUGUAUACGGCUUGCUUCAAUCGAGUACAUUUAUGAUCAGUUUUCCUGUGCAAGUAAACCAGUUUUUUGUUCCACAACUAUUUUGGAAUCUUGUUUAUCAGUUUCUAUCAUUAUAAUGUCACAUAGGCUGCAAACUUGGGCACCCAAAGAUCUAGGUGGGCAAAUUUGUUUCAGACUUUCAAUGGUGGAUUCAGUAAUUGUUAAAAGGUGUUUCUUCAUUAAGGAAAGAGUCCGGUAAAAAUAUUGUUAAAAGGUGUCAUAGAAACUAUAAUAAAUAAAUAACUUCUUUUCCCCAUGGGUGGUGUUUCUUCUGGGGAUCAGUGACUGGUUAGGGUCACCCAAAAUGAGUCCAGAUUAAAAUUGGUUCGAGUCAAAGCAGUCUCUUUUGUCCAGAAAUCAACUAUUUUGCGCAUUGAAUGAAUCGAUAAAGAAAAAAUGAAAGCCAAAUCACACCUCCCCUGCAAAACCUAAACCCCGGUUGCUAACUUUCUAUGUUUCAGUCCUAUUCAUAUAGGAAUAUUGGUUCAAGUUUGAGAAAAAUGGCAACUUACCUAGGGUUUACUUGGUUUUGGUUUGCGACUAUUUACGCAACCAACCAUGAGUUUGACUUUAACGUCAUGGGUUGAAGCCUCCUACAAUCAUGUAUGAUAGUUCAAAGCUCGUGGAAGAAAUUAUACAGGAAGGAAGAAACCUCCAAAGCUAGCUCCAAAAGAGAAUUAUCACAUCGAUAGCUCCAGAGAUUCCCAAGGGAACUGAAUCAAAGACAAGUUCCUCACUUUUUCUUCUUUUGAGGCCAAAUAUGAACCAAGGAUCACACGACCUCAUUCAACUUCAUAAGUUUGAUUUCAUGCAGUUGAACACUGGGUGAAGGCCAUGACAAGAAUUGAUUAAAAAAUUCUACCACUCUUUUAAGUAAUGGAAGAUUAUUAUCUCUGAUUGGCACCACAACAGCACAUGCUGCUAGAUCUUUCUAGACACUCCAUGCAAUGAAAGCACAAUGGAUCUUGUAAUGAUAGAAACUAAGCCAUGCUACAGUACUAGAUGAGGGGGUAAAACUAGUAGACAUCUUUCUAGACACUCCAUGCAAUGAAAGCACAAUGGAUCUUGUAAUGAUAGAAACUAAGCCAUGCUACAGUACUAGAUGAGGUGGUAAAACUAGUAGACAUGGCUGGCAGUUGAUUACUACUCAAAAAGUACUCUUUUAUAGCUUGAAACUAACUGUUUUAAACACUUUUGAGUAGUAGUUAAUACCUUUUAACUUAAUUGGCACAUUAAGGAACCUAGCAAGGGUUACUAAUCAACAUUUGGCAAGUUUUGAUGUUUUUGGUAGCUAUUUGAUCAUUGAAACAAGCCAAGAAUGAGGGGGAAUUUUGUGAAGUCCAUGGCAAUGCAAGUUAAAGCUCAAAUACAUGAAGAAUCCAAGCUUUGGAGCACUUCAUAGCCCUUUGCCAAGCCAAUCAAAGAUGCAAGGAAGAAAACCAAAGGAAGAAAUCCAACAAUCAGCAUUUUGGCAUGGCUAUGUGAAAUUUCGCACACCAUGCGAAACCACAAGAGGCAGCCAAAGAAUUUCGCAUGGUAUGCGAAAUCUUCUUGUGCACUGACUCUGUUAGAUUUUUAUCUUCAGAUAUUUUGUGUAAUUUCCUAGUUUCUCCUUGUAACCAACUUAGAUAUUUUCUUUUAUAUCUUUUUUUAUAUUUUUUAGGUAACAUCAUAUAUAAGAGGAGAGACAUAAGGAGGAUAUGGAUGUUUUUCAUAGAACACUUGUAAAUUUUUGGUAGUAAGAAAUAUACAAAGCUUUUUGCUCUGCCUUACCUUCUCAAGGGAUGAGUGGCUAGGUUUUCUUGGAGUGAGGGAAGCUAGGUGAAGGACCUGAAUGCAAAGGUGGGAGUUUUCCUUACUUUAAAUGAAAGUAGUUGUUAAACAUUAAUGGUUUUUAUUUUAAGGUUUAGCUUUAAAUCCCUGAAAAACACCUUGAAUGGCCAAUACUUGGUAAGCUUUUUAGAUUCUAUGGAUGCUUAUUGCUAGAUCCAUGGAUGUCUAUUAGUUAUCAUUUACGAGCCAUUGGAAGGUGAUUCAAGGUGAGGGUCUUUAGUGUUUGAAGCCAUUAAUGGGAAGCAAUUACCAUUUUUUCAUGAAUCCUUUGGAUCAAAUCUUAAUUGCUAAAUAUAAAACCGGUUUCGAGAGAUAACCACCAUCCUUUAUGUUAUUAUCCCCAACGCGAGGAGAAGAUCCGAAAUCUUCCUUUUUAUCUAAGGAACCCGAUCCUAGUGACCUAAAGCUCCAAGAUACCUUUUCUUUGUAGUUAACUUCAUUUAUUGUUUUUGCUUAACUUAAAAUCAAUCUUUGCAACCACAAUUCCAUUUUCUUUAAAAGCUAAUUUUUAUAAGGAAAAACACCAUUUUAUUUCCUUCACUAAGUCAACUGUACGAUGAAAACCCAUCCCUGUGGACGAUCCUAGAGCCACUAUACUAUGUUAGCUAUGCUACCCUAGUGUGAGGUGAUUUAGGUUUUAUAAAUUUUUUUGAUAACACCCAUCUGAGCCAGAAUCAAAUGGCACGACUGAACCAGGGACGAAUCAAAUGACGCCGCUACCAAGGAUGGUGCCAAAGUACAUUGACAUGACUUUUGGUGAACACUUGUGAUCUUCACCACAAGUUUGGUGAUUUUUCUUUUACUAAUUUUUUUUAUUUUAGCUUAUCUUUUAUUUAGUUUUUAGUUAACCUUAAAUUUUUCCUAGAAUUGUAUUUCUUUUGUUUUCUUUGUUUUUGUUUCAGUGAUCUUUAGUUGUGCAUGCCCUAUUGGAUAAGAGAUAUUGAGGGAAUACUUGUGAAGAUUGAAACUCCUCGAGAAACUGAGUUAGAAGUGUGCUUGAACAUCAUGGAUGUUCCACCUGAAGACCAGAAUAGCCAACAUGGUUAAGAGGAUAAUUUCAACACAUACCGAUCCAUGAGGAACCGCAUACAUCCACCUUGUAUGAGUGCACCGUCAGGCAUAAUGCCUCCCACUGAGCAGCUAGUAAUCUGACCUCACAUUGUGCCACUCCUACCUACUUUCCAUGGGAUGGAGAGUGAGAAUCCCUACUCGCAUAUUAAGGAAUUCGAGGAGGUUUGUAAUACAUUCCAAGAAGGAGGAGCUUCAAUUGACUUGAUGAGGCUCAAGCUAUUUCCUUUCACUUUGAAGGAUAAGGCCAAGAUUUGGCUUAAUUCUUUAAGGCCAAGAAGUAUCCAAACUUGGAUUGAUUUGUAAGCCGAGUUUCUUAAGAAGUUCUUCCCUACCCAUAGGACCAAUGGUUUGAAAAGGCAAAAUUUGAACUUCUCAGUUAAAGAGAAUGAGAAAUUCUAUGAGUGUUGGGAGAGCUACAUGGAAGCUAUUAACGUUUGUCCUCACCAUGGCUUUGACACAUGGCUCUUAGUGAGCUAUUUUUACAAUGGUAUGUCUUCUUCAAUGAAGCAACUCCUAGAAACUAUGUGUGGAGGAGACUUCAUGAGUAAGAAUCCGGAGGAAGCCAUGGACUUUUUGAGUUAUGUGGCUGAAGUUUCAAGAGGAUGGGAUGAACCAAAUGCUAGAGAGGUGGGAAGAAUGAAGUCUCAACCUAAUGCUAAGGGUGAGAUGUAUGUUUUGAAUGAAGACAUUGACAUGAAAGCAAAGGUUGCAGCUAUGGCAAGGAGAUUGGAAGAGCUAGAAAUGAAGAACAUACAAAAAGUGCAAGCCAUUUCUGAGACAUCAAUGAAAGCUAUGCCUUGUUCCAUUUGUCAAUCUUAUAAGCACCUAGUGGAGGAGUGUCCUACAAUUCCAGCAGUGAGAGAGAUGUUUGGUGAUCAAGCAAAUGUUAUUGAUCAAUUCAAGCCUAAUAACAAUGCUUCAUAUGGCAACACCUACAAUUCAAAUUGGAGGAACCAUUCAAAUUUCUCUUGGAAACGAAAGCCACCUCAAUACACACAACCUACUCAAGCACCUUAGCAAUCCUCGAAUCUUGAACAAGCUAUUGUGAACCUUAGCAAGGUUGUGGGAGACUUUGUGGGAGAUCAGAAGUCCAUCAAUGCUCAACUGAAUCGGAGAAUUGACAGUGUGGAGAGUACAUUGAACAAAAGGAUGGAUGAGAUGUAAAAUGAUCUGUCUCAAAAGAUAGACAAUGUCCAAUACGUAAUCUCAAGGCUUACCAACCUCAACACAGUGUAAGAGAAAGGAAAGUUUCCUUCUCAACCUCAUCAAAAUCCUAAGGGUAUCCAUGAAGUAGAGGCUCAAGAGGGAGAAUCUUCAAAGGUGAGGGAAGUCAAAGUAGUUAUCACCUUGAAGAGUGGUAAAGAGGUUGAUCAACCCACAUCCAAGCCAAAGCAUAAUGAAGAGAGUGUAGCAGAAAAAGAAAAGAGAGGAAAAUAAAGGAAUUAGAAUAGAGAAAAAUACAAAGAAAGAUGACCAUGAGUCUAGUGUGGAUGAAGAGCCCGAGAGGAUGGUGAUCAAGGAAGAUAUGAUGAAGAAACACAUGCCUCCACCUUUCCCCUAAGCUUUGCAUGACAAAAAAAGAACCAAUAAUACAUCAGAAAAUUUUGAAGUAUUGAGGCAAGUGAAGGUCAAUAUCCCUUUGCUAGACAUGAUCAAACAAGUGUCGACAUAUGAAAAAUUCUUGAAGGACUUGUGCACUGUAAAGAGAGGGUUGAAUGUGAACAAGAAAGCUUUAUUGACCGAGCAAGUGAGUUCCAUCAUACAGUGCAAGUCCUAGUGAAGUACAAAGAUCCGGGUUGCCGUACCAUCUCAGUGAGUAUUGGAAGGACUUGUGUGGAGAAAGCUUUGUUGGACUUGGGAGCAAGUGUGAAUUUGCUAUCCUACUCUGUCUAUAAGCAGUUGGGAUUUGGAGAGUUGAAGCCAAUAUCCAUCACUCUAUCUCUAGCGGAUAGAUCAAUGAAGAUUCCAAGAGGGAUGAUCGAAGAUGUCCUGGUUCAAGUUAACAAAUUCUACUAUCCAGUAGAUUUUGUUGUUCUUGAUAUGGAUCCGGUUGUCAAAUGAACUAAUUAUGUUCCUAUCAUACUUGGAAGACCCUUCCUAGCUACAUCAAAUGCAAUCAUCAAUUGUAGGAAUGGAGUCAUGCAACUCACAUUUGUCAACAUGACAUUAGAGCUCAACAUCUUCCAUUUGUACAAGAAGCAUAUCCAUCAGGAGGAAAAAGAAGGUCUAGAGGAAGUGUGAAUGAUUGACACUUUAGUGGAAGAGCAUUGUGAUCGAGAAUGCAAAAAGAUUUAGUUGAGAAUUUUGGGGAUCUUGAUGAAAGGUUACUUGAACCCUCAGAUUUGCUUGCUACCCUACUCCAUUGGAAGAGAAGAGAAGAAAUUCUACCCUUAUUCAAUGAGGAGGAGACGCAAAGAGCUGCAAAGGAGAAACCCCCAAAACUUAUUCUUAAGCCACUACCCACAGAGUUGAAGUAUGUAUACUUGGAAGAAGACAAGAAGUGCCCUAUUGUUAUAUCUUCAACUCUUACCAUUCAUCAGGAGGAUUGUCUACUUGAAGUCCUUAGAAGAUGUAAGAAGACAAUAAGGUGGCUAAUUUCUUAUUUGAAAGGGAUCAGCCCUUUAGUCUGCACCCAUCAUAUUUACAUGGAGGAUGAAGCUAAGCUAAUUCAUCAACCUCAGAGAAGGUUGAACCCUCACAUGCAAGAGGUGGUUCGAGCUGAAGUUCUGAAGCUACUUCAGACCAGUAUUAUUUACCCCAUAUCAAAUAGCCCAUGGGUGAGUCCUACUCAAGUUGCGCCAAAGAAGUCUGGGAUCAUGGUGGUGCAAAAUGAUAAGGGAGAAGAUGUCUCUACACGCCUCACUACAGGUUGGAGGGUGUGUAUCAAUUACAGGAGGUUGAAUGCAGUGAUAAGAAAGGACCAUUUCUCAUUGCCCUUUAUUGAUCAGGUGCUUGAGAGGGUCUCUGGGCUUUUUUUUUUAUUGUUUCUUGGAUGGCUACUCCGGGUACUUUCAGAUAGAAAUUGAUGUUGAAAACCAAGAUAAGACCAUUUUCACAUGCCCAUUUGGAACCUAUGCAUAAAGGAGAAUGCCUUUCGGCUUAUGCAAUGCACCCGCAACUUUCCAAAGAUGCAUGUUAAGCAUUUUCAGUGAUAUGGUGGAGCGUAUUAUGGAAGUCUUUAUGGAUGAUAUCACCAUUUAUGGAAGUGCAUUUGAUGAAUGCUUGGUCAACUUAGAAGCUGUUCUGAACCGAUACAUUGAGAAAGACUUAGUGCUUAACUGGGAGAAGUGCCAUUUCAUGGUACACCAAGGGAUUGUCCUUGGGCACAUUAUCUCCAAGCAAGGCAUUGAAGUUGACAAAGCAAAGGUUGAACUCAUUGUUAAGUUGCCAUCCUCAACAAAUGUCAAAGGAGUAAGGCAAUUCUUUGGCCAUGUCGGGUUCUAUAGGAGGUUUAUCAAGGAUUUCUCUAAGCUUGCAAGGCCUCUUUGUGAAAUAUUGGUGAAUGAUGUUAAAUUCAUAUGGGAUGAUGGAUUUGAAAGGAGUUUUGAAGAAUUGAAGCUAUUUUUGACAACCGUACCAAUAGUGAGGGCUCCCAACUGGCAACUGCCCUUUGAAGUAAUGUGUGAUGUCAAUGAUUUUGCUAUAGGAUUUUUUCUUGGGCAAAGAGAAAAUGGAAAACCUUAUGUGAUCUACUAUGCGAGGAAGGCAUUGAAUGAGGCACAAAGAAACUACACAACCACCGAGAAAGAAUUGUUAGCUGUAGUUUUUGCCUUGGAUAAGUUUCGCGCUUACUUGGUGGGGUCCUUCAUCAUGGUUUUUACUGAUCACUUUGCUUUGAAGUAUCUGUUGACUAAGCAAGAUGCUAAAGCAAGGCUGAUUAGAUGGAUUCUCUUACUUCAAGAGUUCAAUCUCCAUAUCAAAGAUAAGAAAGGAGUGGAGAAUGUGGUAGCAGACCACAUUUCAAGGCUAGCUAUCGCACAUAAUUCCCAUGCUUUGCCCAUUAAUGACGAUUUUCUAGAGGGGUCUCUCAUGUUGGUGGAAGUUGUCCCUUGGUACGCUCACAUUGCUAACUACCUGGUCACGGGAAAAGUUCCAAGUGAGUGGAAAGCACAAGAUAAGAAGCACUUCUUUGCAAAAAUUCAUGCCUACUAUUGGGAAGAGCCAUUUCUAUUCAAGUAUUGUAUGGAUCAGAUAAUAAGGAAGUGCGUUCCUGAAGAAGAGCAACAGGGGAUCCUUAGUCAUUACCAUGAAAAUGCAUGUGGAGGCCACUUUGCUUAUCAAAAGACAGCCAUGAGGGUGUUGCAAUCGGGUUUCUGUUGGCCAUCACUUUUCAAAGAUGCCCACACCAUGUGCAAGAGUUGUGAUCGAUGCCAGAGGCUUGGGAAGUUGACACGCAGGAACAUGAUGCCUUUGAACCCCACUUUAAUAGUUGAUAUUUUUUAUGUUUGGGGCACUAACUUCAUGGGACCUUUCCCUAUGUCUUUUGGCUACUCUUACAUCUUGGUAGGAGUAGAUUAUGUUUCUAAGUGGGUUGAGGCAGUCCCAUGCAAACACAAUGACCAUAGAGUGGUUCUCAAGUUUCUUAAAGAGAAUAUCUUCUCAAGAUUUGGGGUGCCCAAAGCCAUAAUUAGUGAUGGGGGUACUCAUUUUUGCAACAAGCCUUUUGAAACUCUCCUAGCCAAGUAUGGGGUGAAGCAUAAGGUAGCUACACCUUACCACCCUCAAACUCAUGGACAAGUUGAGUUAGCAAACAGGGAGAUUAAAAACAUAUUGAUGAAGGUGGUGAACACAAACAGAAAAGAUUGGUCAGUCAAGCUUCUUAAUUCACUAUGGGCAUAUAGAACAACUUACAAGACCAUUCUCGGGAUGUCUCCUUAUCGCCUAGUUUAUGGCAAAGCAUGCCAUCUCCCUGUGGAAUUGGAAUACAAAGCUUGGUGGGCAAUCAAGAAGCUCAACAUGGAUUUGAGCAGAGCUGGGUUGAAGAGGUUCUUAGACCUUAAUGAGAUGGAGAAAUUGAGAAAUGAUGCCUACAUCAAUUCAAAAAUUGCAAAAGAAAAAUUGAAGAGGUGGCAUGAUCAGUUGAUUUCCCGCAAGGAUUUUCAAAAUGGACAAAGAGUCUUACUUUAUGACUCUAAACUCCACAUCUUUCCGGGCAAGCUGAAAUCAAGGUGGAUAGGUCAUUUUACCAUUCACCAAGUGCAUUCAAAUGGAGUAGUGGAACUACUCAACUCCAACAAUAUCGAGAACUUCAAAGUGAAUGGCCACCGUCUCAAGCCCUUUGUGGAGUCUUUUUCUCACAACAAGGAGAAAUUCAUCCUCCUUGAUCCACAUCAAGCUUAACAAGACCAAUUUUCUUGAUGGACUUAGUCUUUCUAAAGACUAUCGAGUCCAUAACUUUUUGUUUUAUUUUUUAUUUGAGAUUUUUUCGGUAUUGUUACUUGUUUUGUUUUUUAUUUUUCGUUUUAAUUUUAUUUGGUUUGAUUUAACUUAGGUUUUUGAUGAUCAAUUACAGGGGGGAUUUCAAAUAGAGGAAAAACCAAGAUAAUUCGCACACCCUACGAAAAUUUCGCAAGGCAUGCGAAAUUUAUGGCUUAUUUUGCAUGGGGUGAAAAUUUUCGUACAUCUUACGAACCAAUUUCGAACACUUUGCGAAAAUAAACCAACCCUGCGAAAUCAUUUCGAUUACUCUACGAAAUUUUCGUAGAGCAUGCGAAAAAUUUAGCACACCAAACACCAUUUCGCAUACUAUGCAAAAACCUAAGGGGUCUGCGAAACCAUUUCGCACCUCCAAAUCCAUUUCGCACAUUGUGCGAAAACCAAGAGGCGCUGUGCGAAAAUGAAAAGUCGCCCUGUCAUCCCUUUUUAAACCCCUCGAGCCCUAAAAUCUCCAUUUCGCAAGCACCCCUGUCCUUGCGAAUCCCUCAUUUUCCUCUACUACCUUGCAACCUCGUCCCUUUCCAUUUGAUAUUGUGCCCCGCGCACAUCUCAUUUCAGAGACUCGCACUCCGCGCCCCCUCAAAGCAUGGACUCGAGACCCACCUUCCAUUUCCGACGUGGCACGGACCCAAGGAGCCCUUUCUGCCCCUUCACUAAGACACACACCAAGGCAGAAAGCCUCCUUUGCUCAAGUGCCUAGUGAUUCUCCAUCUUAGGCCUCAGAGGCCUCGGAGGCCCCGUGGAUUCCACCUUCCGAGGGUAGAGCAGCCAUUGGUCCUUCCUCUUCUACUCCUUAGCGUAGAUACGAGACGAGGAGACCACCUACUACACAAGGGGCGACUACUUCGAGCCUUGAGAAUUCAGUACGAUGCCUUCCUGCCAAGAGGGUCAAGACUUCAGGUCCAAGUGAGUCAUCCAGAGCUUCAUAGCCUAAGCCUCCUGUAGAUUCCAAGGUUCCUACUGACAUAUCACCGGAGUCUAUUAUCAGAAGCCCGAUGCUCAUAGCACCGCCCAUUGAGGGCAACUCAGAUUAUAGAGCGAGAUCUUUCCACUUGGAGCUAUAUUUUGAUCAGGAGGCCAUACGACAGCAGCCUGAGCUCCGAGACUCUUAUGGCUUACUGCAGAGGUACCAUCUUGAGGAACUUAUGACUCCUCGUGAGUUUUUUUAUCCCAGAGUAGCACUAAACUUUUACCAGUCCAUGACUACUCGUGGCGUCCCGAGUCCUACCACGAUUCACUUCACCAUUGAUAGACGUCAUGGUAUCCUCAAGGCCAGACAUAUUACAGAGGCUCUACAAAUUCCUUUCGAGCUAGAGGAUCCAUCUGUUUUUCGCUAAUGGUCCCCAGUAUCUCAGAGGGACAUGGUCCGUAUUUUAUCUAGGGGAACAUCUACAGAUUCGAUCUUUCUACGGAAGGAGCUUCGACCUGGGAUGCUCCUCUUAGAUGUGGUGCUAUGCUCCAACCUCUUUCCCUUACAACAUUCGGUACAUAGGUGAUGAGCUAUUUUGGACGCUUUAUUCCGUAUAUCAGAGGGCUUCUACUUUGGCCCGCACCACUUGAUCAUGGUCUCCCUCAUCCACUUUGAGGAGAAGGUUCAUAGGAAGAAGCUUCAGAGGGUGGACACCAUUCCAUUACUAUUCCUGAGGUUACUUUGCCAGGUCUUGGAGUACAUGGGCUUUCCUACUGAGCCUCGGCUCGAGCUUUGCCGCCUUUGUCGAGAGUGAUCCACUCUCGACAAAUGGAAUUAGUUGGCGGGCUAUUCUGCACCUCCAGGAGCCCCUCCCAUGGUAGCACCUCCAAUGUCCCCACAGGCAAAGUAGGGCGAGCUCCCGGCAAAGACUGUACCACCAAUGCCCACACUUGAGGCUAUUUCUGCUGCUCUGCCUAUGACUCCUACUGUUCCACCAGUUGGUCCUUUUACAUCCGAGCCUUCCAUCACCAUCUCGGCUUCGGAGUUUCGCGCCCUUGUGCAUACCUUUCAGACACUCACCACCACACAUACUCCUCUCUUCUAGCAAAUGGUUGAGAUGUGUGCCCAUCAGGACCGGAAGACUACUAUACUCUGCCAAAUUCAGCAGCACCUAAGACUUUUGCCUCAACCUCAACCUAACCAUCCCAUAUCAUCAGAGCCUCUAGCUCCAACUGAGGAUACUAUUCCACCUGAGAACACUACCACAGUAGAGGUCCGGUUUCCACCACCUUAAGAGGCCACCACAGCUACAUCAGAGGAUGUGUCAUCUCCACUUGAGGCUCCCACUACUUGAUCAUAGGACAUAUCUUUAUCUUAUUGUAUUUACAUAUUAUAUUACUAGAGAUUUGUCCUUGUUUUGAUACUUUAUAUUCUGGGAUUGGAUGUAUUGCCUGAUGAUAUCUCAAUUGUACUUUCUCAUAUUAAUAUAUAGACAUCAAUUUUUUUUAGUAUACUUAGCAUUUUUCUAUUUCCUCUACUCAUUACUCUUUUGUUUUUUUUUACUCAUGUGGUUUCUCUUAUACAACUCAGACUCCAUUUCACUCAGGAGGUACCACUUCCUCCCUUUAUUUUCAAUUGCUCUUGAAAUAUUGAGUGCAAUGUUGAUCUUGGUUGGGGGGAGAGUUGAGGAAGGAAGUUUUGUUAAUAAUGCUAGGUUAAUUUGUUAAUUUAGUUACUUUCUGCUUAAUUUUAAAAGUUUUCACUCUACUUUCCAUGGUUAUUAAGGAAAAAUUCUCAAAAUGAAAUGGGAGAAAUCGAAUUCUUGCAUUUUUACUUGAAUCUUAGAAUUUGUAUCAUGCUUAUUAAAGUUGAUGAAUUAUUGAAACUCCUAUUGAAUUCAACCUUAUUUUUUCCACUUUAAUCUUACCACACACGGUGCACAUUAGGUUCCAGUUAUAAGAUAAAAAACUAUCUCACCCCCUAAACUUAGAAAAAUUUACACUUGGUACCUUUGACAUCGUUUUAAUAGUGUUGGGACACCUUAUAAAAGGCCAAUGAGCCUUUAAAAAAAAAAAAAAAAAAAAAAAGAGAAAGAACAAAGUAUUGCACUUGCCUUGAAACCUGAGCAAGAUCCGAGGGGUAUACAGUGAAAGUCUUUAAAACCUGGUGCCCUAAGCCUUGAUUGGUUGGGAGUCACCGACCUCAAUGCUCGUUAUAAGGGUGAAUAGGUGGAGUUUAACAUAUUGUAGGUGCUUGGGUAUUGAAUUUCAAUCUCAAAAGUCCGGGAAAAAAUCUAAGGAGUUAGUGGUCAAAAGAUCCUUAAAGCUUGAUGCCCUAAACCUUGAUUGGUUGAGAGUCAUUGAUGGAUCCCCGCUACAUGGACAUUUUAGAAAACAAUACCUUUAGCAUUGCACGCCUACAAUGAAAAAAAAAUGUGAAAUAAAAGAGGUGCGUUCUUAGCCUAUUGGAGGUUGGUCAGUUUGCUAAAGUUUGAGAAAUCUAGGUUGGGGGGAGAGAAUAGUCCGACAUACUAUAAUAAAAAACUAAUAACCUUAACACUUAGAUUUUUGUGGAAGAGUAAGGAUUGGACCUUUAGGGGUGGAAAUUCUUUUGAUGCUUAAAUUUGCAUAAUGCCUACUCUUUAUAAAUUAUGAUUAGGCAAGAGAUUUGAUGACUCUUGUUCAAAGUUGGGUUUUUCCUCUUUGAUGUUCCAUGAGAGAGUAUAAUCCUCAUCAUGCCACUUGAAAUCUUUUUGGAGUGAUUAACAUGAUUUUGUAAAUUAUUUUACUGUCUAUUUUUCUUUAUCUCUCUUUUAUUGCUAAUGGACUAGCAAUAUGUCAGUUGGGGGGAGUGAUUACUACUCAAAAAGUACUCUUUUAUAGCUUGAAACUAACUGUUUUAAACACUUUUGAGUAGGUGUUAAUACAUUUUAACUCAAUUGGCACAUUAAGGAACCUAACAAGGGUUACUAAUAAGUUUUUGGCAAGUUUUGGUGUUUUUGGUAGCUAUUUGAUCAUUGAAACAAGCCAAGAAUGAGGGAGAAUUUUGUGAAGUCCAUAGCAAUGCAAGUUAAAGCUCAAAUACAUGAAGAAUCCAAGCUUUGAAGCACUUCAUAGCCCUUUGCGAAGCCAAUCAGAGAUGCAAGGAAGAAAACCAGAGGAAAAAAUCCAACAACCAGCAUUUUCGCAUGGCUGUGCGAAAUUUUGCACACCAUGCGAAACCACAAGAAGUAGCCAAAGAAUUUUGCACACCAUGCGAAAUUUCGCAUGGUAUACGAAAUCUUCCUAUGCACCAACUCCGUUAUAUUUUUAUCUUCAGAUAUUUUGUGUAAUUUCCUAGUUUCUCCUUGUAACCAACCUAGAUAUUUUCUUUUAUAUCUUUUUUUUAUAUUUUUUAGGUAACAUCAUAUAUAGGGGGAGAGACAUAAGGAGGAUAUGGAUGUUUUUCAUAAAACACUUUUAAUUUUCUGGUAGUAAGAAAUAUACAAAGUUUUUUGCUCUGCCUUACCUUCUCAUUUUGUUUUCACCUAUCUUUCUAGCCAAACAACCUCUGAGAAUGAUUUCUCAGGGGAUGAGUAGUUAGGUUUUACGUUUCUUGGAGUGAGAGAAGCUAGGUGAAAGACCCAAAUGCUAAGGUGGGAGUUGUCCUUGCUUUAAAUGAAAGUAGUUGUUAAAUAUUAAUGGUUUUUAUUUUAAGGUUUAGCUUUAAAUCCCUUAAAAACACCUUGAAUGGCCAAUACUUGGUAAGCUUUUCGGAUUCUAUGGAUGCUUAUUGCUAGAUCCAUGGAUGUCAUUAGUUAUCAUUUAUGAGCCAUUGGAAGGUGGUUCAAGAUGAGAGUCUUUAGUGUUUGAAGCCAUUAAUGGGAAACAAUUACCAUUUUUUCAUGAAUCCUUUGGAUAAAAUCUUAAUUGCUAAAUAUAAAACUGGUUCGGGAGAUAACCAUCCUUUAUGUUAUUAUGCCCAAUGCAAGGAGAAGAUUUCGAAUCUUCUCAUUUGUCUAAGGAACCCGAUCCUAGUGACCUAAAGCUCCUAGAGACCUUUUCUUUGUAGUUAACUUCAUUUAUUGUUUUUGCUUAACUUAAAAUCAAUCUUUGCAACCACAAUUCCAUUUUCUUUAAAAGCUAAUUUUUAUAAGGAAAAGCACCAUUUUAUUUCCUUCACUAAGUCAACUGUAUGAUGAAAACCCAUCCCUGUGGACGAUCUUAGAGCCACUAUACUAUGUUAUCUAUGCUAUCCUAGUGUGAGGUGAUUUAGGUUUUAUAAAUUUUGUUGAUAACACCCGUCUGAGCCAGAAUCAAAUGGAACCACUGAACCAGGGACAAAUCAACAGCCUAUAUGGGAGGGACACAAGUUUAAUUGAUUUGCAUUUCAGCGUUAUAGAUAAGUAUGUUUUGGAAGAUUUGUUCUGGAAAUACUGCACCAAGUACGAUUCUUUUUCUCUUGAGUGAGUCCAUUUGCAUGCCAAUUAACGAGUUGAAAAGUAGGAGCACCUACCUCGUGCUCAUGGAACCGAAUGUCAGUGAAGUGGGGCUCCUUUUAGCCUCUUGUGUUUCUGUUCCAACCAAGGCGGCGUAGGGAAAAACAACAAUAUGUCUGUGCUAAAUAUCAACGCAUGAUAGAUGUUUUUUUUUUUUUUUUUGGUAUGUCAAGGCUAACGAAUGAAAUGCAUUAGCUUGUUUUGUGACUAUAACUGCAAAUGUCCAAAUUGGAGUAUCUCCAUUUCUCACUUCGGAUGGUUAACUUUAUAAACAAGAUAUAGGAAACAUGUGAACAUCUUGAGGAACAAUUCAAAUUAUUCAUUAGAAGUCCUGGGUUAAGUUCCAAGAUUUAAAUCAGACCCUUCUAGCAGCUUCAAGGGUACUUAGCAACCUAUAACAUAUUAAUGAAGAUUUAGGAUUUAGACUCCGGAAUACAAAUAAAUAUGUAUCUCAUGCUUUGACUAGCUUCCCUACAUAUGCAUAAAAUGGAGAUGACCCAAAAAAAAUAGCAGAAUCUAGCUUCCCUACAUAUGCACAAAAUGGAGAUGACCCAAAAAAUAGCAUAAUCGCCUUAGUUUCUGUGGUUAAGGUGAUUCUCCGCUUAAUAUCCACAUUGACUCAUUAUGCAAAAUCAACUGAGCUAAUUUUAUUUAUUUAUUUAAUGUCAAAUAGGAACUCCUAAUUAACUGAUUACUGUCGAAAAGUGCUAUUUUGUAGACCUAAUUAUAAGGGUUUUAAGCACCUUUGAGUAGUAAUCAUAUUCAUUUAACCUAAUUAAUUCAUUAAGCUCCUUAGUAAUUAGUUCUAACCAUUUUUAGUGGCAAGUUUACAUGUUUUUCAUCAGCUUAUGAACCAAUUCAAGCAUGCCAAUUGAUGGAGGAGCUACUUGGGCGAGUUAAGCAAGGAUUUUGGACGUUUACAGGCUUGAAUUUCAAGUGGAAACACGAGCACAAGCAAUGGGAACACCAUUUCGCAAGGGGAGGCAAUUCACCUUGCCAAAUGACCAAUUUCGCAAGGGGAUUUUCCUCAUGGUGCAAAAUUUGGUCAUUUCGCACCAUGAAGAAACCACCUUGCAAAAUUUCGCAAGGUGGAUUUAGGCACCUUGCGAAAUGCCAAAUUUCACAAGGUGGCUUUUCACCUUGCGAAAUUUGGACCUUUCAUCUUCCCCCCUUGCGAAAUGCCUUUGAAAUCCCCUGUUUUGAGACGCUGUUGAUGAUAUUCCACUGCCGGUUCUCCAAGAUAUUUUGCUUGACUUUUAGCUUUAUAAAUACCUAUUUUACCCUUGUAAUCAACCAAUGAAAAGGUUGCUUUUGUAAUAGCUCUUGUAAUUUAGCUUUUUAUUGUCUUUAAAUAGAGGUGAAGAGCCUCAGACACGAUCAUCUUGUAACCUGUAACUUUAUAAGUUAUAAGAGCACUUUUGUUCAUACGCUUCUUUUCUCUUUUCUUUCUCAUUUUCUUAGUAGCCAAACAUCCUUGGAGGAUGAAAUCCCCAAGGAUGAGAGGCUAAAACCUUUUAGUUUCUUGAAGUAAUGGAUGCCAUGUGAAGCUCCCGUGUCAGGAUGGAGAUUUCCAAGCCAUAAAUGUAAGUAGCUGAGCGUCAUAAAUGUUUUCAUUCAAAGUAAAGCUUUUAAUCCCUCUGACUUGCUUUGAAUGGCCAAUACUUGAUAACCUUUUGGUCUCAAUGGAUUCUUAUUGUUAGAUCCACUGACGUUCAUUAGUUAUCUCCUACGAGCCAUUGUAUUGCAAGUCGAGGAGAUGACCUAUACCAAUAAAAGAGCAUUUAUGAGGUUCAACUACCCUUUUUGUAAGUUUUCAAGGACUAAAACUCAGUUGUUAAACUCAUACCGGUUCGAGAAGUAAGCAUCACCUUAGUUGCUUCCCCAACUCGAGGUGAAAAGUCCCAAAAUCUCCAUUUUUACACAGUGAGUUAAGCAUGGCUAUCCAAAGCUUUAAGAAACUUCUUUUUCCAUCUUUUAACCUAUUUUCAUGUUAGUUUAGUUUACAACACCUUCAUCUUUUUAUGUUUUCAUCUUAACCUAAUUUUUAUUAAGAAAAGUUCACUCCAUCCUCCGAACUUCACCAGUUAAAGUAAAAACCCUUCCCAGUGUUCGAUCCUAGAGCCACUAUGCUAUAGUAGCUUUGCUACUUUAGUGUAAGGACCUUAGGUAUAAAUUUUGUUGAUACCCUUACAUGCCAAGCUACCAAGAGUCGGGUUAUCAUUAACCUAACCAUUGGCCUGUGUAAAUUGAUUUCACAUGCACAAUGUUGUAGUAGAAGUCCAUAUUUUGAAUUUUAUUUUUGUAAAGGUAAGGAAAAUGAAGCAUUGUGUAAUUAUAAAAAUAACUUCAUUGGAAUUCACAAGGUUCACCCAAAAUGGAGCUACAUCUGUAUUCUAUCCUACAGUAGACUAUAUAGAUUGUACAAUAGUAAAUUGCAAAUACAAUUAAUAAGUCUUGUGCUUCCUUACUAAUAAUCCUUUGACAUGAACAUUGCAGCACUAAGGUCCUCUUGGGAAGACACCUUGCACCCAUGAGAGCACUAAGAGGAAGCAAGGCAGAGUCAUGGGUGCAAUGUCAUGACUUGUUGUUGCACCAAGAGAGGCUUGGUGAUGCCAUGGUGUUGCAGUAGCAAGAAUGUUGCCUUGGCAGGGACACGAUCUAGGGAUAGAUGCCAAGAAAGGCUUAGCACUCACAUGAGUUGCACAAAGAUGAAUGUAAUAGAGCAUCAGAGAGACGUCUUGGCAAGUAAAUGAAUGGAUCCAAGAGACAACAACAUGAGGAGUUUCAAAUGGAUAAGGAAUGACUCAAAGACAUUUGAAAGCUACAAGUUGGAUUCUAAUUACGAUUGCAAUUUGAGUUUGAGUAGGAGUUUAGAUUUUGAUUGUAAUUGUAGUAUGAGUUGGACUAGGAUUGCUUAUCCUUAGUCAAUAUAGGAGCGGUUCGUGUCACCCUAUGAAAAGAGUUUGAGUAGGGACUAGGAUUGCUUACUCCUAGUCAAAUAUGGAGUAGGUGGUGCCACACCUAUAAAAAAAAGGGACAACAUGAGAGAGAGAGAGAGAGAGAAAGAGAGAGUGAAUUCACUAAAGAUAUUGUGGGAGUUUUGCUUUGUUACGUCUUGUAUUAUUACUUAGAAUAGGAAUAAAAUACAAGUUGGGGCUAGAGCCCCAUAAUUAAUCUCGUGUGCCUUUGUGGUUAUUCUUUAUUUGUCAUCUCGUGUGGAUUGGAUUAGGUUGACUUAGAGGGCUUCUAAGCACCACCUUUGUGGGUUAUUAUUUAUUUUCCAUCUCUUGUGGAUUAGAUUAGGUUGACUUAGAGGGCUUCUGAGCACCACCUUUGUGGGUUAUUAUUUAUUUUCCAUCUAUUGUGGAUUAGAUUAGGUUGACUUAGAGGGCUUUUAAGCACCACAUUUGUGGGUUAUUCUUUAUUUUCCAUAUCGUGUGGGUUGGAUUAGGUUGACAAGGAGAAAAAUUAUGUGGGAAAUUUGUGUUGGGACACUUACCAUAACCAAGUAAAAUCUACCAAGUCCUUUGUAAUAUCUUCAACAAAUAUUUUAGACUAGUUCUUUCAGUUAGUGUAAAGGAGGAAGAAGUGGUAUUGAUUCUAGAAAUAGGGUGUGUGUAUUUGAACUACAAUCCUUAUGAUCCUUAGGUCUCUAAACCUUCGUGAUGGGCUCCCUGACAUUUCAUAGGUUGUGCUACACAUGCGUUUGAAAUUUAGAGUGCGUUUGACAGUGAUUCCGGGAAGUGUUUUUGGCCUUUCUUACACUUGAAAAUUUUUAUUUUUCAAGUAUUAGAAAUGCUACAAACACUUUUGAAAAUUACUGUCAAACACACUCUUAGGAGCGCACAUAUAUAGUAGAAAACUAGAAAUUGUGGUUUUUUUAGGAUUUACUGUAAUGUCAUUAGGAGGGUAGUAAGUUGAAAUUGAGUAUGAACAAAUAUUUCUUUCUUUGGGAUGUUCUUCUAGUAGGUGCUGAUGAAACUGUUCUUUCUACUGCCAAUGUCACAUAUCAGCCAGAAAUUGAAAAUUUCAGUCAAGGUGUCCUCUGUUUUAGUGGUGAGGAAAGCUAGAAAUUUUAAGGUGAAGUUUUGUUAAAAACCUUAAGUAGCUGGGAUAUCAGGCCUGUUUUGCUUGAAAAAAAAAGUUGCAAGAUAACUCAUAUGCCAAACAGGUUCUGAUAUUGUGAAUCUAUCGGCAGACAUCAGUAAUCUCAUCUUCUGAGAUGGAUGUUGGGGGUGCAUGUGGUGGUGGAGGGGCAAGGUUUCAUUUGGUUUAUUUUGUUGAUGGAUAUUGUCUAGCCACCUGCGCCAAGUUUGAGGGGUGGUGGGUUGUGAUGACCCUACAAUUACUAUUAAUUUCUUCAUCUUUUACCGAUUAAAGUGUCCGAACAGUCGAAGUUACCCUUAUGCAUGUCAACUUGAUCACUUACCUCUUCAAUGGAGUUUAUGCUGGUUCAUUUAGGAACUGAUUUUUAUUGUUAUGUAUUAUAUGCUGAUGUUUAGGUCUCUCCAUCAUCACUAUAUACAAAAAUUCUAGGUUGAUACUAUAGGUUGAGAUUUAUUUUUUAAAUAAAAAAUAAUAAAAAUAAAAAUUAUGGUGAUGUUUAGUUGUUUUAUGGAAAAUUUUAACAAGUAAAAGUUAUUUUUGGGCAAGUUUUCAAACAAAAAGAAAAGUAAAAGUUGUUUUGACAAAAACAUAUAGAAAAAAAAAUCAUAGAAAAUAAAUAAUUUCCCCAUAUUCUAACUUUUUUGAAUUUUUCUCAAUGGGCAAAGGAAUAUCAAAUCAAGUUUGAGUAGGAUUUCUUAAUUUUUAAAAUAACUUACAAUUAAAAAAUUUUGGUGUUUUCAUUUUUGGACAAUUUUUUAUUAAGCAAAUGGACUCUGAGUCAUGCAAGAGAUAUGGUUCAUUAACCGGUCGAACAAUUUUUUUAAAUUAAUUUAAAAGUCAAAUACAUAAUCAAUUUCACAAAAUUUAUAAACAAAAAUAGGUUUAGAGAAGAUCUACACAUAAUUUUACUUUUCUAAUUUUAUUUUAUUUUAUUUUUUGUUGGAAAAUAGUCUUCAAAUCAUGUAAGAUUUAAUAGGUUAAAUUUGUUAACAAUAAAUUUUAAAUUAUAAAAUAUAAUCUGGAACUCAAAAAUCAAUUCAAGUAAUGCUAAAAAAAAAUCAAAUUUGGUAUAGAAUGACUUUGUAAAUUUUUUUACAAAACAAAUGAAUUUUAAAUCAAGUGAGAUUUAAUGCAUUAGAUUUUUAUCAAAUAUAGUAAUUUUAAAAAUAAAUUUGGAACUCAACAAUAGACACAAUAAAUACCAAAAAAUAAUGAACCAAAAUUGGUUUGGAAUAACUCCACAACCUUUUUUUUUUUUUUUUGGUGCACACGAAUUUUCUUACUAGGUAUAUUGCUUUCAAAUUGAGAAAGAUUUACCAUUUAGAUUUUUUUUUAAUGAGUUUAAUGGUAUUUUAAAAUAAUUCAAAAUUUAAAAAAUUGACUAAUUAAUAUUAUAAAUUGAUAAACCAAGACUAUUUCAAAAUGCAUUGGGGGCUAAGGGGGUUGAAAAUAGGGACAAUGGGAUGGGUUUGGGACAUGACACUCAUAUCUCAUUUCCAUUCCAAUUACACAGUUAUCUCCCAUCCUUAUCCCAAACUUGUGUUGGAGCAAGUUGAUUUGUUCCCAUCUUUGUUGACGAAAUGACUAAUAACCUCAUCCCCUCCUUAUCUUAGAUGUACAUUUUGUCAAAUUUGAUCAGGUAUGAUUGAUCCAAGCCCUAACCCUAAUUGGUAAUGAGUGAAUACUACACCUAAUUGCAUUCUUCUUUCAUUGCAAAAUAAUGAGAUUAUAAUAAUCUAGCAAAUAAGAAAAAAUAGUAUGGAAGUUCAAAUUAACACCAUAACUAUCAAUAAUUUUAAGCUUAUAGAUGACUUAAAUGAUUAAAAACUAAUGCAAAAUCCUAAAAAAAAUAAAAAUCAUAUAAAGAAUUCACAAGAGAACAGAAUGAACAAAAACCAAAUAUGAACAUGGGUCAACAUUAGUUAUGGAUUUGGAUUCCUUUCAAGGCCAAUCUUUGAACCAAGACUUCAUCAAAUCAACUACUUCAAAGGCUUUUGUGUUCUUCUUGGGUUGUGCUCUCAAACAAAGACUUCGAGGUGAUGUUCUAGAUGAUUGAAUUACACAUAUUUAGGGUGGAGAGAUUGGAGAAGCUUGAAGAUGCCAACGAUGGGUACAAUUGAGUGGUCAAUAAGAACAAUGUAGCCUAUGACUAGUUUGAUGUCAUGGUACAAGAGUUUUAGGCAUUGAGGUUAAAGCAAGAGCAACAUGGAAUUGAUUUCGGAGUCUUUCAGUUAGUGUAAAGGAGGAAGAAGUGGUGUUGAUUCUAGAAAUAGGGUUUUAAGUGGUGCGUGAUUACUACUCAAAAAGUGCUAUUUGAUAGCCUUUAAUUAAUCCUUUUUAACACUUUUGAGUAGUAGUUUAGGCCUUUUAACUCAAUUGGCAUGUUAAGGAUCCUUUAAAGCAAUUUUGAUCACUUUGUGCAAGUUUUGGUGUUUUUGUUAGUAUUUUGAUCACCAAAGCAAGUCAAGAAUGAGGAGAACUAUGAGGAAUCAUGGGCAAAGCUUAGAAUUCAAUUGCCAAGAGUGAAUCCGGAUUGCAAGGAGAAAAAGCAAAGAGAAUCUGUCAUGAAGCCUAUUCUUGAUGACAGUCGUAGCAGCCACUUUUGGAGCACUUUCUGAAGUCCAAAUGAUGCAAGCUAUAUACCAUUUCAAAGAUCAGGAAGUCAACAAUCCAAUGCUUCAAACGGUGCGCGAUUCGGAGUUGAAACGAAGAAGUUGCAGCCAUUACAAGCCAGUCACUCUAAAGUGUUGCGGAAUCAGCCUUUUGUUGCGAGAAUUUCGCAGCACUUUUGUACAGUAAGGUGUUUCUCCUUCUGACGAUGCACGAACCAUGCCGCGAGAGGGAAGCUAGGAACUUCAAGAUGGAAGCCAACUUUGCAGCCUGGUGAAGAUAGCUUGGUCUUGCGAAAUAAUUUCGCAGCCCUCUUGGGUGUCUGCGAAAUUUCGCAGGCACCACUUUUUUCCUGCGAAAUGGCUCCGGAAGCCUCCCGAAGCUUGCUACCGACAUUGGGAGAUAUUUUCCAUUAGAUUUUUGUUGUCUAAAUUCCAAAAUACUCCUUGUAAACCACCAAUUACAUGAUUCCUUAGUUUUUAAGUUAGUAAAAAGACCAAAUAUCUAUGUAAUAAUUAGUUUUAUAUUAGUUUGCUAUAAAUACCUCUCGGGAGCAUGUUCUCAGAGAGGAGUUCCUUCUGUAACCAUUUUGGUAAGCAAGUAAAGUCUUUUCUUUCUACUGCCUUACCUUCUCACUUUGUAUUUUCAUUUUAUUUCUAAGUUAUGAAUUCUCUGAGGAGCUUUCCCCAGAGAAUGAGUAACUAAACCUCCAAUUCCUUGGAGCUAAGGUUGCCGGGGAAGGUUCCAAGUGCAAGAAUGCAAAGCUCUGUGGUUUUAGCUAGUAAUGAAGAGGAAGUGAAAUCCUUUAGUGAUUUCAAUGUUUUUAGUUAACUUAAAACACCUUGGAGUCACCUGGGCCAACACUUGGUAAGGCAAGUGAUUUCCAACCGUGGAAAUGCACUAGUUUACCCCUUGCGAGCCUCUGGUAGGUGACUUCAAGGUAGGAUUUUCUGGAAUUACCAACACUUGGUAAGCUUUUGGACUCCUAGGAGACAUCCAUUAGUUAUCUCUUGCGAGUUUGUGAAGGGGAAUCCAAGGUUAAAGAUCACCUUGAAUGGUAAGUGCUCGUGAGAGGCAUGAACCAUUGCAAGUUGUAUCAGUGAGAGAAUUAAAGUGAAAUCUAAUUGAAGGAGUCUCUGUACAUCACCGGUUAGAGAAUUGACUAUAAGUUGAAUCUCUAAUGCGAGGAAAUGAACCAUCUGACCGGAGCUAUGUCUUUUGCAUGAGGAACCACCCCAGUGAACCUAAAUCUCCAAGGAAUGCUUUUCUUCCUAAAUUAUUCCAAACUUCUGUUAAGUUAGUUAGUUUAAGUCUAAACCUUUACCAAUCAAACUUUGUGUUUUAUUUCUUAAGCUAACCGUGAAAUGAAACAAAACCAAUUCACUUGGAAUUGGUAUCCUUGAUUGCUUGCAAAUCAUUCCCAGUGAACGAUCCUUAGAGCCACUAUACUAUAGUAGCUUUGUAUUUGCUACCCUAGUGUAUGGUGUUAUAGGUAUAAAUUUUGUUGAUCACUUCCUCAAUCAAGGAACACCAGCUGAACACAAAUCAGCUGAGACACCAAUUGGGCAUGAGUCAAAUGGCGCCGUUGCCGGGGAAUGAGUGUCAAGAUCAUUGUGAUACCAUUUUUGAGCACUUGUGAUUUUCAUCACAAGUUGGUAAAGUUUCUUUCACUUUACUAAUUUUCAUUCUCUCUUUGUUUAUUUACAAUCUAAGUUUAUCUUUUUAAAAUUUAGUCUAGUUUAAUUUUGCUAUUGUAGCCUUGUUUCUCUUGUUGUCCUCUGUUCUUGUUGUCCUCUGUUUUCAUUUUAGUUGCAGCUGAAUACUAGUUGUGUAUGCCAAAGUGGAUACGAGACAUUGGAGGUAGGCUUAUUAAGUGUGAUACACCUCAGAGAGGAGAAUUGGAAGUAAUCUUGAAUAUCAUGGAGGCUGCACCUGAAGAUCAGCAUAGUCACCAAGGUCGUCAAGACAAUCUCAAUGAAUUCAGAUCAAUGAGGGACCGUAUGCAUCCACCUCGUAUGAGUGCACCAUCAUGUAUAGUGCCCCCUACAGAGCAACUAGUGAUCAGACCAUAUCUUGUUCCACUUCUACCAACUUUCCAUGGGAUGGAAAGUGAGAAUCCGUAUGCACACAUCAAGGAAUUUGAAGAUGUUUGUAAUACAUUCCAAGAGGGAGGAGCUUCAAUUGAUUUGAUGAGGCUUAAGUUAUUUCCUUUUAAUUUAAAGGAUAAGGCCAAAAUUUGGCUUAAUUCUUUAAGGCCAAGGAGUAUCCGCUCUUGGACUGAUUUACAAGCUGAAUUCCUCAAGAAAUUUUUUCCUACUCAUAGAACAAAUGGCUUGAAAAGGCAAAUUUCAAACUUCUCAGCUAAAGAGAAUGAGAAAUUCUAUGAGUGUUGGGAAAGAUACAUGGAAGCUAUAAAUGCUUGUCCUCACCAUGGCUUUGAUACUUGGCUACUGGUGAGUUAUUUUUAUGAUGGUAUGUCCUCCUCAAUGAAGCAACUCCUCGAGAAAAUGUGUGGAGAAGAUUUCAUGAGCAAAAAUCCAGAGGAAGCUAUGGAUUUCUUGAGCUAUGUAGCUGAUGUUUCAAGGGGAUGGGAUGAACCAACUAAAGGAGAAGUGGGAAAGAUGAAGUCUCAGUUGAAUGCUUACAAUGCAAAGGCUGGGAUGUAUACUUUAAAAGAGGAUGAUGACAUGAAAGCAAAGUUGGCAGCUAUGACAAGAAGAUUGGAGGAGCUGGAGCUGAAAAGAAUGCAUGAAGUGCAAGCUGUUGCUGAAGCACCAGUGCAAGUGAAGUUGUGUCCCAAUUGUCAAUCGUUUGAACAUUUGGUAGAGGAAUGCCCUGCAAUUUCAGCUGAAAGGGAAAUGUAUAGAGAUCAAGCAAAUGUUGUUGGACAAUUCAGGCCCAAUAACAAUGCUCCUUAUGGAAAUACCUACAAUUCAAGUUGGAGGAAUCAUCCAAAUUUUUCAUGGAAGGCCAGAGCAACUCAAUACCAACAGCCGGAUCCACCAUCUCAACAAUCUUCAAGUAUUGAACAAAUAAUAGCUAAUCUCAGCAAGGUAGUGGGAGAUUUUGUGGGAAAGCAAGAAGCCACCAAUGCUCGAGUGGAUCAAAGAAUGGACAGAGUGGAUCAAAGAAUGGACAGAAUGGAGAGUAUGUUGAACAAAAGAAUGGAUGGAAUGCAAAAUGAUAUGAAUCAAAAAUUUGAUAACAUCCAAUAUUCAAUUUCAAGGCUUACAAAUUUGAAUACACUGCAAGAAAAGGGAAGAUUUCCUUCUCAACCUAACCAAAAUCCCAAAGGUGUCCAUGAAGUGGAAAGCCAUGAGGGAGAAUCAUCACAGGUGAAAGAUGUGAAAGCUUUGAUCACUCUAAGGAGUGGUAAGAAAAUUGAGCAGCCAACACCCAAGCCACAUGUUGAGAAAGAAGAAGAGAUGAAGAAAGGGAAGGAAAUGGAAGAUAAAGGCAGUGAGAUCAGUGAAGAAAAGAAGGACUCUGAUGCAACAAUGAAAGUAAUUCCAGAGAAGGAGCUUCUGAAGGAAGAAAUGCUGAAGAAAUCAACUUUUCCACCUUUUCCUCAAGCAUUACAGGGGAAAAAGGGGGUUAGAAAUGCAGCUGAAAUCCUAGAAGUAUUGAGGCAAGUGAAAGUUAAUAUUCCACUGCUGGAUAUGAUCAAACAAGUUCCAACGUAUGCAAAAUUCCUAAAGGACUUGUGUACUAUCAAAAGAGGGUUGACUGUAAACAAGAAAGCCUUCUUGACUGAGCAAGUAAGUGCAAUCUUACAGUGUAAGUCUCCUUUGAAGUACAAAGACCCUGGAAGUCCUACCAUUUCAGUCAUGAUUGGAGGAAAGGUAGUGGAGAAAGCCUUGCUAGACUUGGGAGCAAGUGUGAAUUUGCUUCCAUAUUCUGUCUACAAGCAACUGGGACUUGGAGAGUUGAAGCCAACAGCAAUCACUUUGUCUCUGGCAGAUAGAUCAGUGAAAAUUCCAAGAGGGGUAAUUGAGGAUGUAUUGGUUCAAGUAGAUAAUUUCUACUAUCCUGUAGAUUUUGUUGUUCUUGAUACAGAUCCUACUGUAAAGGAAGCUAAUUUAGUUCCUAUCAUCCUUGGAAGGCCAUUUCUUGCAACUUCAAAUGCAAUCAUCAACUGUAGAAAUGGGCUUAUGCAACUCACUUUUGGUAACAUGACACUGGAUCUAAAUAUUUUCUAUAUGUCUAAAAAGCAAAUCACUCCAGAAGAAGAAGAGGGUCCAGAAGAGCUAUGUAUUAUUGAUACUUUGGUGGAGGAGCACUGCAAUCAACAUAUGCAAGAUAAGUUGAAUGAAAGUUUUGUGGAUAUUGAGGAAGGUUUUUCUGAAUCUCCUAAUGGGCUUGCUACUCUACAAAGUUGGAGAAAGAUAGAAGGAAUUCUACCUUUGUUCAAUGAAGAAGAGGAGGCAGCUGUUGAAAAAGAAAUUCCAAAACUCAAUCUGAAGCCUUUACCUAUGGAGCUGAAAUAUACAUAUCUUGAAGAAAAUAAUCAAUGUCCUGUCGUAAUAUCUUCAUCUCAAACCAAGUCUCAAGUGAAGGAUGCAAGCUUCAAAUGGGAUCCGGGCAAACUGAAUCAGGAAGGGCAAAAAGUUUUGAUGUAUGACACAAGACUCCAUAUCUUUCCUGGGAAGCUCAAGUCAAGGUGGAUUGGUCCAUUUGUUAUUCACCGAGUAUAUUCCAAUGGAGUGGUGGACUUAUUGAAUUCCAAUGGCAAGGACAGCUUUAGAGUCAAUGGAUAUCGUCUUAAGCCGUUCAUGGAGUCAUUCAAAUCAGAAAAGGAGGCAAUCAACCUCCUUGAACCUCAAAAAGCCUAAGUGAAAUGGGUUUGCUGGACGUGGUUUUACCACAGUCCAAAAAUUUUUGUAAAUUUUGUAAAUUUUCAAGUUGUUUCCAUGCUUUUAAUCUUAGUUUUUGAUUUUAAAUCAUGUUUUUAGGUGUGUUUUAAUCGUUUUAUAUGAUCCCAGGCGGAAGAAAUUUCAAGGGGAUUGAAAAGAAAAAAAUCGGGUCGAAAUUGGAGCCGAAACAGAGCAAAAACAGGGGAAAAACAGAGCUCUGCGAAAUUUCGCAGGGUGAAGGAAACUUCUGCGAAAUUGGCAUUUUGCUGCCAAACCAUUCCGCAGCACUGUAGAAGCCUCUGCGAGUGUAUUUCGCAAUUGCGAAAGUGGAUUUGGCACACGAGUGCCACUUCGCAGCACAGUGACAUCAAUUUCGCAGCUGCGAAACUCACUGCGAAGUUGCUGCGAAAAUGGCAAGUUGCUGCGAAAUUGGCGUUUUGUUGCGAAACGUAAUCUGACCCCUGGGCUUCCGUUUUUCCUAUUUAUACCUGUCAAAAGUGCUGCGAAAAAGGUUUCAAAAAUUAGAGCACCAUUCUCGCAGCCCUUUCAUCUUCUUCGCCAAGCCACGCCGUCCGUUUCUCCGGUCGUCUUCUCCGUUUAGCAGCGCCGGCCAAAGAUCGAUAGCCCAAAAAUGGCACGAACGCGAGGGGCAAAGUCUUCAUCCCCUUCGAACCGCAAAAGGAGUCUGCGAAAGGAGCCAAGUUCAGGCUCUGUUCCAGAACCUGCUCCAAAGCCUUCGCCGUCGAGACCACAACCUUCUCCAGUGAAGCCGGCGCCACCAAAGCCGCCGGCAAGGCGAUAUUUAACCAGGUCAGGUGGUCAGCCAUUGAAGAAGAAAGCCAGAGUUGAGAGCUCUGAACCAAUCGAUUUGACUGAGCAAUCCCCUGAGAAAUCACCAAAUCCUUCACCGGUACAAAUUCCAGUGCCAUCACCGGUUCCCUCGCCAAUUCCCUCACCAGAAGCAACUCCAAUUCCAUCGCCGGUACCAUCUCCGGCACCCCAAGAAAAAGCUCAGGAGCCUCAAGCGCCAAUUCCAGAGCCCCAAAUUGCAGCUGAAGCACCUCUGGAAGAAGUGAUCCGAAGGCCAAUGCUGCCUCAGCCCCCAAUCGAAGGAAACCUGGAUUGCCGAACUCGGGCAUUCCAUUCUGAGCUUUGCUUCGAUUUAACAGCAUUCAGAGUGAGGCCAGAGCUUGCCCAAUCCUUCCAACUGCUGAGGAGAUAUCAUAUGGAGCAUCUGCUAGCUCCAAGGGAUUUUUUCUAUCCCCGGGUAGUCACGGAUUUCUACCAAACCAUGACAACCAAAGAAGUAAGAAAUCCAACUCUGAUUCAUUUCAUAAUUGAUGGAAGGCAUGGUAUUUUGGGAGCAAGACAUAUUGCUGAAGCCCUGCAAAUUCCUUUUGAGCCAACUCAAUUCGACAAUUUUAAAGCUUGGACAAAUCCUACUGAGUUAGAGAUGGUUAGCACACUAACCAGAGGAGCUGCAAAUCGAUCGCAUUUGUUGAGGGGGGAGCUACCUCCAGUUAUGUUUUUGAUUGAUGCCUUUUUGAGGCAUAAUAUCUAUCCCCUGCAGCAUUGGACCCAAAGAAGGGGAAUUCUCCUAGAAGCCUUGUACAAAAUGUCUGAAGGAUUCUUCUUUGGGCCUCAUCAUCUGAUCAUGGCAGCCCUUCUAUACUUUGAGGAGAAGGUUCACAAGAAGAAGCUUCAAAGAGCAGAUUGCAUUCCACUCCUCUUCCCAAGGCUGCUAUGCCAAGUUUUGGAGCAUCUCGGAUACCCCUCUGAGCCUCAGCAGGAAAGAAAGAGAAUAUGCCGUGAGCCUUUUACCCUUGAUAAAUGGAAUAAUAUGACGGCCUACAAAAUUGAUCAGCCUGGGCAGCCUCAGCCAGCAGCAAGGAGAGUCUCCCCAAGACAUAUACCUGAAGGUAUAACACUUGCUACUCCUGCCAUCCCUCGAGCUCCACCAGCUGCACCUGCUCCAUCACAGCCAUCCACAUCAGCUGAGCCGAGGAUGGCCAUCCCUAUAUCCGAAUAUCGAGAGCUGUGCCGUGCAUUGGAGACUCUUACAGCUUCUCAGAGCAAUCUUGCUCAGGAGUUGGCAGCCAUUAAAGCAUGCCAGGAGCAGAUGUUAGCCUCUCAGACUCAACAAGCUGCCAUCCUAAGGCAGCUUCAAGUCCAUUUCGAUCUGCCACAAGCUGUAGAGCCCUCUAUUCCUACUCCACCAGAGCCACACUCUCAGCCUUCAGAGUCUCAUCCUCCAGAACCCGAAGCACCAGCUGAUCCACCUACUGAGGAGGCAGAUCCUUCUGCCUAGCACCAUCACCCCCCUCAUCAGACAUUAUAUAUAUAUUUGCUGUUUAUGUUUUUAUGCAUGUUUGUUUUGUUUUAGUUGAAAAGAAAUCCCAGUAUUUUGGUACUAUAUAUGGGAUUCCUUGUGUUACUUGUCUUUAGUAUUGUAAUCACAUGAACUCAAAGUAAUACAAGUUGACUAUUUCUUGUUAAAAGUUAGCAUUAAAGUUUCCUUAUUUCCUUUUCUCACAUAUUCUAUUCUUUUUGAAACAUGUGGUUUUCCCCAAUCAAUAUUCGAAUUUGAUAUCAGCAUGGAGGUACCACUUCCUCCCUUUUAUUACAGUCACUCAAAUCACAUUGAGGACAAUGCUCAGUUCGGUUGGGGGGUAUGAGGAAGGAAGUAUUCUAAACCUUUUUGGUAUUGCAAUUAUAUUGGUUAAUUAGUUGUAGAUUUUACUUUUUACUAGUGUUACUCUAUUCUCCAUGAAUUUUGAGGAAAAAUUUUCAAAUUAAACCAAGAGAAAUUGAACUGUUGUUUUUCACUUGACUUAGAGUAUGGAUUAUGCUUACUAAAGUGGUUCAAUUGUUGAAACUUCUACUGAAAUUGAAUUGAGUUCUUCCACUUUAAGCUAUCCACACACUGUGCACAUUAGUUUCCGAUUAUAAGAUGAAAAGCUAUUUCCCUCUUGACUUAGUAUAUUUUUGGGACUUGGUAUAUUUGACCUCAUUUGAUAAAAAUUGAAACACCCUGCAAAAGGCCAAUGAGCCUUUGAAAUAAAGAAAGUUGUUUGCUUGCCUUGAAACCCGAGCAAGGUCUGAGGGGUAUAUGGUGAAAAUCUUUAAAGCCUGGUGCCCUAAGCCUUAAUUGGUUGGGAGUCACCGACCUCAAUGCUCGUUACAAGGGUGAAUAGGUAGAGUUAGCAUAUGGUAGAUGCUUGGGUAUUAGAAAUUCAUUCUUAAAAGUCCGGGGAAAAAUCCGAGGAGUUAGUGGUUGAAAGAUCCUUAAAACUUGGUGCCCUAAACCUUAAUUGGUUGGGAGUCAUCGAUGGACCCCCAUUACAUGGACAAGUCAGAAAGAGUACCCCAUAAAGCUACCUUAAAAAAAAAAAAAAAAAAAAAAAAAAAAAAAAAGAUGAAAGUGUGUUCUUUUCUUAUUGAUUUUGGUCAGUUUGCUAAAGUGUUGAAAAGAGAUAGGUUGGGGGGUGAGAUUAGUAGCAUAUUAUUCUCGGAACCUAAGGAACCAAUACACAUAGAUUUUUGUGGAAGAUUGAAGUUUAGUUCUUAGAAAAUGAAAUGAUUUUAAAACUUCAGUUUGCAUAAUGCACUCCCUUGAUUGACAGUGUUUAGCAUAGGUGUUAUGACUCUUGUUGAGAUUUGGGUUUGUAUUUCUUUAAUGAUUCAUGUGAGAAAUAGAUCAUCAUGCCACUUGAGAAUUAUUUUCCUUUUAGCAUGAUGUUGUAAAUUUUAGAUUAGUUUGCUAUUUAUUUUUUAUUUUCUCUCCUAUAUUGCUAAGGGACUAGCAAUAUGUCGGUUGGGGGGAGUGAUUACUACUCAAAAAGUGCUAUUUGAUAGCCUUUAAUUAAUCCUUUUUAACACUUUUGAGUAGUAGUUUAGGCCUUUUAACUCAAUUGGCAUGUUAAGGAUCCUUUAAAGCAAUUUUGAUCACUUUGUGCAAGUUUUGGUGUUUUUGUUAGUAUUUUGAUCACCAAAGCAAGUCAAGAAUGAGGAGAACUAUGAGGAAUCAUGGGCAAAGCUUAGAAUUCAAUUGCCAAGAGUGAAUCCGGAUUGCAAGGAGAAAAAGCAAAGAGAAUCUGUCAUGAAGCCUAUUCUUGAUGACAGUCGUAGCAGCCACUUUUGGAGCACUUUCUGAAGUCCAAAUGAUGCAAGCUAUAUACCAUUUCAAAGCUCAGGAAGUCAACAAUCCAAUGCUUCAAACGGUGCGCGAUUCGGAGUUGAAACGAAGAAGUUGCAGCCAUUACAAGCCAGUCACUCUAAAGUGUUGCGGAAUCAGCCUUUUGUUGCGAGAAUUUCGCAGCACUUUUGUACAGUAAGGUGUUUCUCCUUCUGACGAUGCACGAACCAUGCCGCGAGAGGGAAGCUAGGAACUUCAAGAUGGAAGCCAACUUUGCAGCCUGGUGAAGAUAGCUUGGUCUUGCGAAAUAAUUUCGCAGCCCUCUUGGGUGUCUGCGAAAUUUCGCAGGCACCACUUUUUUCCUGCGAAAUGGCUCCGGAAGCCUCCCGAAGCUUGCUACCGACAUUGGGAGAUAUUUUCCAUUAGAUUUUUGUUGUCUAAAUUCCAAAAUACUCCUUGUAAACCACCAAUUACAUGAUUCCUUAGUUUUUAAGUUAGUAAAAAGACCAAAUAUCUAUGUAAUAAUUAGUUUUAUAUUAGUUUGCUAUAAAUACCUCUCGGGAGCAUGUUCUCAGAGAGGAGUUCCUUCUGUAACCAUUUUGGUAAGCAAGUAAAGUCUUUUCUUUCUACUGCCUUACCUUCUCACUUUGUAUUUUCAUUUUAUUUCUAAGUUAUGAAUUCUCUGAGGAGCUUUCCCCAGAGAAUGAGUAACUAAACCUCCAAUUCCUUGGAGCUAAGGUUGCCGGGGAAGGUUCCAAGUGCAAGAAUGCAAAGCUCUGUGGUUUUAGCUAGUAAUGAAGAGGAAGUGAAAUCCUUUAGUGAUUUCAAUGUUUUUAGUUAACUUAAAACACCUUGGAGUCACCUGGGCCAACACUUGGUAAGGCAAGUGAUUUCCAACCGUGGAAAUGCACUAGUUUACCCCUUGCGAGCCUCUGGUAGGUGACUUCAAGGUAGGAUUUUCUGGAAUUACCAACACUUGGUAAGCUUUUGGACUCCUAGGAGACAUCCAUUAGUUAUCUCUUGCGAGUUUGUGAAGGGGAAUCCAAGGUUAAAGAUCACCUUGAAUGGUAAGUGCUCGUGAGAGGCAUGAACCAUUGCAAGUUGUAUCAGUGAGAGAAUUAAAGUGAAAUCUAAUUGAAGGAGUCUCUGUACAUCACCGGUUAGAGAAUUGACUAUAAGUUGAAUCUCUAAUGCGAGGAAAUGAACCAUCUGACCGGAGCUAUGUCUUUUGCAUGAGGAACCACCCCAGUGAACCUAAAUCUCCAAGGAAUGCUUUUCUUCCUAAAUUAUUCCAAACUUCUGUUAAGUUAGUUAGUUUAAGUCUAAACCUUUACCAAUCAAACUUUGUGUUUUAUUCCUUAAGCUAACCGUGAAAUGAAACAAAACCAAUUCACUUGGAAUUGGUAUCCUUGAUUGCUUGCAAAUCAUUCCCAGUGAACGAUCCUUAGAGCCACUAUACUAUAGUAGCUUUGUAUUUGCUACCCUAGUGUAUGGUGUUAUAGGUAUAAAUUUUGUUGAUCACUUCCUCAAUCAAGGAACACCAGCUGAACACAAAUCAGCUGAGACACCAAUUGGGCAUGAGUCAGUGCGUUAGAGGAUCAAGAAGAAGAAAAAGAAGGAACUGUUGGAAUUAGUAUGAGUGUGAAGAGAAAAGUAUAUAAAUAAGGGGAAGUAAAAGCAAAGUUCAAAAAGCUAUAUUUUUUUAUUGUUGGUGUAUGGUUGCAUGAUUAUCCCUAUAAAUAAUAGGAGUUUUUUGGUAUUCUACUAGUAGUUGAAGCAUAAUUUCAUAAAUUAAUAUUUAGAGCGGGGUGGGGUGAGUUGUGACAAAAUUCAUACCCGUCCCAAACCUUGGUUCAGAUUUUUAAAAUAUUCUCAAACUUAUCAUAUACCCAACUUUUAUAUUUCAUACUUGUCCUAAUAGAGGCACGUUAGGCCGGGUUACUUGAGUAACCUACAUAAUUGUCAUCCCUAGUUGAAAUACACUUUUUGGCAGUGGCCACCAACUGAGCUAGAAGCUUGAUUGAUUGACCUACAAGAUUAGUUCUCAUCAUUUUAAAAAAAGUUCUGGCUUUGGUUGUGAGUGCAAUUGAAUCUAAACUGGCAUUUGCUUAAUGCAUCUACUUCAAUCCUAAACUUCUUACUUCUUAAGCCUCAAUUGUUGUUAGGAUUUUGGAAAACCCAUUUCCUUAAAUUGUAAAUUUAAGAUAAAAUAAAAUAAAAGUGAGACAUUUCUUGAUUGAAUAUUGUUAAAGGUCCCUUGGCAUUAAGACUUGGUUGAAGCCUUGGAAGAUUAGUGGAACUCUCAACAUGUGUUUGAAUCUUGAGGAGAGUGGAUGUAAGCCAAAAUUUUGUCAAACCAUUAUACAAAUUGAGUUUGAAUCCUCAUUUCUUGAUUUCUUAUUUAUUUGCUUUUUCUUAUUAUUACUUGAAUUGUCAUUUGCAUUCAUUAAUGUUAAAAUUGGUUAUAAUUAACCAACACUAAUUCUCUUUCCCCUUCCCUUUCUUGGGUGUAAACCUAGGUUGGAUUAACUAGAUAAAUCUAUUAAGAUGGUAAAAGAAUAAUUAUUCUUAACAUACAUAAGAUCAUCUUCAAUCAAAUGACUCAUUGGCUAAUAUGUUGAAUUUGCUUAUUACUUGCAACUCAAAAUUGUGUUCUAGUUGUGUCAAGUCCCCAGUGUAUGGACAUUAAAUUUGUAGUACGUGAUGAGUAAUUAGAUGGUCCAACUCCAAGAAAGUGAUUGAAAAGUAGUUCAAGAAAGGUGCAAAAGGGAAUUGUUUUGGUAUUUUCGUUUUUAUUCUUGAAGGUGGCAGAGCUAAAAUUUGAGAAAUCAAGCAAAACAUACUGAAAUUACAUUGAAAGAAAGAAGAUGGGAGUUAAUGUCUUGCAGUACAUGAUAAGGACUUCAUGCAUGUAGUGUGACCCAUGUCUUGGACUGAUGCCAACUCACGGUUACACUUAUACCCUUGGUUCUCUCUUUACUACCUUGGCUAACCUAGAUCAGGCUAUGAGAUAGGCUCCUCACCACACCAUUACUUGCCCAUUAAUUAGAGACAUUUUCAAGCAAUGAGGUAACAUGGUGACACCAAGAGGGUCUAUUCCUCGCCCGGAACAAGUCUAGACUUGGUCUCAAAAAAAUGGAGAAAAAUGAGGUGUCGUUAUGUAGAAAUACAACAACCAUGCCUUCCUCAUUACUUAGAUUCAGAAUGUGAAGGUGAAAUUGAGAAACAGAAACUCUUGAAACCAAAAUGAAAAUUGAUACUUUUACGAAGAAUUACAACAACAUUAGAGGAAGACUACAUUCUUCCUCUUUAUUCCUACAUUUCUACACUACUUCUACUCCACUCCAUAUUUCUACAUACAUCUUUAAUCAGUCUUCCCUCCUUUAUAUAGAGCCAUCUUCACACAAAUUUCGCAAGGUAGAAAAGAGGAAUGAAACUUGGAGCAAGGUUCGACUACUGGUUGUAGCUUGUCAAGGCUGGAAGUGAACUUUUCUUGGCUUUCUGGGCAUGGGUAGUAACUUGUGGGUUCCUGUUUGGCAUAAAAAUGGCUAGAACAUGUGGCACUAUCUUGUUGGAUGAUGUGUCAAGCAUGUGGCAGCCAUCUAGUGGCGAUUAUGUCAAUUUUGGGAUGGAGAGUUGGCAUCCAAUUGCAAAGAAAUAUGACGUCUACCAACAUGCAAUGUAAACCUAUGUAGAUCAUAUGAAGAUAGAGAGGAAAAAUAUAGAAAUGGAUAUAUACCUAGAACUAGCUUUUUAUUAAAUGAAACGGAGAGACAACAAUGAAGGAAAAUAAAAUUUUUUGGCUUAUAUCAAAGAGUUCACAUUGUGUUACCCUAGGUUUUCUUAAAACUUACUUUUAUGAUAACAAAAAAGAAAAAACCAUUAUUGUUUAAUCCUUUGUUUUAAACGCAUGUAAGGUGUAAUUAAGUUAGUUCAAUGCAUUAAUUUAAGAAACUUGACCUAUCAAAAGUACAAAAUUAGAUGAAAUCCAUUUCAAUGGUUAAAAUGAUCAAAAUCAAACUUUUUCUAAGUAUUUUUUAAAAGCAUCAAUAGUGAAAGACAAUUUUAUAUUUAGUCGGAGUUUGGACAAAACUGAAAAACACACAAAAUCCAAGCGACCAUCUCUAGCUUGGAUGGUCGCUUGAUCCCACCUAGAGAUGUGCAUGAGUAAAAGGAUUUGAAAAUGGAAAUUGACUAUGUAGUCGAUCAAUUAACUUUGCAACAUCAUAUGCAAUCCUAAUUGCUAGUCAUCUAAUCAAUUAGGUAGUCAAUCAACAGGCCAAAAAUAUGUUUAUAAUGACUAUUUUGUACAAAAACCACCUGUAUAGUUAAAUAUAAUGCAUUUCAUUUAUAAAUCUUCUAAUUCUUGAAUAACGAUCCUAUCAUCCUUUGAAAGUUUUUAUUACACUUUUUUUACUUUUGUUCUAAAACUUACACAUCACCCUUAAUUGUACCAUGAGAACCUAGCUAUUUUUUAUUUUUUUUUUUGUAAUUCAUCAAAGUUAGCUUUUGUAUUCAUUGUUGUAUUAUUUUUAGUAUAACUUAGAAAGCUAGUGUUUUCAAGUGAGUAAAAUUAACUUGUAAAUAUUGUAAAGAUUCAUCGACAUGUAUCUUAAACUAAGUGUACAAGUUAAAACAUUUGCUAGUAGAUUUUCUCAAAAUUUAGAAUAGAGCUUGAGACUAUUGAAAUAGGUGGGGUUGCACCAAACCACAUCACAUCGUUGUUUGCACCUUUUUUCACUCUCUUUUACUUAGUUGCUCUAUAUUUGUUGUCUAGUAAUAUCCUAUAGGCUUGAUGGGUUAGGGAGCAUCCCUUUGUGAAAAAAUUUUAUUCAAUCCUUAGUUGUAUCACGCAUAUAUAAAAUGCCUCAUUGUUUUAAUGGUAUUCAGUCGUGGCAUCACAGAUAUGGGCAUCUAAAUUUUAAAAGUUUGAAACUUUUAUCUAAAGAAAAUAUGGUGCUUUGCCUUUUUGUAAAGCAUGUUGAUGAAAUCCAUGAGAAUUGUGUACUUGGGAAGCAACACCGAGAUGACUUUUUUUUUUUUUUUAUAAUAUUGUUUGUCCAAAUUCCCUACAAAUUAGGCCACCAGAUGUUCAUAAUUCUCCCUUCUUGAAUUUGAAAACUCGGACAAUUGGACAAUGCGACACCUAAGUCCGGUUUCUAAAUGCUAAAGUGAAAGGGUAGGUAUGGACCAUUGAAAUGUGAUCACAACUUUUCUCUGUAGCCAUGUUGUCUCUUUUUUCUUUUGCAUGAUUUUCUUACCUUAACAGAAUCAUAGACUUGUUUAGUCUCUAAAUGGGAUUAAUUUCAUCCAGCUUUAAGCUACUAUAUUAUAUCUAGGUGGAGGACUUUUAAGAGUGCAACCGACAUAGAGCACAUGGAAGUGGGUAUAUGGGACAUGAAAUUUCUUCUUAUAAAGAUUGCAUGAUUUUUAUAUUAGAGUUGUUGAGGCGCUAUGUAUUUAGCUUGUUUUGCAGUUAAAUUAAUUGGAUAAGUAGACAUUGGCGUUUCUAAAUCUACUGUGAAGUGCUUCAUGUACGUGUGAAGUAUUAGAAAUUUCUUUCUUGGCAACUUGUUUUUCUUUGCGGUCUACUGAUAGGUUUGACUAAAAUUAUAUUCCCUGUCAUGCUAAUUAAUUUUCACGUGCAUGCUCAAAAGAAAAGUAUGACCUUAGUGCACCAAAAUCACUUUGAUUAAUUUGUGAUAGGUUUUUGUGCAUCAUGACAUUAGCCUUAUUCAUUUAGAUAAUGUUUAGUUUUUAGAAAGUAUUAAGAAAAGGAAAAUAAAUAUUAAGAAAAAUAUUCUUAUAUUUGAUUGUAUUAUGAAAAAUAUCAUAAAAAAAUCAAAUAUAAUUUAAAUUAAUUAAUAAUUUAUACAUUUUCAAAUUAUUUAAUCUUUAUAUUGAAGAUAUAAUAUAAAUGAAAUGAGUUUUAAGUAUUAUAUAAAAGUGAUUUAUUGAUCUUACAUAUAUAUAUUUCUUUUUUUUUUCCUUCUAUUUUUUCUCUUUAUUUUAUUUUCCUUAUGUUUUCCUCAACAUUUUCCGGAACCAAACAUAGCCUUAGGAAAUCCACAAUUACCUUCAACUGAGUAGAUUCUGUUGUUUUAGCAAUGUUAGGCUGCUAACUUGUGUUGGUACGAACCUAUUAAGCCUAAAGAUGUAAUUAGUUAGGAUAUUCUUUUCCCUCUAGUCUUGUAGCUCCACGUGUACAGUUGGUUAGGACCUCAUUGUAUAUAAUGCUUGCCCUGUUAUUGUAGAAGACAACAAAGAUAAAUAAUAUUAACAUUUUUCCUCUCAUCUCUCUCUGUUUCCCUCUGUUUUCAUCUCCUCUCUCAUCUUGGUAUCAGAGCCUCCAUGGCUUCUUUCAAAGAAACCUCCGAAUCACCUUCUGCUAGCAUUGUUAAUGUGCAAAACCCAUUAUCUCAAUCAAACAACCUUCCUUCACCAGUAGCCACACCCUCUUUUUCUUUCUCGUCUAUGAAUCAACCUCUCACAGUGAAGCUGGAUAAUGGGAACUACCUCAUAUGGAAGAAUUAGCUUCUAAAUGUCAUCAUUGCUAACGGACUCGAUGAUUUCAUUGACGGAUCUCGACCCUGCCCUCCUCGAUUUCUCGAUCUGCAACAACAAACCCUCAAUCCAGAGUACUCAGCUUGGCAGAGAUACAAUCGACUUCUGAUGAGUUGGCUGUACGCAUCCUUGUCCAAAGAUAUAAUGGCUCAGAUUGUUGGGUAUUCAACAGCUAUGGAGAUUUGGAAUGCCCUUAAUCAGAUUUACUCUGCCUCUUCUAUGGCGCGGUUUACUGAGCUUCGCACCAAGCUUCAAACGCUCAAGAAAGAUGGACUCUCAGUUGGUGAAUAUAUUCAAAGGCUCAAAUCCAUUUGCAAUAGUCUUGCAGCAAUAGGAGAACCAGUUUCUGAGAAAGACCAUCUUAUCUAUUUGUUCAAUGGAUUAGAUUGUGAGUAUUAUUCUUUUGUUACCUCCAUUCAAAAUCGAUCUGACCAACCAACUAUUGACAAAAUCCAUAGCCUAUUGCUUAGCUAUGACUUCCGGCUUGAACAACAAAACUCUGUUUCUCUCCAUUCUGCCCAAGUCCAUAUGGCUCAUCUGAACAAGAAACCUUAUAAAUCAACUCCUCAACCUACAUUCAAUCAUAUUCACAUUCAACCUAGAUACUCUUCUCCACCUUUUAAGCCAACCACUAGUCAAUAUCAACCCAACAUUUUGGGCAAACCACAACCACAACCAUGACAGCCUCAACCUCAAUGGAAACCACAUUUUUCAAUCUAAAAUCAAAAGCCUCAGCGCCAAAUUUGUGGUAAAUUUGGACACACUGCUCUUAUUUGCUUCCAUCACACAAAUUUGAACUAUUCACCCCAACCUUCUCCUAAAUCUUUCAAUACUGUUCUCACCACAAAUUCCCAGCUCCCUAAUCCUCCAAAAUUUUCUUACCCUACAAUGGCUCAUCCUGCUGCUACGCAUAACACGGUUCCCGAUACAAAUUGGUACAUGGACUCAGGUGCUACACAUCACUUUACUCUGGACAUCAACGUGCUUGACACUGUGACACCAUUUAGUGGUUCAGAACAGGUGACAGUUGGGAAUGGUAAGCAACUCUGUAUCUCACAUCUUGGUACUGCAAAACUACCAUCUUCGUAUUCUCCUCCUGUUCUACAUCAGGUAUAUCACACUCCAAAAAUUUCAAAUAAUCUUAUUAGUGUUAAAAAAUUGUGUUCUGAUAAUAAAGUUUUUGUUGAAUUUUAUGCCACUCAUUUUCUUGUCAAGGAUCAGGUUUCGAAGAGAGUUCUCCUUUAGGGUCAACUUGAUAAUGGCUUAUACAAAGUUCAGUCGUCAUGCUCUCCUUCUGCUGUUUCCUUUCCUCCUCAAGUUUUCAUAGCCAACAUCAAGUAUCCAAAUCUGUGGCACAAGAGACUAGGCCACCCAGCUUUAUCUGUUGUUAAUCAAAUCUUGGAUUCUUGUAACAUUGCUCGAACACAGAAAAUUUGUUUUAAUUUUUUAAAUUCUUGUCAAUUAGCAAAGAGCCACAGGCUUCCUUUUUCUCUGUCUCCAUCCAUUGCAGAAAAACCUUUUGAGUUAAUUCAUACAGACCUAUGGGGUCUUUCGCUCGUUCGCUCUAUUUCUGGUGCUCUUUAUUUUUUACUUUUCAUUGAUGAUCAUACUCGUUUUACUUGGUUUUAUUUGCUCAAAACAAAAGAUGAAGCAUAUCCUACUUUUCUCAAGUUUCAAGCUCUCAUUGAAAAUCAAUUUAAUACCAAGAUUAAGGCUGUCCAAUCUGAUUGGGGAGGUGAGUUUCGAUCUCUCUCCAUACCGUUUUCAAAUAUGGGCAUUGUCUAUUGUUUAUCGUGUCCAUACACCUCACAACAGAAUGGGCGAGUUGAGCGAAAAAAUCGCCAUGCGAUUGUCCUUUCUUGCUUGCUCUAUGCCCUUAUCUUAUUGGCCUUAUGCCUUUCAAACUGCCACUUACCUUAUUAAUCGUCUCUCUACCCCUGUGCUGCAUCAUCAAUCCUCUUACUUCGCACUCUAUCACAAACUCCCAACUUAUACUCAUCUUAAGGUCUUUGGUUCCUCUUGUUUUCCGUAUUUGCACCCUUAUAAUACCCAUAAACUCCAAUACAGGUCACUAGAGUGUGCUUUUCUUGGUUACAGUUCACACCACAAAGGUUAUCUAUGUCUUGACAUUCAUUCUAGCAGGGUGUAUAUUUCUCGCCAUGUGAUUUUUAAUGAAGAUUCUUUUCCAUUCAAGAAUUUGAAAUCUUCUCUCUCUCAGUCUAUUUCUUCUUCCUCUUCUUUAUAAGUUCCUCUGUUCAUUCUCUUGCCUCCCCUUUCCCCAUCUCCUCUUAUUUCUUCAUCUAUACCUCAUUCUUUUCCCUCUUCUUCUUCUACCUCUAGUACUUGUUCCCCUCUCGUUGCUCCUACCUCUCUUCCUUCCUCUUCACACUCUGUGUCUCCAUCUAUUCCACCUCCUUCUCCACCUUCUCCGAGUGUGGACCUGCUUGCACCUUGUGUGAAUACAAAUUUACAUACUUCUUCUCGCACUCACAAUAUUCAUCCUAUGGUGACUAGAUCUAAGGUUUGUAUCUAUAAACCUAAGUUGUUGUUGAGUGUCUCCAUAGGUUCUCUCACUAAGCCUACUUCCUUUCUUCAAGCUAUUAAAGAUCCUUCAUGGAAGCAAUCCAUGGAAUUCGAGUUUGCUACCCUUCAACACAACAAGACCUGGCAUUUGGUUCCUUCACCUUCCUCAGGCGAAGUAAUCGGUUGUAAAUGGGUCUAUAAGCUAAAGCUUCAGCCUGAUGGCUAAAUUGAGAGAUACAGCCUGCUUAGUAGCUAAGGGUAUCAUCAAAUUGAAGUAUGGACUACUUCGAAACAUUCAGCCUGAUNNNNNNNNNNNNNNNNNNNNNNNNNNNNNNNNNNNNNNNNNNNNNNNNNNNNNNNNNNNNNNNNNNNNNNNNNNNNNNNNNNNNNNNNNNNNNNNNNNNNAGCUUCAGCCUGAUGGCUAAAUUGAGAGAUACAAGGCCUGCUUAGUAGCUAAGGGUUAUCAUCAAAUUGAAGGUAUUGACUACUUCGAAACAUUCAGCCUGAUUGUCAAGCUUUCUACUAUCUGUAUUGUGCUCAGUCUUACUUUUUCCCAGAAUUGGUGUAUUAGACAGCUGGAUGUUCAUAAUGCCUUCUUACAUGGUGACUUAGCUAAAGACGUUUUCAUGGAACAACUGCCUGGAUUUGUUGAUCCUCUCUAUCCUACUCAUGUCUGCAAGUUGGAUAAGUCUCUCUACUGUCUUAAAUAGUCACCUCGGGCUUGGUAUACUAAGCUGAGUACUUCUCGCUACACUUGGGAUUUGUUACUUCUAAGAAUGACUCUUCCUUAUUUAUUUGUCAUUCGUCUCAUGGGUUACUUCUUGUUCUUGUCUAUGUGGAUGAUAUAAUCGUCAUUGGGAGCCACUCUCCUCAGGUUACUCACCUUAUCCAACAGUUGCAUCAUUAGCUUUCUUUAAAGGAUCUUGGUCCUUUACAUUAUUUUCUGGGCUUGGAGGUUCAUCACACCCCUACUGGUAUUCACCUCAGCCAAGCAAAGUAUAUCACUGAUCUCCUUACCCGGGCGGCUAUGUUGGAUGCCAAGCCAUGUCCCACUCCUAUGUCCUCCAACACAUAUCUCUCUUUUCAUGAUGGAGUGGCUCUUGAAAAUGGUUCAGAUUAUCGAAGUUUUGUUGGUGCCCUUUAGUAUUGUACCAUGACACGCCCAGAUAUAGCUUUUGCAAUAAAUAAAGUGUGUCAAUUCAUGCACCAUCCCUCUAAUGUUCACUGGCAGGCUAUAAAACGUAUUCUCCGGUACUUAAAGGGCACAUCUCAUUUUGGUCUCUUCCUACAGCCUUCCUAUGACUUCAACAUCACUUGCUAUACAAAUGCCGACUGGGCUUCCUGUCCUGAUGACAAGUGUAGCACCAGUGGCUACUGCCUCUUUCUUGCCUCUAAUCUGGUUUCUUGGUCAUCUUCCAAACAAAAAGUGGUCUCCCGCUCCAGCGCCGAAUCAGAGUACCGAGGGGUAGCAAAUGGGGCUGCUGAAAUUGCUUGGACUGAAUCUCUUCUUUGUGAACUUUCCAUUACUCCCCCUCCCCUCAUUCUCUGUGACAAUAUCAGUGCCACGUACUUAGCUGCCAAUCCUAUUUUGCAUGCCCGCACCAAACAUGUGGAAAUCGACUAUCACUUUGUCACGGAACGUGUUCUUCAAUGCUCUCUUUUUGUCCAGUUUACACCUUCUGAUGAUCAACUUGCUGAUUGCAUGACCAAGCCUCUCUCCACCCAACGUUUCAUCACUCUACGCUCCAAGCUCACUGUUCUCACUAGACCAAUGAGCUUGAGGGGGGAUGUUAAGCCUAAAGAUGUAAUUAGUUAGGAUAUUCUUUUCCCUCUAGUCUUGUAGCUCCACGUGUACAGUUGGUUAGGACCUCAUUGUAUAUAAUGCCUGCCCUGUUAUUGUAGAAGACAACAGAGAUAAAUAAUAUUAACAUUUUUCCUCUCAUCUCUCUCUCUGUUUCCCUCUGUUUUCAUCUCCUCUCUCAUCUGAACCAAAUGAUCCAUGUUAACCUUGGCUUGGUUUGAUUUGGCUCUAUCUUAGAGAGCUCAAGGAUCACGUCAACUCUGGUUUCUACUAUUCAGGUCCAUUCCCAUAUGAACUGGUUCAAAUUUGAGAAAAUGGUAACAGACCUUUAGUGAUGUUGGUUUGGAGCCAGUUGCCAAACCCGCCCUGAGCUUUACCACUAAUGUCAAGGGAGAAAGCCAUUUGAACAAAAACAAUAGCUUCAAGGGACUGAAUCGUGGAUGAAAUCUGAUCCACAUUUCUUCUCAUUUUGGAAACAAAUGAGAACUUAACUAAGAAGAUUCUACGGCCUCAUAGUGCUUUUCCUGAUCUAAGGUUGGUUCGUUUCCCAAACUGUGAGAUGCACGUGCCAGACUUCAGAACUCUCACGCUCAGGAGUGUAUCCACGUGGUGGACAUAAGAUGGUGGCUUAAGAUCUGGUGUCGGUGGCUUUACUUUACUAGGAGAGUAGUGUGUCUUCAUCUCAUUCACUGCCGGAGGGUGGCGUAAGCAGUGACGCUAAGGUGGGGCACAGUCAAUAUCAUUUGCAUUUGACCAUUAUAGUUUUCUCCCGGCUUUAAAGUAACCUUAUCGUGAUAAAGGAUUACUAGCACUAGUUCAGAUGAUAGUCAUGUUAAAUUCGGACCAUGUUUGUGUCACAUUAUCAGCAACCAUGUGUUUAUGGUUCAUGCUUUCUGCAACUAAAAUUGAUAUAUAACCAGGUGAACUUCAAUCUAAAUUCUGAAAGUACUCAUGUGAUAGAUGGUGCCCGUCUGCAGAGUCCAUCAAUUGAAAAAUGGAGUGAGUGUAUCUAUAAGAGGGAAGGCUUGGAAAAUGUUCAGUUUUCUGGGAAUUCAACAAGGAUCUAAAAUAGAUUGUUUUCUUUGCUGAUUUCAAUGGUUGAAAUUUGAGAAGAUUGUGUCCACAUAACACAACUAUUACUGGUCCUUCUGUUGCAAUUUAUCCUCUAAAGCUCUAGCAUGUCUUCCAAUUCCCACUUCCCUGUUACUCCAGGAAAGCUAUUUCUGUCAUUGUGAAGAAGAAAAGAGAAUGUACAUAUCGAUGCUUUUAAGUGACUGGAGCAUUUAUAUCAGGUGGUCUGCAGCCAUAUAUGCCACUUUGUGAAGAUUGGAACAGUCAAUCACUAGGCUAUAUAUUAGUGUGGCCCAGCCACUUUAAUCAAGGACAAGUCUUCAUACUUAAAGUCAAAUUCUGCCUUUAGUCUCAUUAUAAAUUUCUGUUUAAAUAUUAAGCAAACAUUUGUUUAAUGCGAUUAAGACAGUACUAACUCAAUACCUGUUCUAUUUUUGGAUGCAAAUGCUUGAUGGUUUCAUCAUUGGAUGGGAUAAAGGUGCAUUCAUGAUUAGGAAUACUAGUAGUUAUAUUUUAAUUCUCUUUUUUCUCAAUGAGACUUGUUGGCACAAUUUUGCUGUUGAGAAACCUACCUCUCCAUGGAAAAUAAGUUGUGAUUGAUAGUACUGGAUAUAUUCAAGAAAUCUAAAUAUAGAUAGCACAAAAUAUUAUCGACAUAAAUAGCAUUAACAGCGUACGUAUGUCUCAGUGCUCAUCAGCUAUAAGCAUGGGGCAAACACUUACUAUGAGCAACUUACGUCAAAAUUCCAGAAUAGGACAUAGAAGUGACAGAUAUAGAACAUUGCAUAUGAGUCACAAGAAAGGAAAUUACGGGUGCAUAGCAGCUCUUAUUUUACAUACUACUACUCAUACUGAUCAAAGUCACUCAGUUGGGAUGGGUGGGAGUAGGAGGUUUGUGGGGUGGCUUGUGCGGAGGAGUUGGCAGCUUCUUUCCAGGACCUGGUUGCUUCUCUGCUGGAGUUGAAGGAGGCUUAAUCUUCCGAGGUGGCUUGUAUGAGUCUUCAGCAUUCUCAGCUGGAGGGUGACCAGGGUUGUGACCAUAAUGUGGUGGCUUCUCUCCCUUAGGUGGUUUGCCAACUGGGGUUGGUGGCUUGUAUGAGUCUUCAGCAUUCUCAGCAGGAGGGUGACCAGGGUUGUGACCAUAAUGUGGUGGCUUCUCUCCCUUAGGUGGUUUGCCAACUGGGGUUGGUGGCUUGUGUUCUGGGAGUGGCUUCUCCCCCUUGGGAGGUUUUUCCAAUGGGGUUGGUUUGUGUUCAGGAGGUGGCUUCUCCACUGGAGGCUUGUGUUCAGGAGGUGGCUUCUCCACCGGAGGCUUGUGUUCAGGUGGUGGCUUCUCCACCGGAGGCUUAUGCUCUGGUGGUGGCUUCUCGAAUGGGGGAUGCUUAGGAUAAUCAGCAAGUGAGGGGGCGGUGAGAACCACCAGGCCAAGCAACACCACUAGCAAAUAUGUAGGAGACAUCUUUGGGUUUGGGCUCAGAUGGUGCAAAACUAGGAGAAUUGGCUAGCCUUUUAUAGCGGAUCGUACCCAAUAAUGAAAUGACACGUGUCAUUAUGACCCAUGUGUAAUGGGGUCGAUUUGGGUCCUACAGUGUUGAAAACUUCGACAUCCACUUUUGGCCUUUUGCUUUCUCUACAGCCGCCUUGCUUUUUCCCUCUUUCCUUUUGUUUUCCUCCUGCCCCAUUCUAUCAACUAAACACAAUUAUGUAGUUGUUUAAUUCUUAAAUGAGAUAUUAUCCGUCAAUCGUAUUAUAUUUUAUCAAGAGAGAACGGAGUGCAAUGUGGCUGUAAUUUUAUCGUUUAGUUUUAUCUCUUGGACCACUGCAUUUUUGUUAAGAGGUGCAAUAAUACACGUCUUUAUCUGCCAUUCAAUAUUUACAGUAAAGAGAGGGCACAAAACUCUUCACUUCGCACCAUAAUUAUUUUGUUUUCUGGACACCCCGGGGCCCUUUGGUUGGUUUGGGGGUCAGAAAGUGAACAUCAUAGGGGGUUUUUCCCUUAUGUGCAUUUGUAUCUGAUGGCUUUAACUCGCCUUGUUACUACAAAGAAACUGUCACAGAUAGGAACUUAUUCCAGGCUGAGUAUCUCCUCAUAGACCCUAUAAAAGAAGACAAGUCAUAAUGAACAUCUAACCUUUGUUCAAUUUGAUUCAAUGCCCCCAUUGUGUCCAUCUCACAAAUCUGAAUUAUUAUAUCCAUUGAAUACAUAAAUUAAUGAAGAAAAUAUGAAACCCAAGAUACAUCUCUGCACAACCUCAACCCUGGUUGCUAUGUUUCCCUUCUAUUCACAUGAUUUGAUGCUAAUUGCCAAACUUGCAACAAGCCCUGAGUUUGACACCUAGUAUCGAUGGGCGAAUUUAAAGUCUCCUCCAAACAUAUAUUCCACAGCUUGAAGCUCACAGAAGAUGUUACAGGCAGGGAAAAACCUUCAGAGUUCGCUACCAAAGAUAAUUAUUAAGGAGAUAUCACAAAGAGAAUUCCAAGGGGUCUGAAUCAAAGACAAAUUGGUCGUUCGUGGGGGUUCUUACUUUCUUUUGGGUAUAACUCACUGAGGGCACUGUCUUUGUUAUUUGCAUUUCACAUUUAGAGUUCUGUUCUGGAAACAUAUAAAAGGAGCAUCAUUUUGUUCUUGGGUAACCCAUAGUCGUGAGUGGGUCCAUUUGCAUGCUACUUAGUUGAAAAGUUGGACCAUUUGCUCCGACGCCUACCUCCCGGAUUCCAUGCUCGGAUAAAACAAGAAUAAAAAAAAUAUUUAUAAUUUACAAAUGGGGGAAAGAAAAAAAUGUCAACAACAAACCAGGAAAAAAGAGUAGUAAAAUUCAUGUCACAUGCUAGUGAGAGAAGGGGUUGUUACACUCACUCGAAGUUCUUUCCAAAAUAUCGCAUGGUAUUUUAUUUUAUGUGUCAGCGCAGUUGUGAAUGGAACGUGCAAAAGUCCAAAUUGGCGUUUUUCCUUUUCCCGUGUAGGAUGGCGACCUUUAAUAAAUAUUUAAAACAAAAAACGAAAAAAAGGAGGGAAAAGGGAUCAGAAAAGAUAAAACAAUGUGUACAAGAGCUCAAUUAGUUUGCAAAUUACUGUUUGGAUUUUGAUAGUAUUUUAUUUGUCCAUCUAUAUUUGAUGGAAAAGAGAAUUUAAGAUAUUUCUGAAACAAAAGCAUUAGUGUAAAACUAAAUUAAGGUAUAAUUAAGUUAGUUCAAUGCAUUAAUUUAAGAAACUUGAUCUAUCCAAAGUACAAAAUUAGAUGAAAUCCAUUUCAAUGGUUAAAAUGAUCAAAAUCAAACUUUUUCUAAGUAUUUUUUAAAAGCAUCAAUAUUAAAAGACAAUUUUAUAUUUAGUCGGAGUUUGGACAAAACCAAAAAGCACACAAAAUCCAAGCGACCAUCUCUAGCUUGGAUAGUCACUUGAUCCCACCUAGAGAUGUGCAUGAGUAAAAGGAUUUGAAAAUGGAAAUUGACUAAAUAUUUAGUUGAUCAAUUAAAUUUGCAAUGUCAUAUGCAAUCCUAAUAGCUAGUCAUCUAAUCAAUUAGGUAGUCAAUCAAGUGUUUGUAAUGACUAUUUUGUACAAAAAACCACAUGUAUAGUUAAAUAUAAUGCAUUUCAUUUAUAAAUCUUCUAAUUCUUGAAUAACGAUCCUAUCAUCCUUUGAAAAUUUUUAUUACACCUUUUUUACUUUUGUUCUAAAACUUACAUAUCACCCUUAAUUGUACCAUGAGAACCUAGCUAUUUUUUUUUUUUUUGUAAUUCAUCAAAGUUAGCUUUUGUAUUCAUUGUUGUAUUAUUUUUAGUAUAACUUAGAAAGCUAGUGUUUUCAAGUGAGUAAAAUUAACUUGUAAAUAUUGUAAAGAUUCAUUGAUAUGUAUCUUAAACUAAGUGUACAAAUUAAAACAUUUGCUAGUAGAUUUUCUCAAAAUUUAGAAUAGAGCUUGAGGCUAUUGAAAUAGGUGGGGUUACACCAAACCACAUCACAUCGUUGUUUGCACCUUUUUUCACUCUCUUUUACUUAGUUUCUCUAUAUUUGUUGUCUAGUAAUAUCCUAUAGGCUUGAUGGGUUAGGGAGCAUCCCUUUGUGAAAAAAUUUCAUUCAAUUCUUAGUUGUAUUACGCAUAUAUAAAAUGCCUCAUUGUUUUAAUGGUAUUCAGUCGUGGCAUCACAGAUAUGGGCAUCUAAAUUUUAAAAGUUUGAAACUUUUGUAAAGCAUGUUGAUAAAAUCCAUGAGAGUUGUGUACUUGGGAAGCAACAUCGAGGUGACUUUAUUUUUUUUUCCUUUUAUAAUGCCACACCUAAGUCCGGUUUCUAAAUGCUAAAGUGAAAGGGUAGGUAUGGACCAUUGAAAUGUGAUCACAACUUUUGGCCUUUUCCUUUCUCUGCAGCCAUGUUGUCUCUUUUUUCUUUUGCAUGAUUUUCUUACCAAAACAGAAUCAUAGACUUGUUUAGUCUCUAAGCUACUAUAUUAUAUCUCGGUGGACUUUUAAGAGUGCAACCGACAUAGAGCACAUGCAAGUGGGCAUAUGGGACAUGAAAUUUCUUCUUACAAAGAUUGCAUGAUUUUUAUAUUAGAGUUGUUCACGUGCAAUGUAUUUAGCUUGUUUUGCAGUUAAAUUAAUUGGAUAAGUAAACAUUGGCAUUUCUAAAUCGACUGUGAAGUGCUUCAUGUACGUGUAAAGUAUUAGAAAUUUCUUUCUUGGCAACUUGUUUUUUCCUUGCCAUCUACUGGUAGGUUUGACUAAAAUUAUAUUCCCUGUCAUGCUAAUUAAUUUUCAUGUGCAUGCUCAAAAGAAGAGUAUGACCUUAGUGCACCAAAAUCACUUUGAUUAAUUUGUGAUAGGUUUUUUUGCAUCAUUUAGAUAAUGUUUAGUUCUAAGAAAAAUUUAUAUAAAAAUGGUUUAUUUAUCUUACAUAUAUAUAUAUAUAUAUAUAUUUUUUUUUUUUUCAUUUUUUUUUCUUCUAUUUUAUUUAUUUAUUUUAUUUUCCUUAUGUUUUCCUCACAUUUUCCGGAACUAAACAUAGUCUUACGAAAUCAACAAUUGCCUUCAACUGAGUAGAUUCUGUUGUUUUAGCAAUGUUAGGCUGCUAACUUGUGGUGGUACGAACCAAAUGACCCAUGUUAAUCUUGGCUUGGUUUGAUUUGGCUCUAUCUCAGAGAGCUAAAGGAUCACGUCAACUCUGGUUUCUACUAUUCAGGUCCAUUCCCAGAUGAACUGGUUCAAAUUUGAGAAAAUGGUAACAGACCUUUAGUGAUGUUGGUUUGGAGCCAGUUGCCAAACCCGCCCUGAGCUUUACCACUAAUGUCAAGGGAGAAAGCCAUUUGAACAAAAACAAUAGCUUCAAGAGACUGAAUCGUGGAUGAAAUCUGAUCCACAUUUCUUCUCAUUUUGGGAAAAAAUGAGAACUUAACUACAAAGAUUCUACUGCCUCAUUCAUAGUGCUUUUCCUGAUCCAAGGUUGGUUCGUUUCCCAAAUUGUGAGGUGCACGUGCCACUCUCACGCUCAGGAGUGUAUCCACGUGGUGGACAUCAGAUGGUGGCUUAAUAUCUGGUGUCGGUGGCUUUACUUUACUAGGAGAGUAGUGUGUCUUCAUCUCAUUCACUGCCGGAGGGUGGCGUAAGCAGUGACGCUAAGGUGGGGCACAGUCAAUAUCAUUUGCAUUUGACCAUUAUAGUUUUCUCCCGGCUUGAAAGUAACCUUAUCGUGAUAAAGGAUUACUAGCACUAGUUCAGAUGACCGUCAUGUUAAUUCGGACCAUGUUUGUGUCACAUUAUCAGCAACCAUGUGUUUAUGGUUCAUGCUAUCUGCAACUAAACUUGAUAUAUAACCAGGUGAACUUCAAUCAAAAUUCUGGAAGUACUCUUGUGAUAGAUGGUGCCUGUCUGCAGAGUCCAUCAAUUGAAAAAUGGAGUGAGUGUAUCUAUAAGAGGGAAGGCUUGGCAAAUGUUCAGUUUUCUGGGAAUUCAACAAGGAUCUAAAAUAGAUUGUUUUCUUUGCCGACUUCAAUGGUUGAAAUUUGAGAAGAUUGUGUCCACAUAUCACAACUAUUACUGGUCCUUCUGUUGCAAUUUAUCCUGUAAGGCUCUAACAUGUCUUCCAAUUCCCACUUCCCUGUUACUCCAGGAAAGCUAUUUCUGUCAUUGUGAAGAAGAAAAGAGAAUGUACAUAUCGAUGCUUUUAAGUGACUGGAGCAUUCAUAUCAGGUGGUCUGCAGCCAUAUAUGCCACUUUGUGAAGGUUGGAACAGUCAAUCACUAGGCUAUAUAUUGGUGUGGCCCAGCCACUUCAAUCAAGGACAAGUCUUCAUACUUAAAGUCAAAUUCUGCCUUUAGUCUCAUUAUAAAUUGCUGUUUAAAUAUUAAGCAAACUUUUGUUUAAUGCGAUUAAGACAGUACUAACUCAAUACUUGUUCUAUUUUUGGAUGCAAAUGCUUGAUGGUUUCAUCAUUGGAUGGGAUAAAGGUGCAUUCAUGAUUAUGAAUACUUGUAGUUAUAUUUUCAUUCUCUUUUUUCUCAAUGAGACUUGUUGGCACAAUGUUGCUGUUCAGAAACCUACCUCUCCAUGGAAAAUAAGUUGCGAUUGAUAGUACUGGAUAUGUUCAAGAAAGCUAAAUAUAGAUAGCACAAAAUAUUAUCGAUAUAAAUAGCAUUAACAGCGUACGUAUGUCUCAAUGCUCAUCAGCUAUAAGCAUGGGACAAACACUUACUAUGAGCAACUUACGUCAAAAUUCCAGAAUAGGACAUAGAAGUGACAGAUCUAUAUAUAUAGAACACUGCAUAUGAGUCACAAGAAAGGAAAUUACGGGUGCAUAGCAGCUCUUAUUUUACAUACUACUACUCAUACUGAUCAAAGUCACUCAGUUGGGAUGGGUGGGAGUAGGAGGUUUGUGGGGUGGCUUGUGCGGAGGAGUUGGCAGCUUCUUUCCAGGACCUGGUUGCUUCUCUGCUGGAGUUGAAGGAGGCUUAAUCUUCCGAGGUGGCUUGUAUGAGUCUUCAGCAUUCUCAGCUGGAGGGUGACCAGGGUUGUGACCAUAAUGUGGUGGCUUCUCUCCCUUAGGUGGUUUGCCAACUGGGGUUGGUGGCUUGUAUGAGUCUUCAGCAUUCUCAGCAGGAGGGUGACCAGGGUUGUGACCAUAAUGUGGUGGCUUCUCUCCCUUAGGUGGUUUGCCAACUGGGGUUGGUGGCUUGUGUUCUGGGAGUGGCUUCUCCCCCUUGGGAGGUUUUUCCAAUGGGGUUGGUUUGUGUUCAGGAGGUGGCUUCUCCACUGGAGGCUUGUGUUCAGGAGGUGGCUUCUCCACCGGUGGCUUGUGUUCAGGAGGUGGCUUCUCCACCGGAGGCUUAUGCUCUGGUGGUGGCUUCUCCACCGGAGGCUUAUGCUCUGGUGGUGGCUUCUUGAAUGGGGGAUGCUGAGGGUAAUCAGCAAGUGAGGGGGCGGUGAGAACCACCAGGCCAAGCAACACCACUAGCAAAUAUGUAGGAGACAUCUUUGGGUUUGGGCUCAGAUGGUGCAAAACUAGGAGAAUUGGCUAGCCUUUUAUAGCGGAUCGUACUCAAUAAUGAAAUGACACGUGUCAUUAUGACCCAUGUGUAAUGGGGUCGAUUUGGGUCCUACAGUGUUGAAAACUUCGACAUCCAGUUUUGGCCUUUUGCUUUCUCUACAGCCGCCUUGCUUUUUCCCUCUUUCCUUUUGUUUUCCUCCUGCCCCAUUCUAUCAACUAAACACAAUUAUGUAGUUGUUUAAUUCUUAAAUGAGAUAUUAUCGGUCAAUCGUAUUAUAUUUUAUCAAGAGAGAACGGAGUGCAAUGCAGCUGUAAUUUUAUCGUUUACUUUUAUCUCUUGGACCACUGCAUUUUUGUUAAGAGGUGCAAUAAUACACGUCUUUAUCUGCCAUUCAAUGUUUACAGUAAAGAGAGGGCACAAAACUCUUCACUGCUCUGCAUGUGUCCCAAAAAUGCGAUUGGACAAAUUAUGAUUUGCAUGCUAAAAAGAGGCAAAUGAGGUUAAUUCGCACCAUAAUUAUUUGGUUUUCUGGACACCAUAAAAAGAUGUUAUACAGGCAGGGAAAAACCUUCAGAGUUAGCUACCAAAGAUAAUUAUCAAGCAGAUAUCACCAAGAGAAUUCCAUAGAGUCUGAAUCAAAGACAGAUUGCUCGCUCGUGGGGGUUCUUACUUUCUUUUGGGUAUAACUCACUGAGGUCACUGUCUUUUUUAUUUGCAUUUCACAGUUAGAGUUCUGCUCUGGAAGGUUUGUUCUGGAAACAUAUAAAAGGAGCAUCAUUUUGUUCUUGGGUAACCCAUAGUCGUGAGUGGGUCCAUUUGCAUGCUACUUAGUUGAAAAGUUGGACAAUUUGCUCCGACGCCUACCUCCUGGAUUCCAUGCUCGGUAAAACAAGAAUAAAAAAAAAUAUAUAAUUUACAAAUGGGGGAAAGAAAAAAUGUCGGAAAAAAUAGUAAAAUUCAUGUCACAUGCUAGUGAGAGAAGGGGUUGUUACACUCACUCGAAGUUCUUUUCAAAAUAUCGAAUGGUAUUUUACUUUAUGUGUCAGCGCAGUUGUGAAUGGAACGUGCAAAAGUCCAAAUUGGCGUUUUUAUUUUUCCCAUGUAGGAUGGUGACCUUUAAUAAAUAUUUAAAACAAAAGACGAAAAAAAAAAGGAGGGAAAAGGGAUCACAAAAGAUAAAAUAAUGUUUACAAAAGCUCAAUUAGUUUGCAAAUUACUGUUUGGAUUUUGAUAGUAUUUUAUUUGUCGUUCUAUAUUUGAUGUAAAAGAGAAUUUAAGAUAUUUCCGAAGCAAAAGCAUUAGUUUGCUCUGUGAUGUCCCACAUCGAAUAGGGGAGAAAGUUUCUGGCGCUAUAUAUGUAGAGGCUCCUCUUAACCAAGUAGAUGCGUUUUAAAACCAUGAGGGCCCCCUUAGGUCCAAAGCGGACAAUAUCUACAUGAUUGGGUGUAAGUCAUUACAAAUGGUAUCAGAGCCGAUCCCCGACCCCGGUGUGGGGGUUUGUUUGGCCCUGUAAGGGGUGUUUGUCUGUUUGACCCCACAAUCCCAUGGGACACAACGAGGACGUUGUGUCUGCAUGGGGGGGCGUUUGUGAUGUCCCACAUCGGAUAGGGGAGAAAGUUCCUAGUGCUAUAUAUGUAGAUGUUUCUCUUAACCAAGUAGAUGCAUUUUAAAAUUGUGAGGGCCUCUUUGGGCCCAAAGCGGACAAUAUCUACAUGGUUGAGUGUAAGUCAUUACAUGCUCCAUGUCAAUUUCAGCAUUUCUCAUAUGUUUCACACAUACACAGAAGAGCAUCGUUUUUUAAAGCAUGCAUUUAUGUUGGAUUAAUUUGGAUUUUGUGGGAACUGGGGCAAGGAUCACAUGGAAGAGAGGUUGACUUUUUUCAGUACUUCAAUGGUUGAAAUAUGUGAAGGCUUGAUUGAUACUAAAGCUUGAAAUUGCGACUCUGUCAUUUGUAAAAAAAUAUGACAGCUUCCAUGCUCUCGUUUGGUUGCAUUGUCCGGUCGAGAGGUGCAAAAAGCAUUCUCUCUCUUCUAAUAGUCUUUUCGUUUAAAUCAAGGGAUUUGCCUUCCCGGUCGAGGUCCAAUAGAGGGUAACGGUCACCUACUAAACAUUAAAUGCUCCAACAACUAGUGAACUGAUCGACCCCAGCUCGACUAGUUGAGGUUACUUUUUGGUUUUCUUGUCUCCCGAGGUUAGAAACCUAUAAAUAGAGAGCUUCACUUCAUUUAUGAGUAAGAGAACACCUAAAUUUAUUUGUUUACCUACUUGUUUUUGCCAUAAAAGCUCUCAUUUCUUUUCUUGGUGUAUUAAAUCUCCAUUUGCAUAUCCUUUAGUGCACCUUUGUGAUUCAUUCUAGCCUUGAGUUGUAUUUAAGCCUUUGUUGAGCUAGGUUGAGAGUUUCAUACUUGUUUAUUGAGUGUUAAAGCCUUCAAGUGAGUUAAAACUUGAAGAGAUUGUGUAAGAGCCCAUUGGAGUCGGAAUCCAAGUGUAAAGGUGAUUAAAAGCUUGGUUGAAGCUUCAAGUUAGUGGAACUCUCACUCGGUUAUGAGCUUGAGAAGAGUGGACAUAGACAAGGCAGUGUCGAACCACUAUAAAAUCUGAGUUUGAUUUCUCUAACCUUAUCUCUUUAUAUUUGCUUCUCUUGUGCUUAAAUUUUUUGUGUUUAAAAAGAAUUUUUAAAAACUCAAUUCACCCCCUUCUUGGGAGUUUUUCUCUUUUAAGAUCAGCUUUUAUUUUCUCAAUUGGUAUCAGAACUAUGCCUCUUGUUUAAGACUUAAUCGUCUAAGAGGAAAUGGCUAAUCCAUCAAGUUCAUCUCACAUUGAAAGUUUUGCAACCAAUAGACUUCUUUUUUUUUUUUUGCGGGAACUGAUUAUCCCUAUUGGAAAACUAAAAUGACUUGGUUUUUACAAUCAAUUGAUUUAGAUGUAUGAGAUGCCAUUGAAGAUGACCUAACUUUUCCUUCAAAACUAGUUGAUGGAGUCAUGGUUCCAAAACCUAAGCAAGAAUGGGAUGAGCGUGAUUGAAGAAAUUUUCAAUUAAAUGCUAAAGUCGUUUAUACUUUGCAAUGCUCUAUGGACAGAAAUGAAUAUAAUAGAAUAUGUCAAUGCAAAUCGGUUAAAGAAAUUUGGAGAUUGCUUGAAAUAACUCAUAAAGGAACAAAUCAAGUUAAAGAGUCAAAAAUCAAUUUACUUGUUCAUAGAUAUGAAUUGUUUUUUAUGAAAGAUAAUGAAACUAUUGUUAAGAUGAUCACUAGGUUCACCAACAUUGUUAAUGGUCUUAAAGCCUUGGGAAAGACCUACAAGGAAUCCGAAAACGUGAUGAAGAUCUUGAGGUCACUUCCAUCAAAGUGGCAUACCAAGGUCACCGCAAUUUAAGAAGCAAAAGACUUGAUCAAGCUACCUUUGGAGGAGUUCAUAGGGUCAUUGAUGACAUAUGAAAUCAAUUUGGCAAAGAAGUAACAAAAAGGUGAAGACAAAAAGAAGAAGAACAUAACUCUCAAAGCUACAACUAAGGAAGAAGAAGUUGAAGAAGAAAAACAAAUUGAAGAAGAUGAAGAUUUAGCCCUCAUCACAAGAAAGUUCAACAAAUUCAUGAGGGGUGAAAGGUUUAGAAGAAGAAGGUUCACUUCUAGAAGAGACUUUUCUAAAAAGGAAUCUUCAUCUAAUGGUGACAAAAAGAGAUGGGAAGAGAAAAGAGACUUGGUGUGUUUCAAGUGCAAGAAACCGGGACACAUUAAAUAUGAUUGUCCUCUCUACAAAAGUGAAGUCAAGAGGAAAAAGAAUAAGGCAAUGAUGGCCACUUAGAGUGAAAGUGAAGAUGAAUCAUCCGAAGAAGAAAAUGAGAAAGAAGUGGCAAACAUGUGUUUCAUGGCAAUAGAUGAACUUGAUGAGGUAAAAUCUAACCUUAGUGAUUAAGAUAUACAUGAUGCAUUUGAAGAAUUGUAUGAGGAUUUUUAAAAACUUAGUUUGAAAAAUAUUUCUCUUAAAAAGAAAGUUCAACAACUUGACAAAGAACUUAGAGAAGUAAAAGAAAAAUUUUCAAAUGUUAAAGUUUCUAAAACUCAUCUUGAAAAAGAAAAUGAGAUUCUAAGAAAGAAAAAUGAAUAGUUGAACUCCUCUCUUUCAAUCUUUUCUUCUAGACAAAAAUCUUUUGAAAUGAUUCUAACUAGCUAAAAAUGUGUUUUUGACAAACAAGGGUUAAGAUUUAAAUCUUCAAAAAAUCAAAAGUAUUUUAAAAACUAUUUUGUAAAGGAAUCCACAAGUGCAAGUCCUUCCACUACUUGCAACUUUUGUGGAAGAGAAUGGCACAUUAGUAGUACGCCCUUUAAGAAAUGGUUCUCAAAAGAAUUUAAAUGCAAAAACUAAAAAAGAUUUGGAUUGAGAAAUCCAAGGUCACUAACCCUCAAGGACCCAAAAAGAUAUAGGUACCUAAAUCAACUUGAGUUUUAUGUUGUAAGGUUCAAAGAAUGAUAAGUGGUUCUUAGAUAAUGGUUGCUCAAGACACAUGACCGGAGAUGAAUCCAAGUUUGCUUUUCUUAAAAAGAAAAAUGGAGGAUAUGUUACCUUUGGAGACAAUGCAAAAGAAAGGAUGAUUGGUCAAGGCAACAUUGGUAAUGGCACAUCCUCUCUCAUUGAAAGUGUUUUAUUAGUAGAUGGUUUCAAACAUAACCUUUUAAGCAUUAGUCAAUUUUGCGACAAAGGUUUUUAAGUGAUUUUUUAAGCAUCUCAUUGCAUCAUCAAGGAUAUUCAAAAUGAUAAAACCAUUUUCAUGGGCCAUAGAUGUGAUAAUGUUUAUGCUAUAAAUAUUUCAAAAUAUGAUGGCCAUGAUAGAUGUUUUUCAAGCAUGCAUGAUCAAAGUUGGUUGUGCCAUAGGAGAUUGAGACAUGCUAACAUAGACCUCAUUUCCCAACUCAACAAAGAUGAACUUGUUAGAGGCCUUCCCAAAAUAAUUUUUUAAAAAGAUAAAGUUUGUGAAGCUUGUCAAGUGGGAAAGUAAAUCAAAAACUCUUUUAAAAACAAAAACUUCAUUUCCACAUCUAGGCCACUUGAGUUGUUGCAUAUGGAUUUAUUUGGUCCCUCUAGGACACCAAGUCUUAGAGGAAAUUCUUAUGCAUAUGCUAUUGUGGACGACUUCUCUAGAUACACAUGAGUCUUGUUUUUUAGUCAAAAGAAUAAAGUUUUUUAUGAGUUUUCAAAGUUUUGCAAUAAGAUUCAAAAUGAAAAAGGUUUUUCAAUUACUUAUAUAAGAAGUGAUCAUGGGAGAGAAUUCGAAAAUAUUGAUUUUGAAGAGUAUUGCAAUGAGCAUGGAAUUGACCACAAUUUUUUGGCUCUUAGAACUCCUCAACAAAAUGGGGUAGUUGAAAGGAAAAAUAGAACUCUUCAAAAAAUGACAAGAACCAUACUAAAUGAAAACAACUUACCAAAAUAUUUUUAGGCCAAAACGGUUAACACUUCUUGUUAUGUUUUAAAUAGAGUAUUAUUGAGGCUCAUACUUAAGAAAACUCCCUAUGAGCUUUGGAAAAACAAAAAACCCAACAUUAGUUAUUCCAAAGUCUUUGGAUGCAAUAUUUUAUAAUAAACACCAAAGACAAUCUUGGAAAAUUUGAUGCAAAAUUGGAUGUUGGAAUUUUCCUUGGUUACUCAACUUCAAGUAAAGCUUUUCGAGUUUUAACAAAAGAACCAUGGUUGUAGAGGAGUCCAUCCAUGUUAUUUUUUAUGAAUCUCCAAGAAAGAGAGAGGAUUGAUGAUGAUUUAGGUUUGAAGACCUCUAUAGGAAGAUUGCAAAUCGAAGAUAGAAGACAACAAGAAGAAAAUGGAGAGAAUCCAAAGAAAGAAGGAUCACCAUUGGCACUACCCCCUCAUCAACAAGCGCAAGGUGAAUCAAGUCAAGAGCUUCCUAAAGAAUGGAAGUUUGUCAUCAAUCACCCACAAGAUCAAAUUAUAGGCAAUCCAUCUAGUGGGGUAAGAACUAGAUCCUCUCUUAGAAAUAUUUGCAAUAAUCUAGCUUUUAUCUCUCAAAUUGAGCCUAAAAAUAUAAAUGAUGUUUUAGAUGAUGAAAAUUGGAUAAUUGCAAUGCAAGAAGAGUUAAAUCCAUUUGAAAGAAGUGGAGUAUGGGAAUUAGUACCAAGACCUUCAAAUCAAAGUGUUAUUGGAACUAGAUGGAUCUUUAGAAAUAAAAUGGAUGAAAAUAGCAUAAUUGUUAGAAAUAAAGCAAGAUUGGUAGCCCAAGGUUUUAAUCAAGAAGAAAUGAUAGAUUAUGAAGAAACCUUUGCCCCCGUAGCUAGGUUGGAAGCCAUUAGGAUGCUACUUGCCUUUGCAUGUUUUAAAGACUUUGUUUUAUAUCAAAUGGAUGUGAAAAGUGCUUUUUUAAAUGGUUUUAUAAAUGAAGAAGUAUAUGUUGAACAACCACCCGGUUUUCAAAGUUUCAACUUUCCUAACCAUGUUUUUAAACUUAAAAAGACACUUUAUGGUUUGAAACAAGCACCUAGAUCAUGGUAUGAAAAAUUGAGUAAAUUUCUUUUGAAAAAAAUGUUUUAAAAUGGGAAAAAUUGACACAACUCUUUUUAUAAAAACCAAAGAAAAUGAUAUGCUCUUAGUUCAAAUAUAUAUUGAUGAUAUCAUUUUUGGUGCUACUAAUGUCUCUCUUUAUGAAGAAUUUUCUAAGUGCAUGCAUAGUGAGUUUGAAAUGAGCAUGAUAGGAGAACUCAACUUCUUCCUUGGACUUCAAAUCAAGCAACUAAAGGAAUGAACCUUCAUCAAUCAAGCAAAGUAUAUAAGAGAUCUUCUCAAAAGGUUCAACAUGGAAGAAGCCAAAACAAUGAAGACUCUAAUGAGCUCAUCCAUUAAGCUUGAUAAGGAUGAGAAAGGUAAAUCCAUUGACUCUAUUAUGUAUAGAGGCAUGAUAGGUUCUUUGCUCUAUUUGACCACUAGUAGACCUUACAUUAUGUAUAGUGUGUGUUUGUGUACUAGAUUUCAAUCUUGUCUUAAAAAAUCUCACUUAAGUGUCGUGAAAAGAAUCCUCAAAUAUUUGAAAGGGACAAUGGACAUAGGCUUAUGGUAUCCUAAGAGUGAUAACUUUGAAUUAAUUGGUUUUUUGGAUGCUGAUUUUGUCAGUUGUAGGGUUGAAAAAUAAAACACUAGUGGCACUUUUCAUUUCUUAAGACACUUACUUGUCUCAUGGCAUAAUAAGAAGCAAAAUUUGGUAGCUUUGUCAACAGCAGAAGCUAAAUACAUAGCAACUGGUUUAUGUUGUGCACAAAUCCUUUGGAUGAAAUAAACACUUAGUGAUUUUGAUUUAUCUUUUGAGCAUAUUCCUAUUAAAUGUGAUAAUAGUAGUGCCAUAAGUAUAUCAAAAAAUCUCGUGCAACACUCUAGGACUAAGCAUAUAGAGAUUAGACAUAAUUUUCUUAGAUAUCAUACACAAAAGGAUGAUAUAACACUUGAAUUUGUAAGCAUAAAAGACCAACUUGCCGAUAUCUUUACAAAACCUCUAAGAACAUUUUGUUGAUAUUAGAGGACAAUUAGGAGUGAUUUCUUUAUGAUCUAAUGUGAUGAAUUCUUGAUGAAUAUACUUUUUGAUUGCAUGAAUUUCAUGUCAUAUAUGCAUCAUAUAGAAAUAUACUUAGAUAAUGGUCAAAUUUCGACCAAAAAUCAAAAUUCCCAUGGCAUUAGGCAUAAAAAUUUUGGAAUUUCAACUGAAAAUGGUAGGAGGAGGAUCACAAAAUGAGAAAGUAUGCAAAAAUUGAAAAAUCAAAACGUUGACCAAGCGGUCAAUCGGACUAGACCGAUCGACUAGUUUGUCGAGAUUUAGGAUUUUUAAGAGACUCCAACGCUUCAAUUUUUGCACCGUUCUCCUCUAUUUCUUCACGGUUUCUCUGAUUUUGUCUUUUAGAGACUAAUUUGAGUGCGUUUUGGAUCAAUUGAAGCAUUUUGGAUUGGAUUUUAGGAAGAUUGAAAGUUAAGGUUUCGGAUUUGGGUCGCCUUCUCUUCCUCUCGCGUGUCACAAUCAGCUUUAGCAUUGUUCUCUUUCCAUUUUCACACACCUAGGGUUUCAGUUGUGAGCAUCUCUCUCUCUUUACCAACCACUACUCCCUUGCUUCUUCCAUAUGGCUCCUAGGCGAGAGUCCGCUACUUCUAGGGCACAAGGCAAGCACCCAACUGAGUCGUCUCAGUCAAAGGCACGUCGAAAAGUGAGAUUUGACAUUGCCUUGUUCAGUUCCAUGGAGGACUACCAACUAUACAAGCAACACUUUGCUUAGAGACGAGUAGUUCCCAAGAGAAAUAUUAAUUUUCCUCAACUUCAGCAUUUCGAAUUUAAGGGUCUAUUUACUAGGAUGGUUGGUUGUCUAUUGUCACAAUUUCGGAGCCGGUUUUCCUGACCUUAGUGCGAGUUUUUUACUCGAGGGCGACUUAUGGCAUGGGUGGCAUGAUCAUUUCUACUGUUGGAGGAGUUGAGAUCUGUCUGGACCCAGAGAGCAUCUGCCAUAUUUUCGAUAUUGCUCUGGUUGGACUCAAAGUAUACAAGUCCAAAAUGUGGCCCAUUGUGCCAGGAUUUGAGCUUAGAGAGGUCAUUCAGAGGAUUUGUGAACUUCCAGACGCCCAGGAGAUGGGCAAACCAUUGCCACACAGUUUGACGGUCAUCAACAGGGUGCUACACCAUAUAUUGUGCUCUAUCUUUCUACCACGAAGUGGACAUUGAGAUGAGGUCUCUUAUUAUGAGGCAUUCCUUAUUGACUCCAUUCUAACGGAGAGACGAAUUCAUCUACUAUGUCAUCAUUCACUAAGCCUCCUCACAGUGACAUACCACCUCAUCAGGCACCUCUUGCUCCUGACCAUGCUCCAUUGAUGGAUUUAUUUACUCAUAUUAGCUCUCUAGGCACUCGCAUGAAGGAGUUUGUUGUAGUUAGUGAUACAUGGUUCUACUCCAUAGAGGAUCGCAUGGAUCAGUAUCAGACUGGCUUCACGUCACAGUUUGAGUAUCUCCAAUAGAGGAUUGAGCAUAUUGAGGAUCACUUGAGCAUGAGAAGAUGAUGGCUUUUCUAUGCUCUGUGUUUCCACCUCCACCUCGUCAACCUUGAUUUCUUAGAGACCCAUUGUUUUCAUUUUGUAAUGUUGCCAAAAGGGGGAGAUAUUUAGGAUCUAGGACUCUAUAGGAGACUUACAUGCAUAUCAUUUUCAUAUCAUUGUUUGGAUCGUACAUAUUGGAUAGUGAUACUUUUUACUUAUAUAUGAUAUGCCUAUAUGUUUCAUGUCUUACAUUGUUUCUUAUUGCAAAUUAUCUCUAACAUGUCUUGAUUAUCUUUUUUUUAACUUCAUAAAUUUUGAUUGUUAACCCAUGAUUGGUUUGAGGGGAAGAUUCUUCUUCUCCUAGAUAACCAAGGUUUGUCAUCAUAAAAAAAUUGGAGAUUGUUAGCCCAAGGGUUCUCCUAAUCAUGUUUUGAUGAUAACAAACCAUGCUUAAGUUACUAAUUGGUUUGAAUUAUAAAGAAUUUCAAGUGUUAAUUUGAAAAUUCAUCAAAGAACCUAAUGGAUGCAAGAUCAAGAUUUUUGGAAGACCUUUAAUCAUAAGAAACAUAUGUAAGAUGAAUGCAUGGGUGCACUUAAGAUUUGCAUAUCAUUUCAUGCAUAUUUGGAAAACACGGUUUAUGCUUUAAAGUUACAUUUCCAUCAAAAUUUGAGAUCCAUCAAAUGAACCUUAGGAAAAAUGUUUUAAAAUUGGCAUAUAAUUUUACCUAAAGACCUUGCCUAAGUGUUAGAAGCAAAAGGACAAAAAAAAUAUAGGUUUUCUGGUCAAAAAUGGUGAACCAGUCAAGGCAUUGUCUAAAUCAGCUCAAUCGGCCAAGGUACCGGUCGAUCGGUUUCCCUUUCCCUGUCGAGAUCUAGUCAAGAGGUACAAAAAUCACAAUCUCUGUCUCUUUCUCUCUUUGUCUAUCUUCCAGUAGUCUUUCCUUCCCGGUCGAGGGAUUUGCCUUCCCGAUUGAGGUCCGAUUGAGAGUAAUAGUCACUUGCCAAAUAUUAAAUGCUCCAACAGUUAGUGAACUGGUCGACCCCCACCUUGCCCAGUUGAGGUUACUUUUUGGUUUUCUUGGCUCCCGAUGUUAGAAACCUAUAAAUAGAGAGUUCCACUUCAUUUAUGAGCAAGAGAACACUUGCAUUUAUUUGUUUACCUACUUGUUCUUGCCUUAAAAGCUCUCAUUUCUUUUCUUGGUGCAUUAAAUCUCCAUUUUGAUAUCCUUUAGUGCACCUUUGUGAUUCAUCUUAGCCUUGAGUUGUAUUUGAGCCCUUUUUUUAGCUAGGUUGAGAGUUUCAUACUUGUUAAUUGAGUGUUAAAGCCUUCAAGUGAGUUGAAACUUGUAGAGAUUAUGUGAGAGUCGAUUGGAGCCGAAAUCCAAGUGUAAAGGUGAUUAGAAGCUUGGUUGAAGCUUCAAGUUAGUGGAAUCCUCACUCAAUUAGGAGCUUGAGGAGAGUGGACGUAGCCAAGGAAGUGUCGAACCACUAUAAAAUUUGAGUUUGAUUUCUCUAACAUUGUCUCUUUAUAUUUGUUUAUCUUGUGCUUAAAUUUAUUGUGUUUAAAAAGAAUUUUUAAAUACCCAAUUCACCCCCCUCUUGGGUGUUUUUCUCUUUUAAAAUUAGCCUUUAUUUUCUCACAAACUAUUGUAGUAUAGUGGUUUUUAGGUGUCAUCCAUUAGGAUGAAUUGUUCUCGGUAAUUAAGGCGUGAAUGAGAGGAGAAUUAAUGAUUGUGAUUAAGUAAAAUUGAUUUGAAAAUUCAUGGUGAAAAAUCAAUUUAACAAUGGUUUCUAAUUGAGAAAAACAAUGAAAUGUGAAAUAAAAUAAAAUUAAUAGGAAAUGAAAUUCUCGAAGUUAGAAUUUUCUAAAAAACAAAUUCCAUGGUGAAUGGAUGUUGAGAUCUAAUUUUCAUCAAGUUAGAUUGAAAACCGAAAUUUUCAUAUAAACUGAUUUUUUAUUUAGUUUUAGGUCUAGAUUUAAUUUCCCUUAAAAUUAGGUUAUUUAAUCCAAGAAAUCAAUUCAAAUCAUAUAUUCAAUUCAUCUUAAAUUAUCUUCCAAUUAUUCACACAAUGCAACUAUUCAAUCUCAUCAAAUCUAGCUUUUAAGAAUUUAAUGAAUCUACCUAGUUUGCAUUGUAAUAGUCAUCCAUGACAAUUUGAAGAGAAAAAUAAUUCAAUUAAUCAAUCACUUGGAUCAAAUUACCUUUGCAAUUAAAGUUCAUUUCUCUAAUUCACCACAGAUUUUGUCUCUAGAUCCUCCUUUCUCAAAGAAAAAUGAGAUUUAGCCACACAUGAUUGGAGAUUUGGUCUCAUAAGGCAUGUUUAGCUAGUGAUAAAAUGAGAGAAAAUAAAGAAAAAUAGAGAAUUCGAUUAAGAAAGAAAAUCUAAAAAAUUCUACAAUUAGAAAUGUCCAAAAAGCUUUUUCAUGAGAAAAUCAAGUUUCUAUUUAUAGGCCAAGGUCAAGUGGACACUUGACAUCAUCUAAGAGGUCUUCCGGAAGCUUCUUCAUCAAGAAAUCUGGAGUUUAAUAAUAAAAUGGUCAUUUCACAAGAGCUCAAACAAUUUCGCAUGAUUAUGUGAAAUAAAAAAUGCAACAACAGCAAUUUACAUCUUCUUGGAGCAUUUCGCAUGACUGUGUGAAAUUUUCACAUGAUCAUGUGGAAUCGACUUGACAACUCUCAUUUAGCCUACAACAUAAUUCCACCUUUUGGUCCAUUUUUCAUAGUCAUGCGAAAUGGAAAUAUUUGAUUUUUAAGUUUUCUUUUGUCAUUUCUUUCAUUUCCUUCUCUUGAUUCCACUUCAACUACCUCCGAAUCCUGGUCCAAACCAAUUGCAUUACUUCUUUCAUUAUGCAUUUGGAUCAUCAUCAACAUUAUUUGUUCUCUUCAAUUUGAUUCAUCUCUUUUGUCACCAAUUUAUCAAAAUCAUACCUUGAAAUGACUCCAAAACUUCAUAAAACUUGUUAGUAACUCUUGCAAGGGCAACAACAUAUUAAUUAAGUGUUUUAGGCAUAGUUACUACUCAAAAGAUGCGAAACUCAUGAUAAUUAUUAUAUAAAAUAUGCUCUUUUUGAGUAGUAAUCAACUUUCUUGCAUAAGCAGACCUUUUAGGGUGGAGUACUAAAGACCAAUAUGCUUGUCCUUGUUGUAAUAAAGAAACUUGCUCUUAUUGAUUGCACCAUGGGAGAAAAUUUUGCUACAUGAGUUAUCAUCAAUUUCUUCCCACCAAUCAUAGAUUUAGACGUGACAAGAGGCCUCUUAAUGGCAAGGAGGAACUGACACUCACACUUAUACAAUUAUCGGGCAUUGAUGUGUUGCAACAAUUAGAAUAACUUACACCAAUUAUGUUGGGGAAGUCACAAAAGGCAAACAUGAAAACUAAAAGGAAAAAAGAAAAAUGUUACAUAUCACCACAACUGGAAAGAAAAAAGUAUUUACUUUCAUUUGCCAUAUUGGAAAGCACUUAUUUUACAUCAUAAUAAUUUAGACAUAAUGCAUAUUGAGAAAAAUGUGUGACAAUAUAAUUGAGACAUUGUUCAGUAUUGACGAAGAAACAAGGACAACCUAAAUAGUCAUCUCGAUUUACAAGCUCUAACUAUUAGAAAUGAGAUUCACCCAAUAGAAAGCAGGACCAAAUUUAUUUUGCUUGCAACAUGCUACUCACUCACCCCAAAUGAGAUUAAGGAAUUUUGCAAGUUUUUGAAAUCAAUAAAGGUCCCCAAUGGCUAUUCUUUCAAUAUCUCUCGUUAUGUGCAACUCAAUGAAAGGAAGAUAUAUGAGCUCAAAUUGUAUGAUUGUCAUGUCCUAAUGCAACAACUUCUCUCACUUGUAGUUCGUGGAGUUCUACAUAAGAAUGUUUGUGGAGUUAUCAUAGAAUUGCGUAAUUUUUUCAAGCAAUUGUGCUCAAAGGUGUUAGAAACAAAUCACUUACACCAACUUGAGAACAAUAUUAUUGUCAUACUAUGUAAAAUGGAGCAAAUAUUUCUUCCAUCAUUCUUUGAUAUUAUGGUGCAUUUACUUGUGCAUCUAGUAAGGCAAAGGUUGCAAGACUUGUGCAAUAUUGUUGGAUGUACCUAAUUGAACGAUAUUGUUAUAAUUUCAUAUGAAUCAUUUAAUUUUAUUUUAUAUUAUGUUCAGUUCAUUAACAUGUACAUUGGUCUACAUAUGGAUGAUGAUAGGUACCUAAGCACUUUAAAGUCAUAUGUGCGUAAUAGAACUUUUCUAGAAGGUUCUAUUGUAGAAAGGUACCUUGCAAAAGAAUGUACAACAUUUUAUUCUAGGUACUUGAAUGAUGUGGAAAUAAAGUAUAAUCACAAUGAUAGAAACUUUGUUGGUUUCAACACUAGAGGAGAUGAAAGGGGUUAUCUUUAAACAUAUUGGACAUGCAUUGGGAAAGCCCAUAUUUCAUUAACUUAGUUCAAAAGAGUGGUCACAAGCACAUUUAUAUGUGUUGACAAAUUGCGAAGAUGUCAUACCAUUCAUUGAGUAAAAAAUUUAUUUGAAUUUUAAUUAAAGCUCUAGUUUAUAUCCUUAAUCAAUGUUUUUUAAAUUCACAAGGAGCACAAGCAAACCAUCAAGGCUAGACCACAUAUACGUGUUUGAGACGUAGAUUUAAUUCAUAACAAGGAAUUUAUCAAGUGGUUUGAAAGACAUGUAAGUAUAUUCCUUAUUAUAAGGGAUUUAUUUCACAUUAUGUUUAUAUUGAAUCCAAACCUAUUAUUGAAUUGUAGGUUGAACAAUUACAUAAUGAAGGUCAUAUAUCUGAACACCUUCUCACAUUAUCAUGUGUUCCAAAUUCAUUAGUUACAUGCUUCAAAUGAUAUAUUGUCAAUGGAUUUAGAUCCCACAUUAAAGAACGUGAUAAAAAAGUUUUUAAAAAAAGACUCAGAAUAAUGGAAUUGUUGUAGUUGCAAAAACGUCAAGCUUUACAAGUGCAUGUGAUAUGAGUCCAAUUAUUAGUGAUGCUCUCUACUAUGGUGUUCUAACUAAAGUUGUUGAGUUACAUUAUCUUGGUGAAAAUAAGGUUGUUUUAUUCGAGUUUGAUUGGUGGGAUGUUACAAAUAUUGGAAAAUUGAUAAAAGAUGAUGAGUACAAUUACACAUUUGUUAACUUUGCAUGAAUUCUAACCACGAACGAACGAUUUGUACUUGCAUCUCCAGCAAAGUAAGUGUUCUAUGUGAAGAAUGCGAAUGAAUCAGAUUGGCAUACUAUCAUGGAGAUGCAACCUCAAGACCUCUAUAAGAUGAACGGGAUAGGAUCCAAUGGUGAUUUUGAACCAUUUCAACAAAGUGAACUACAUGAUCACUAAUAUAUCUCAGAUUUAGUUGAUGAAGAUAUAAUCAAGUGGAACAAAAGUGAUGUUUUAGGACUAAUCAUCCUAAAAAAUAUUGUAGUUUCUUAAAAAAAAAAUGAAAAUGAAGAAGAUAAUUGAACCUUUGUCAUACUUUAAAAAGCAACUAUGCAUUGUUCAUUUUGUAUGUUUUGGUUUUCUUCAUUUAAUUUCCUGAUUUUUGUGAUUCAAUGUCAUAUUAUUGAUCUUGAAAUAUUUUUCUAAUUUUUCAUUCUACGAUGGUUUCAACAAGGAUGACAUCAAGUCAAAAAAGGAAAUGUGGUCCCACACACAAUAUUGCAUUACAGGGAUUAAGGUCAGGGAAGAAGGUAAAAGUUGCAUUUAAUGAGUACAAUCAAUUGGUUAAACAGAAAAAUGGAAAACACUUAUCGAGCUACAUAGGGACACUUGUAUCUAACCAACACAAUGUACCUCUCCAAGCUAGUGAUUGGAAAAAUGUUCCAAAUGAUGCAAAAGAGAAAGUAUGGCCUUUGUUUUGGUAUGUUGUAUUUCUCACUAUAUGAUGUCAUUUCACUGUUAUUCUAUUUUGUGACUAACGUUUGAAUCAUAUGUAAGAAAAAUUUGAAGUAGAUAAAGACUGAAAAGAUUACAUGUUGGGUAUAGCCUCAAAUAAAUAUAGAAGCUAUAAAAAUAUGAUGAAUGCAAAAUACUAUGACCCUUGGCAUAAGGAUGCAUGAGGAGAGGUUAAUACAUAAAUCACCAUUUGUCUCUGAUGUUGAUUGGAAGUGGCUUGUCUCUGAUGCAUAAACCAAAUCCCCCACUGAAUGUUUGAUAUUUGAUAGCAGGAAAAACACACCCGCAGCUAUACACCUCCAUCAUUCAGAUAAUUAUAGUGGGGGAGAUGAUUCAUGGUUGCCCUUAUACCCUUUAUUUGCACCAUCUAUUGAGAUUCUUUAUCAUGGCCAGGUUUUACUGCAGCAAUAAGAUAUGGUGGCAACAAUUUUAUCUAUAGGUGCGGUUCCAGACCGCCUCCAUAGGUGCGGUUCCUGACUGCCUCCAUAGGUGCCUCUUCUUGUAAUGUUUGUUCUGGGAAUUACACUUGAAAGCCUUAUCGUGAUAAGGGAUUACAAACACUAGUUCAGAGGACAGCCAUGUUAAACUUCCACUAUGUUUGUGUCACAUUAUCAGCAGCCUAGUGUUUAUUGGUCAUGCUAUCUGCAACUAAUAUAACCCGGUGAACUUCAAUCUAAAUUCUGAAAGUACUCAUGUGACAGAUGGUGCCUUUCAGCAGAUAUCAUCAAUUUAAAAGUAGUGUGUGUGCCUAUAGGUGGGAAGGCCUUGGCAAAUGUUCAGUAUUCCGGUAAUUCAAGAAGGAUAUAUCUAAAAUAGAUUUUCUUCUUGCCCAUUUCAAUAGUUAAAAUUUGAGAAGAUUGUGUCCACAUCACACAAAUAUUAUUGGUCCUUCUGUUGCAAUUUACCUCUGAACAUGUCUUCCAAUUCCCACGGUCCUGUUACUCCAGGAAAACUAUUUCGGUCAUAUUGAAAAAAAAAAUAUUAAAGAAGGUACACAUGCUUUUAAGUGGACUGGGGCAUUCAUAUCAGGUGGUCUGUAUCCACAUAUGCCACUUCGUGAAAGGUGGAACAGCCUAAUCACUAGGCUAUUUAGUGUGGCCCAGCCACGUUAAUCAAGCACAAGUCUUCAUACUUAAAGUCAAAUGGUGUCUUUAGUCUCAUUACACAUCGCUAUUUGAAGAUUAACUCAUCACUAGUGUAAUGCGAUUAAGACAGUCCUAACUCAAUAUUUGUUCUAGUUUUGGAUGCAAAUGCUUGCUGGUUUCAUCAUUGGAUGGGAUAAAGGUGCAAUCAGGACUAUGAAUACGUGCAGUAAUACUUCAUUCUCUUUUUUCUCAAUGAGACUUCUUGGCACAAUUUUGCUGCUCAGCAACCUACCUUUCCAUGGAAAAUCAGUUGUGACUGAUAGUAAUGGAUAUAUUCUAGAAAGCUAAACAUAGAUAGCAUUCAAUAUUAUCGAUAUAACAUUAACAGCGUAUGUCUCAAUGCUCAUCAGCUACAAGCAAUGGACAAACACUUUGAGUAACUCACAGCAGUCAAAAUUCCUAAACAGGACAGACGUGACAGAUCUAUAUAUAGAACACUGCAUAUGAGUCACAGGAAAAGAUAAUACGGGUACAUAGAAGCUCUUAUUUUACAUAUUACUCAUACUGAUCAAAGUCGCUCAGUUGGGAUGGAUGGGAGAAGGAGGUUUGAGGGGUGGCUUGUGCGGGGAAGUUGGCAGCUUCUUUCCGGGAGCUGGUUGCUUCUUUGCUGGAGUUGAAGGAGGCUUAAUCUUCCGAGGUGGCUUGUAUGAGUCUUCAGCAUUCUCAGCAGGAGGGUGACCAGGGUUGUGACCAUAAUGUGGUGGCUUCUCUCCCUUAGGUGGUUUGCCAACUGGGGUUGGUGGCUUGUUUUCUGGGAGUGGCUUCUCUCCCUUGGGUGGUUUGCCAACUGGGGUUGGUGGCUUGUGUUCUGGGAGUGGCUUCUCCCCCUUGGGAGGUUUUUCGAAUGGGGUGGGUUUGUGUCCUGGUGGUGGCUUCUCUCCCUUGGGAGGUUUACCAAUUGGGGUCGGUGGCUUGUGUUCUGGGAGGGGCUUCUCUCCCUGGGGAGGUUUAGUGGGUGGCUUGUGUUCUGGAGGUGGCUUCUCCACCGGAGGCUUAUGCUCUGGUGGUGGCUUCUCGAAGGGGGGAUGCUCAGGGUAAUCACCAAGUGAGGGGGUGGUGAGAACCACCAUGCCAAGCAACAACACUAGCAAGUAUGUAGUAGACAUCUUUGGGUUUGGACUCAGACAGUGCAAAACUACGAGAAAUCGCUAGCCCUUUAUAGCGGCUCGGACCUAAUACUGACAUAAUAUAAAAUAAAUAUUAUAUUUUAUCAAGAGAGAACAGAGUGUAAUUUUAUCAUUAAUACCGAUCGAGGCCAAAGAAAGAAGACCCAUAAUCCAUUUCCCACAAGCAUACACAAUGCAGCUGUAAUUUUAUCAUUUACUUUUAUCCCUUGGACCACUGCAUUUUUGUUGAGAGACACAAUAACACAUUUUUAUCUGUCAUUCAACAUUUACAGUAAAGAGAGGGCACAAAACGCAAUUAGAUAAAUUAUGUUUUGCCUGCUAAAAAGAGGCAAAUAACUUUAUUUGCAACAUAAUUAUUUUGGUUUCUAGUGACCCCGGGGCCUUUCGGUUGGUUUGGGAUCGGAAAAUGAACAUCAUAGGGGGGGUUGUGCCCUUAUGGGCAUAUAUAUCUGAUAGCUUCAACUGGCCUUGUUCCUAGAAAGAAAUUGCCAAAGAUAUAAACUUAUUCCAGGCUGAAAGUAGAUGAGAGUCAUAAUGAACAUCAACCUUUGUUCAGUUUGAUUCAAUGCCCCCAUAGUGUUCAUUUCACAGAUCUGAAUGAUUAUAUCCGUUGAAUACAUAAAUUAAUGAAGACAAAUAUGAAACCCAAGAUACAUCUCUGCAUAACAACCCCAACCCUGGUUGCUAUGUUUCCCUUCUUCUAUUCACAUGAGGAUACUGGUUAUAAUUGUCAAACUUGCAACAAGCCCUUUGACACCUAACGUCAAUGGACGAAUUAAAAGUCUCCUUCAAACGUCUAUUUCACAGCAUGAAGCUUAUAAAGGAUGCUGACAACCUUCAGAGUUAGCGACAAAAGAUAAUUAUCAAGGAGAGAUAGUUCCAUGAGAAUUCCAAGGAGUCUGAAUCAAAGACAAAUUGCUCACUCAAGGGUUCUUAUUUUCUUUUAGGUACAAAUCUCUUGAGUGUUGUUAAAGAAACACGUCACUGUCAUUUUGAUUUGCAUUUAACAUUUCACUUUUGUUCUGGAAGGUUUGUUCCGGAAACAUAUCAAAUGAGCAUCAUUUUCUUCUUCGGUGACACAUGGUCGCGAGUACGUGGGUCCAUUUUCAUGCCACUUAGUUGAAAAGUUGGAAAGAAAAAACAUGCCAACAAGAAGAUAGUGAGAGAAGGGGCACUUCAAGCCUUUAACAUGAACAAACAGUAAAUAAAAGAUGUUUCUCCACUCAUAAAAGUGUGUUAGAUAGCAAUAUAACGAAUCACAUCCAAAAUCUUUACUAGGCUCAAACAUAAAGAAGACUCAUUUUUAAGAAAAGAUAAAAAUGGCAUUGUCUGAUAGUAUCCAAUACACGAGAUGGCACUUAAUUUGUACAAGAUCUGUCAAUGCUGACGCACAUUUUCUGAUUAAAAAAAAACUGAUCAGUCAAAAGCAAUGAAGAGAAGUGAUGACAAUGAAUGAUGCUUCCAAUAUUUUCACCCCUUAUAGUGUUCUUCAUGAUUCAGAUAUAUAAUUGGAAAUAGAACAACCCUAUGCCAUACAUUCGUCUAAGUAUGGUGUCUAAUUUUUUGUGUCAGCGGUUGCGAAUGGAGCGUGCAAAAGUCCAAAUUGGCGUCUCUCCAUUUCCACAUAGGAAGGUGACCUUUAUUGACAAAUACCCAAUAUUUGUAGACAUUCCUUAAAUAUCAUAACUUCUUGUUGAUUUGAAAAUCAUUUUUCAACUACCAUGUUUUAAUAAAUAUUUUUUAAAAUGUAUUUUUAUCAAAGUCCACCAUGAUGGAUAAUAUUCACCAUGCAAUAAUUAAUAAAGUACAAACUAAGCGAAAUGAAAAGCAUUUUCUUUGCUUUGAGUUGAUUUUGGUUGCAUUGAGUUGAUUUUGGUUUCAUGGUUUUUUCAACUCUUAUUUUGAUUGGAAGAUGUCAAGAAAAGAAAACAUAAAGAAAAAUUAAAAGGGAAAAAAGAAGAAAAAUAAAAAAAAAUAGAUUUAAAAGUUAAUAAAUUAUUUUUUAUAUUUAUUUUAAUUCAUUUCACUUAUUUUUCUUUUACUAUAUAAAAUUUAAAUAAUUUAAAUUUUAUAAUUAAUUUAAUUACAUUUCAUUUUCUUCUAUAUUUAAAUAUUGGAAAAAUAUUUUACUUAAUAUUUUUUUCUUUAAUUUCUUUGGCAUUUUGGGAACCAAACUUAGCCUUUAAAAUAAAAAACAAAAAAAAAAUGAAAAUAAGGAGGGAAAAGUGAGAAAAGAUAAAAACAAUAUGUAAAGGAUUUGAAAAGUAUUAGUUUGUAAUUACUAUUUGGAUUUCAAUAGUAUUUUAUUUGUCUUUCUAUAUUUCAUGUAAGAGAGAAUUUAAGAUAUUCCCCAAGGCAAAGCAUUAGUUACCUGCAAUCAGUGGUGAUAAGGCUCCAAGCCAAUUUUGGGCCCCAUAUCUUAAGACAGUACAAUUUCCAUUUCAACAUUUCUGAUUUCUCAGAUGUUUCACAUACCACAGAAGAACAUUGUUUGUGAAAAUAUGCAUUUAUGUUGGAUUUUGUAUGCUGUGGGGACUGGGGCAAGGAUCAUAUGGAAGAGUGGUUGACUUUUUCUGUACUUUAACGGUUGAAAUAGGAUAAGCACGGGCAUUUGUGAGGCUUAAUUGAUUUUGAAGCCUGAAAUUGCGUUUCUGUCAUUUUGUCAAAAAAAUGGCAGAUUCCAUACUCAUAUGUUUGGCCUGUGGCCAUGUACAGAUGCCAUUUAGUGACCAGUUUGUAACUGUCAAUCGUUGCGUUUUGACUCUGCCUCAACAACAUCUGCCAUUGACGGGUUUUCAUACUUGCAAAUCAAAUAGUCUUUCGUCCCAUCAGGAAUUUCGGUUUAAAUAUUAUUAAGCAUACGUUUGGCUGACAAUCAUUAUCCAGUUCAUGAUUUGGUUUCUUACCCUUAAUCAAUGGUUUCUAAGUGAAUAUAUGUAGAAGGAAAUCCGAAGUGUAGACAGUAGUAUCGAUAACUCUCAAUAUUCUCUAUAUAAUAGAAUAAACAGCGUCAUAGUGAUCGUCGCCUACAAGCAAGGUACAAAUACCAAAACGAGUGACUCACAUAGACAUCUCCCAACAAGAUGUAGUAGUGACUGACACAUGGACACAAUUAACUCGUAGAAAAGGAUAAGACCAUUGCACAGCAGCUCUUAUUUUACAUACUACUUAUGCUAACCAAAGUCAAUUAGUUGGGAUGGGUGGGAGAUGGAGGUUUGUGCGGUGGCUUGUGGGGCGGAGUUGAUGGCUUCUUUCCAGGAGCUUCUGGCUUUUUCAUCGGAGCUGAAGGAGGCUCAAUCUUAUGAGGCGGCUUGUAUGAGUCUUCUUUACUCUCGACAGGAGGGUGGCCAGGGUUGUGAUCAUAAUGUGGUGGCUUCUCUCCCUUAGGUGGCUUGCCAACUGGGGUUGGUGGCUUGUGUUCAGGAAGUGGUUUCUCUCCCAUGGGAGGUUUAGCAAUUGGGGUUGGUGGCUUGUGUUCUGGGAGUGGCUUCUCUCCCUUGGGAGGUUUAGUAGGUGACUUGUGUUCUGGAGGUGGCUUCUCCACCGGAGGCUUGUGCUCCGGUGGUGGCUUCUUGGUUGGAGGGGGCUUGGGGUAAUCAGCAAGAGAUGGGGUGGUGAGAACCACCAGUCCAAGGAACAACACUAGCAAGUAUGUGGGAGACAUUUUUGAGUUUGGGCUGAUCAGAUGAUGCAAAACUAAAGCAUUACGUGACCUUUUAUAGCAUGUAGCUCCCAAUACCCACUAAGUAUUGUGGGGUCCAUUUGUGCCCUACGGGGUUGAAAACUUAGACAAUUGGGCAAGGACCCACCUGACUAUGGAGGACUAGUGAGGUGUGAUCAUAGCUUUAGGAUUUUUCUUCCUCUGCAGCCGUCGUGCCGUUGGCAUGAUUUUCUUAAUCUUAAAUAAAGGCAUAGUUAUAGAGUUGUUUAAUCUCUAAAUGGGAUUUUAUAUAUAUCUUCAGAUAGCCAUUAAUAUAUUUGAUGAAGAAAGAAAGACAAGUGCAUACAACAUGUAUACGACUAGCUUUCAUGGAGUUCAUUUAUGAUCAGUUUUCCUGUACAUGUAAACCAGGAUCAUAUAUAUGUUUCUGUUCCACAACUAUUUUGGAAUCUUGUUUAUCAGUUUUUAUCAUUAUAAUGUCACAUAGGCUGCCAACUUGGGCGCUAAAAGAACCAGUUGGGCUAGUUCGUUUCAGAAUUUCAAUGUGGAUUCAGGAAUUGUUUUGUAAGAUAUGCGAAAUAGUAGAGGGAUGAAUAGUGUUUCAUUAAUAAAAGUGUCCUGUAAAUUAGAAGGUGUCAUAGAAACUAUAAUCAAUAAAUAACUUUUUUUCCCCACGGGUGGUGUUUCUUGUGGGGAUCAGUGACUGGUUUAGGUUCACCCAAAAUGAGUUCAGACUAAAAUUGGUUUGAGUCAAUGCCGUGUCUCUUUUUUCCAGAAAUCAACUAUUUUAUGCAUUGAAUAAAUCAUACAAAGAAAAUAUGAACGCCCGCAAAACCUAAACCCUGGUUGCUAACUUUCUAUGUUUCAGUUCUAUUCACGCAAGAAUAUUAGUUUAAGUUUGGGAAAAAUGGCAACUUACCUAGUGAUUACUUGGUUUUGGUUUGCGACUAUUUACGCAACCAACCAUGAGUUUGACUUUAACGUCAUGGGUUGAAGCCUCCUACAGGAAGGGAGAAAGCUCCACAGCUAGCUCCAAAAGAGAAUUAUCACAUUGAUAGCUCCAGAGAUUCCCAAGGGGACUGAAUCAAAGACAAGUUCCUCACUUUUUCUUCUUUUGAGGCCAAAUAUGAACCAAGGAUCACACAACCUCAUUCAACUUCAUAAGUUUGAUUUCAUGCAGUUGAACACUGGGUGAAGGCCAUGACAAGAAUUGAUUCAAAAAUUCUAUCACUCUUUUAAGUAAUGGAAGAUUAUUAUCUCUGAUUGGCAUCACAACAGCACAUGCUCCUAGAUCUUUCUAGACACUCCAUGCAAUGAAAGCACAAUGGAUCUUGUAACGAUAGAAACUAAGCCAUGCUACAGUACUAGAUGAUGAGGUAAAACUAGUAGACACGGGUGGCAGCCUAUAUGGGAGGGACACAAGUCUAAUUGAUUUGCAUUUCAGCAUUAUAGAUAGGUAUGUUUUGGAAGAUUUGUUCUGGAAAUACCGCACCAAGUAGGAUUCUUUUUCUCUUUAGUGGGUCCACUUGCAUGCCAAUUAACGAGUUGAAAAGUAUGAGCACCUACCUCGUGCUCGUGGAACCGAAGGUCAGUGAAGUGGGGCUCCUUUUGGCCUCGUGUAAACUUGAUUCAGAAGUGAAGUUAAUAGUCUUCCAUUCAGAUGGAUACAUGGGAAUUUUUCUCUUUUAUUUAUUUAUUUAUUUUUUUUUUGUGUGUGUAUGUCAAAGGAUAAUGAAUGAAGCGCGUUAGCUUGUUUUCUGACUGGAACCGCAGAUGUCCAAAUUGGAGUUCCUUCAUUUCUUACUUAGGAUUGUUACAUGUAUAAACAAGGUAUAAGAAAUAUGCCAACGUGUCUUGAGGAGUUAUUGAUUAGAAAUAACAAGUCACCCGACUGUAGAGUUCCAAGAUUUGAAUCUUCAGACCCUAUAGCAGCCUCUGGGGUACGUGGCAUCCUAUAGCAUAUUAAUGAAGGCUUUUUCGAUUUAGACUUCACAAUACCAAUUAAUAUGUAUGCACAAAAUGGAGAUGACCCCAAAAAAAACAGAAUCGCCAUAGUUUAUGAGGUUAAGGUGAUUCUCCACUUAAUAUCUACAUUAGCUAAUUAUGUAAAUCAAAUGAACUUCUAUUUUUCCUUUUUUUUUUUGGUUUAUGUCAAAUAGUAGCCCAUAAUUAACCCAACCAUUAGCCUGUUUGAAUUGAUUUCACAUGCACAAUGUUGUAGUAGUUCAUAUUUUGAAUUUUAUUUUUACAAAGGUAGUUAAGGAAAAUGAAGUAUAAUAAUUAUAAAAGCAGACUAUAUACACUACAAUAAUUGUUAGAAUGGUAUCUCAAAUUCUAAUUUAAAAUAUUAUUUUUUGUAAAAGAAAUAUUAUAUAGAAUAUUUCCUAAUUUUAUAAAUGAUUAUAAUUAGAUCUUUAUAAAAUAAGGAAAGUUGGUAAGAAUAUCUUUAUAAAUAUUUUAGGUCAUGAGAGAAAGAAAUGGGAUAAAAAUGUGAUGAAGAGGUGAAAUAAGAGAGUUGAUUAGGAUAUAGAUGUGAAGAAGAAAGGGAUUCAAUAUAUAUAUAUCUUUCAAUUACCACAUUAAAACCCUGUGAACCUUUUAUAUGGUUUACUUUAUUUUUAUAUUCCUCCUUUAAUAUAUUUACAUUAAUGCUUCCAUUGGCACAACAAUAACGAAUUACAAAUACAAGCAACAAGUCCCAUGUUUUAUUACCAAAAGCAGGUAAAAUCCACCUAAUAUAUUACAAUAUAUUCAUCCAAUAUUUUAGACCAAUUCUUCACCAUAAAUAUCAUAAUGUGGCUUUUGUUCUUUCUUAAAUUUAAAUUGAAUUGUCUUAUAUCAAUUUGUUUGUGAUUUUUUCAUUAACUUCACUUUCAUUUGGUUAUCUUUGGUUUUUGAAAAGUAUUAAGGAAUUAAUUAACAAAAUAAUGUUAAGAAAAAUAAUUUUCUCUCUUUUGAUUUUGAUUUUGUAGUAGAAAAAUAUAAUUAAAAUUAUUUAAAAAGUAUGUAAUUUUAAAUUAUUUAAUAUUUAGAUAAAAAAAAUAAGUCUAAUGAGUUUAAAAUAACAUAUAAAAAUAAUUUAUUUAUUUUAAAUUUAUUUUUUAUUUUCCAUUAUGUUCUCUUUCUCUUUUACUUUUUCAUAUUUUUUCUUACGAAGAAUCAAACACAACCUCAUAUUAUAUGUCAAGUGUUUGUCUAUAUUUGAGCAAUGUUAGAUACGGCCAUGGAUUCAUCAAACUAAACUGAUUUUAAUAGAUACUUCACAAAUUGAUUUAUACACUAAAUCAUUGGAUAGCAAUGAUGCAUUGGAAUUAAACGUAGGAUGAAGCUCGAAGAACACUGUUUGUGUAACAACAUAUUUAUGAAAUUAUGCAAAGGAUGAGCUUCGGGGUAGUAGUACAAGGUCAUUAAUGGAGAGCCGUGUUAAACCUUGAUUGUGAUUGGAUUCCGUUAUCAGCAACAGCAACCUUGUUUGUAACCUUGAAAGUCAUUCUGUCCACAUCGAAACUCCAAUUUGACGUUUGUAAUUACCAUUCCUGGAGUGUUCCUUGAUUGAAAUUUAAAUAAUAAUUGCGGCCCACAAGGAAUAUUUUCGAUUCUGUGGGAAUUUGACAAGGUUUGUUAGAGAAGACUGGUGACAUGUUGACUUCAAUGGUUCAAAUAGGAGACGUAUGUGGAUUUGGGGGGUUUAAUUGAAACUGAGUCCCUAUGGCUUUUUAAUAUUUGCAUUGAGCAGUCUCCAUGUGACUUCCUAAUUCCCACCAACCCUCCUGUCCAUGCUGUGAAACUAAAUUGUAAUUUAUCAGCCUUUGUCAAUGGUUUCUAAAUUAAAGAUAUAGACCAUGCAUGUACUUUAAUAAAAGCAAAUCUAAAGUGUAGAUAGCAGCAAUGGUGACACCCAAUAUUCUCCAUAAAAUAGAAUUAGAAUAAGCAGUGUUACAUUGUUCAUGAUCACCUACAAGCAUACAAGAACUUCCAUGAAUAACUCAUAGCAAUUGCCAACAGGGCGUCGUAGAGACUCAUACAUAGAACACUAUCCACCCAGAGGAAAGGACAAGACCAGUGCGCUGCAGCUCUUAUUUUUCACAUGUAUACCACCACUCGUAAUAACCAAAUUCACUCAGUUGGGAUAGGUGGGAGAUGGUGGUUUGUGGGGUGGCUUGUGGGGAGGAGUUGGAGGAGGCUUUAUUUUCUGAGGCGGCUUGUAUGAGUGUGCAGGAGGAUGCCCGGGAGUGUGACCAUAAUGUGGUGGCUUCUCUCCCGUAGGUGGUUUGCCAAAUGGGCUUGGUGGCUUCUCUCCCUUAGGAGGUUUACCAAUUGGGGUUGGUGGCUUGUGUUCUGGGAGUGGUUUCUCUCCCUUGGUAGGUUUGCCAAUUGGGGUUGGCGGCUUAUGUUCUGGGAGUGGCUUCUCUCCCUUGGGAGGUUUGCUAAUUGGGGUUGGCGGCUUAUGUUCUGGGGGCGGCUUCUCUCCCUUGGGAGGUUUGCCAAUUGGAGUUGGCGGCUUAUGUUCUGGGAGUGGCUUUUCUCCCUUGGGAGGCUUGCCAAUUGGGGUUGGCGGCUUAUGUUCUGGGGGUGGCUUCUCUCCUUUAGGAGGUUUGCCAAUUGGAGUCGGCGGCUUAUGUUCUGGAAGUGGCUUUUUUCCCUUGGGAGGUUUGCCAAUUGGGGUUGGCGGCUUAUGUUCUGGGGGUGGCUUCUCUCCCUUGGGAGGUUUGCCAAUUGGAGUCGGCGGCUUAUGUUCUGGGAGUGGCUUCUCUCCCUUGGGAGGUUUUGUUGGUGGCUUGUGUUCUGGAGAUGGCUUCUCCCCUGGAGGCUUGUGCUCCGGAGGUGGCUUCUGAAAUGGCGGGGGCUUGGGGUAAUGAGCAAGAGAUGGAGUACUG